rnacentral:lncRNA from 1 species
AGCAUUGUGCCUGUGGCAUCCAUUGCCCCCGUCUCCAAGGUCGCCAACGUGCGCCCCUCGUCGGUGUCCGUGGCGAAGGCUUUCGGUUUGAAGAGCAGGAGCAUGGGCCGCCUUACCUGCAUGGCCACCUACAAGGUCACCUUCCUGGACGGGGAGACUGGAGCGGAAAAUGUCGUCGAAUGCUCUGACGAGGAGUACGUGCUGGAUGCCGCUGAAAGGGCCGGAAUGGACCUGCCUUACUCCUGCCGUGCCGGAGCUUGCUCCUCUUGCGCCGGUAUAAUCAAGGCCGGAGAGGUUGACCAGAGUGACCAGAGUUUUUUGGAUGACUCUCAGAUUGAUGAUGGUUUCGUGCUGACCUGCGUGGCUUACCCAGUCAGCGACUGCACCAUCCUCACCCACCAGGAGGAGAACAUGUAGAGGACUCAGGGGUAUGGUUUGAGGAGACGAGGCGUUGUAGAGUAAUUACAUUAAUCACAUUUUUGUUUUCUAACAUCUUCAUGGUGUAAGUGGACCCCCAAUAAACCAAGUUUUGAAUUGAUGAUUGACGAAGUCGUUGGUUUUUUGCUGUAGUGCUUAAUCACCUAGGGUUAUUGUGUAUUCGAAUGAAUGUUUCUAGCCAGACUUGCGGUGUUAUGGCUUUUGAUCCGCUCGACCUAGAAUGUUACUUCUACUUGGAUUAUCUUUAUCAGAAAACAGAUGCAUGUGCACUCAUUUCGUGGCUAGUUUAUUUUGAGGUGUUCUUCAAUUUACUUCCUAUUAAUGCAGGAUUAAUUUCACUCUCUACAGUAUGUAGGAGAAUAAUUCAUAUCUUAUUAAUUAGAAAUUUUAUUUAUGAUACGCUGACUGGAAGUCCAGCCGGACUUAAAGUCUACCCAGGAGAUAUAGAAUUCGGAUUCCCUCGCACUUUGAAGUAGAUUCGCAUUCCCGAAACCAGGGUCAGGCACAGGAAAUCUGUUAUCAGUGCGUGGCUGUGUUCGCCAUGGACAUGUACAGGUUAGUAUAAAAUAUAACAGCUGUACCUAGCUGUGGGAGAUGCAAGAUACGUUUUGGUAGGGGUUGCGCUAAGUGAUCCAGUUCUGAGUUGUCUUUUCUAUCCCAUCACUACAGGGCAAGUCCUUGGGCACAUAGGUUGGAAAACUUACUGUACCUUGUACAUAAUUGCAGAUGACAGUGCAAUCACCAUGCAGAGGUUAGUGUUACUGCAGGAAUGCAUUUACAGUCGCACAUGCAAGUGCCACCAGGUGUGUCGGAUGUGCCUCAGCAUCUAAUUCUCCGUCGUUCAAUUCCUAGGAGUGUGGUGGUAUGUGUUAAUCUAUACUCUCACAGUAAAGCUGGUACAGUUGUAGUUGUCCAACUGUUGUAGAUGAGUUGUCCAACGGUGGUAGAUGAGUGUCUUGCGUUGGUGGAAUCGGAUCAUUUUACCUGAUUCUAGUAGCUCUAUUGCCUGGCAUAAUGGUGACAUAUGGCGUUAAAUCCGCAUUGCUACAAAGUUCUUAUGUGUACGUAAUAAGUUCGCCUUUUUUGAUCCUGCGGUUAUAUUUCAUAUUAUGGAUUGCCAUAAUAUCGGGAACUAGUGGGGUUGUAUGUCGAAAAAUCUCCUUUCGGGACUAUGGUCUUGCCCUGUUUUGGAAUCAUUAGGUUAUCUCAUCUACGCCAUGCUAAUGCAGGUGAAGAUCUCCGGCAGAUCUCGUACCUUUAACUCAAUCAGAACUUGUAUUUCGCUGAUUGCAGUAUCGCUGGCAUUUUCUCAUCUUGCACUGGGCACUCUCUGAUUGAUUCAAGCAGACGCCGUUUUGCAGGUUUCAGUCUAGACGAUAUUUUUUCUUCGUUUCUUUUGAAUAUUUGUUGGACUGUUGACAUAGUCAGAUCCAUGAAUAAGUAAGAACCUUCCAGAAUAGCCGAUACCCUGUCCAUUUACUAAAUUAAUACCAGUACAGAAUGCAGUGAAGAUAUGUCUGUGUUAUGUACCUCUAUAACAAUUUCUUCGUGCCUCAUGAUGUUAAGGAGACAGCUAACAAGUUUCAACCAUCAAUUCCUUAUCCUACUUUGCCACCCAUUUACUCCCUCAUUACGAAUACGAAUUUGGCGAGAAAGAGCAGCGUUUUGUGACAAGUUGUUGGAAUCGUGAUUAUUCUCAUGUCUGAUGAAAACUUGUUGACAGUUGGGUGUAGUACUUUGGGCCUGUUGACAGUUCUUCACCAGGUCCCUGUGGGCAUUCCUGGACGGAAUAUUAUCCCGACUCUUAAAUUGGACUUCGCUGUGUAUUUGAUAUGGCAACCCCGUAGCUUUCAACUUCCUGUCCAUCCUUCGAGUUUCCGUUUCGUUGUCUUUUUUUCCAUGCAUGAGUGAAUUAAACCACUAUGAAAACUGGGAAAAGAUCUCGUAUGGGAGGGAAAACCCAAUAUUUUUUUUCUGUUUCACGUUGAAUUGCUCAUGCGGGUAGUCUAUCCGCUGUUUAUGAUCUACAAUGCACAAUGUUUUGUUGGUUAAAUGGAUCCCUUCACAACCUUGAAGAAUAGCGUGAAUGCUUCUUGCUAUCGGAGGAUCCAAGAUCGUGGAGGGUGUUCAUCAUGAAAUUGUUGCAGAAAUGCACUGCCGGAGUUUUAGAUAGGCAUUUUAAAACUACUGACUGUGAGAUUGUGGCCACCCUAGAAAACUACCUCUGGUUUUACACAUGGCAUCCUCACAAGAGCCACGGCGGUAAGUGGCUGUGUAUGCUACACGAUGUGCCAAGUGUGUGGUGUUGUCCAACGAUGACUGGAAAUGGCAUCUAUGCUGUAAGGGAUCAAAUCAUAAAAACCAUAGAUCAUAAUAUUAAACGAUAUUAGAUGAAAAAUCACAAAAUGGGAAAUGUACCAGUGAUGAUAGUAAAGAAACAAUAUAUAUAUAUGUAUAUAUACAGUAAUAAGAAGUCGUUUAAACUACACCUUAAUGUUGUUAAAGCCAUACCUUCAUACUAUGUGAUGAUUAAUUUUGGGAGAUAGUGAAAAAGGGAUAGGGAUAGGGAACAAGGCGCUAGGGUUGGGAAAAGGAGAUGGUGGACAUGGAAUAAGGAAUAAAAAUGGAAAUAGACAGAAAUGACUAUGAGAAGUAAAUGCAGAAUCGGGCUUUAACACCUCUCUUUCUCUCUCUUUAUAUAUAUAUAUAUAUAUAUACAUAUAUAUGUUUGUAUAUGAAAACAACAAAAUAUAAUGUUAGUAAAUAAUAUUUCACUACAAUUUCCUCCCUGUAUGUAGAUACAUUUAUAGAAAAUUUUAUAAUAAUAUGAAAGAAUGCAAAAUUUGUAACAUUAUAAACAAAUUAUAUUGAUUUUUACAAAAUUUGUAAUUUAUUUUUUAUUUGUAAUAAGUUAUCAAUUAAAUUAUGUAAUAUGAUUAUUAUUUGACUCAUUUUUAUUUUAUAAAAAUAGUCUUGGUAAUUUUUUAUUUAUUAAUACACAUGAAUCAAAUACAAAGGUAAAAUAUUAAUUUUACAUUUAGAAAAUUGAAUAUUUUGAUUCAAAAUCUACAAUUAGAAAAUACUCAAUUUAAACUAAAACUAAUAAAUAAACUUAAAUUAGUAAUUAAUAAAGUACUAAGUAUUUAAAAUAAAAAAUGAUUAAUUAUUUUUGCAACUAUCUUGAUAUUUUAAUAUUCAUGAGGAUUUAAUUCCAUUUUAUCUAUAUAAAGGUCAUAAAUCAUGAAAAAACCAAAAUUUUAUGUACUCUUGUCUAACUAGAAAAGCAUAAAUAAUCACUCAAAGUUGGUAUAAAAUUAAACUAGAGUGGCUUUUGCCAAGUAUGAAAAUAUUAGAGACUUUUGAGACAAGAUUAAGAAUUCGAAAGACAUUACUAAAAAUAAAAAAUGCUUCAUUCUUGUCUCCAUAUAUAUUAUAUAACUAGAAGCUAUAUAACAAUGUUUUUAUAAAACCUUCAAUAUGUAUUCAACCUAUAAGACACAUAUCAAACUAAUAAGAUAAGUUUCUUAUAUGUAUGUUAUAUGGCCAAUUUGUAUAAACAAUAUUAAUAUAUACCACAAGGAGUGGUAGUCAUAUGUUAAAAAUAUCCAAAAUGCAACAAAUUGUGUUUGCUACAUACUUUGAUAUUUGUUCCUUUUGAAUGUAGUUGAUAGGUCCUCUCAACUAUUGAUAGUGUUUUAUACCAAGGCAACAAGAUCACCUUGAUAUUUAAUCAUUGUUAAUGCCUUUGUAAUUUUCUUCAAAUAAAACAUUUACAAUAUUGUCAAAUGCGGCUCUUACCUCUAAUAAUAUCACUAAAUAUCAAAAGUCUCUUUUAAGGUUGUGAUAUCAAAUAUGUUGUAUUUGACCAUUUAUUCAAAAAAAUUCAUAUUGUUAUUAAAGUUCUUCAUCUCUAUUAUGUUAUCUUGAAGUUUGUGACAAUUGUAAUGUCUUGCUUGGUAAGUUAGCAAAUAAUAGUUCUUGAGUUGAAUUUGUUAGUUGUUAGUUCUCUAUCUUCUUAAUGCCACAAAUACAUAAAAAUUAUAGAAAAAAUAGAAGGUAGAAUAUAAUCAUUUAUAAACCUUAUGUCUUUUAUAGCAAAAAUUUGUUGUUUAUCAUCUUGAUUUUGAUGGAUGUUAGCAAUGAAAAGCACCAAUCUUCUUUGCUGUAUUUGACAUGUUCUUAGUUGGCUUCCAUGUAUAUUCACUAAUAUCACAUUCACAUAAAUGUAUAAGAUAUUCUAACCUAUUUUAGUGCCACCUUGAGUCUAAGUCUUCUUUGACAUUAAAUUCUUGAUAAUUAUCUACUUCUAUAAGAUGUAGUGUUUGCCUUCUUUCCAAUAUAUUUAUUAUUUUAUAUGGUUCAAUAACAAAUAUAUAGAAUAUUAGAUGGAUCUUAUUAAACUUUAAUAAAUAUGAUCAAUAAGCAACUUAAAUAAUUUAUUUAUAAAUAACAAAUGAUUAAAGUCUACAAUAAUCCAAUUUAUAACAAGGUAAAUAGAUUUGAUAUUAUGACAAAGUAAUUAUACCUUGUUGUAGAAUUGAAGUUGUUCUUUGUGACAGGCAUUUGUGUUGAUUUUUUUUUAUUCUUAAGUUUUUUAAAAUUGUGCCUUUAUUGUUGCAUGUAGUUUUAAUAAAUAAUUAGUAAAAUCUUUGGCAACUAGAUUAUCAACUUUUAAGAAGUCAAAACUAUCAAAUCAUGGAUGAUAAUUAUAAUUUUUACAAAAAAAUAUUUAUUGAAAAGAAAAAUAUAUAAUUAUAUUAUAAACAAAUUCUAUUAAUAAAAAAAAUUUAUUUAAUCAUCUCAAUGAUAGUUGAUGGUAUAUUUCAAGUAUUUUUCUAAAAUUUGAUUCAUCUGCAUUGUUUGUCUACUAGUUUAAGAAUAGAAAGCCAAAUAUUUUUUUAUCUAUCUUCAAUAUUUUGAAAGGUUUCUAAUAAAUCUUGAUAAAUAUUGAGUUCUUUUGUUUAAUUCAAUAUCUUAUGGCAAUUCAUAAAAAAUAUUAUCAAAGAAAAGUUUAGAUAUUUUUUUAGUUGUAAUAGAUUUAAUAUAUAGUACAAAAUAUAUCAUCUUAGUAAAACGAUCUAUUAUCAUAAAUUAAGAAUUAUAACUUCAAAUUGAAAGAUCUAUGAUAAAAUCCAUAGAAAUUGAAGACCAUAGUUGUAUUGAGAUAGAUAAUGGCAAAAUAAAUCUAUAAAGUUAAUAAAACAAAGUUUUUGAUCUGAAACAUAUCUUAUAAGAUAAUAAAAAGUUUUUAAUUAUCUUUCAUAUUUGGAGCCACCAAAAAUCAUUAGAUAUUAGCUCUGAAAUCUUAUUGUAUCCAAAAUGUUUUGCUGUUGAAAAGUUGUAAUGAACUUCAAAAUCUCAUAAUUGUACUUCACCUUCUAAAACAUAUAAAUGACUUUCAAAAUAGAAAAGAUUAUUCUUGAAUUCAAGAUUUGAAGUAUUAUGAAAAUUAAAUAGAUUAUUCUUUAUAUCAUAAAUAAUAAGAUUUUAGGACAUAUUUAAAAAAACGAGCUCAAAAAACUUCAAUCAAUUGUCAAUAUUGAUUUUAGUACUAAAAAAUAAAAGUGCUUUGGCUUCAAAAGAAUUCUUUAUUGUUCAUCAAAAGCUGUAUGUUAUUCUUUUGGUAUAAGAUAAGAAUAUUCAAAAAGUAUGUUAAACAAACCUUGUUAUAUUUUUGGUUGAUAAAUGAUAUUAAAUUCAAACCUUAAUAUAGACAUGUUCUAAUAAGUUUAUUGACAAUUCAAAAUAUGUAAUGACAUGAUACACUCAAGGUUCUUUUGACUAAUAUAUACAAUGAUUGGACUAGAAAUACCUUCUAAAUAUUGGUGCCAUUCUUAUAAUGAAUCCAUAAUUACAAAAAGUUCUUUGUUAUGAAUCUUAUAGUUGAUUUGAGUUGCUAAAAACAUAUUUCAAAUAAAAAGCUAUUAGAUGCAGUUAAUCAUUUUUUUUCAUUUGUCACAAUAUUACAUCCUAAAUAAUAUUUCAUGGAUUUGUUUCUAUAAAAAAUGCCUUUGAAAAGUCAAUGCAAUAUAAAAUUGAUGCAAAAAUAAAAAAUUCUUCAAAGCUUCAAAUGCCACAUCAACUUCAUUAUUUUACUCAAAUUUUUCUUUAUAAGUCAAAUAUAUAAAUAGAGCUGCAACUUAAGAAAAAUUCUUAAUAAAGUUUUCAUAUUAAUUAGGAAAUUUCAAAACAUAUUACACAUCUCUUAUUGAUUUUGAACUCUUUCAAUCCAUGAUGGUUUGAAUAUUUUUAGGAUCCAUUAUAAGACCAUCAUUGAAAUGAUAUAGUGUAAGAAAUCAAUUUGAGUUGUGUGAAAUACACACUUUUCUAUCUUGGCAUAUAGUCUACAUCUCUAAGUUUCAUAAUAUACAACAAAUAUGAAGUUCAUGCUCUUUUAUAAUCUUAAAGUAUAUUAAAAAAUUAUCUAAAUAAUAAAAAAUAAAACCAUUUAUAAAUUCUAAAAAAAACAUCAUUAAUGUCAUGUUGAAAAGUACUUGAUAUAUUUGUGAAUCCAAAAAACAUGACAUUAUAUUCAAAAUGUCCAUACAUGGCUUGAAAUGGAGACUUCUAUUCAUUUAAUUUAUUUAUUAUUACUUUUUUAUUUUUAUGUAUACUAUAUUGUAUUUUCUAUAUAUAGAUUUAGUUUUUUAAAUUAAAGAUAUUUCUUAUUUUUUUAAAAAAAACUUUAUCUAUGUAGUAAGCUAAAGAUCUUAAAUCUAAUAAGACAAAGACUUUUUAAUUUCUUGGUCCUAAAAAAACAUCUAUUAUAAACCAAGGUGAAUGAUUUGAGGAAAGAAUAUGAUCUUUACUAGGUAUUGUAUAAGAUUCUUGUAACAUAUUCUCUAUUGUAGCUUAAAAAAUAUGUUUUUUGACAUAUUGUCUUUUGUGGCAAGCAUGCUCUUUAUUUUGUAAUUACAUUUUUUCUUCGAAAAAUAUUGAAAAAUGUGUUUAGGUUCUUUAUAAUGUAAGUAUAAAUCUUCUUAAUAAUAUUGAAUCUUUUUUUAGCUAAUUAAGAAUUUUUAAAUGUACCAUAUUAAUUUGCAUUGAUUUUGGCCUUGAUCAAUAAGUUUAUAAAAACUUAAUAAUUAUUGCCAUGACUUGACUUGUACCUCUCUAAUCAAAUCUUUAUUCUUAACAUCUUUCAAAAAAGUUGAUUAUUCCAUUGAAUGACUUAAAUAAUAACUUGUUCUAAUAAUUUUGCUUUCAAUAUUGUCAAUAAUAAGUCUUUCAUAUUAUCUUUCAACUCAUAUUGAAAUUAGUUGAUAAGAGCUUUGUCAUUUUAGUCUACAUUGCAAGUAAGAUUUUGGAAUUUUGGAGCAUAUAUGAUAGAAAAAUGUAGUCUUUGUCAUAAAGAUGAAAAUUUGGUCUCUUCUACACUUUCACAAUUAUUUUCAUCAAAUUUAGUUUAAAAAUAUUCUAAGAAUGAAUUAAGAUCAAAGAAUAAUCUUCAAUCUUUUUCCAUUAAGGAUACAAAUCAAGAAAAAACACUUCUAGAUAAAAAUGUUUACAUGGAUCCAACUUGAAUAAAUCCAUCAAACUAUUAGGUAGAAUGUAAUCUUAAAUAGUACUUUACUUAUUAUAAAAAACCUCAAAUUUUGUAUCUUAUUUUAUCAAACUUCUCUAAUAUACUUAUUCUUGCAUCCUUCAUACUUGUAGUAGUAAGACUUCUUGCAUUCAAUUAUGUGUCUGAUCUAUUUGCUUCUUUCAACUGCAAAACUUUUAGAUAUAGAUUUUAAACUUCAUUGUUAAUUUCUUUUAUAGGUAUAAGAAUAGCACUUCUAUAAUUGGCAUUGAUAAUAUGUGAGAUUUUUACCUUAAGAAUGUUGAAUAGUUGGUGAAGAUCUACAAUAGUUGCAAAUCUAUUCUUACUUUUGUUGAGUGUAGCAUUUAUAAUUUUUAUUUUUAUUUUUAUAAAAAACAACUUUAAUAAGUUCACAAAUAAAAUUACAAAUGGAUAAUCUAUAAUCUUUAGUAUUAAAUUAAAUAUUUUACAAAGAAGAGUAGUCUAUUUUUUUUAAGAAAUGAAUCAAUGUUAGAAGAUAAAAAAAAAUAUUAAUUUAAUACUCUGUAAUUUGUAAGCUAUAAAGUAUAACAAAAGAAGUGAGAGAAUACUUUUACUUCUAAAAUAAAUAAAUUAAUUAAUUAGUACUCUUAUCUAACUAUCAAGGAUAUGAUUUAUGAAAAAUCAAAGAGUCAAUAUACUCUUAUGUUGCUCAAAAAUGAUAGAUAAUCACUCAAAGAUGGUAUAAUAUUAAGACUAGAAUGGCUAUUGACAAAGACAAGAAGAUUAGAGACUCUUGAAACAAGACUAAGAAUAAAAAAUUUAUUAACAAGAGUGAAAAAGACUUUACUUUUGUCUCCAUAUAUACUAUUUCAGAGCUACAUGGUAAUGUUCUAUAAGACCUCUAACACGUAUUCAACCUAUAAGACACGUGUCUAACUUACAAGAUAAAUUUCCUACAUGUGUGCUACAUGACCAAUUUGUACCACAAGCCACUAACAUCUACAACACAUGGCCAACUUAUUGGCCAAGUUUUCAACCUACCAAUUCACUACAAAUACAUCUAAACUCAAAUUCUUAUCUAUUAAGAUUCUAAAAAGCUUCACCAUAAUAUAUUAUUAAAUCUAUAUAUAUUUACUUAUUUACGUGAUAUUCUUUAUCUAAGUAAAUAUAUAUGUCUUUAAUAGUCUAAAGGUAAAUGUGAUAACAAAAUGACAACCAUUAUUUUUGAUCUAUCAAUGAUAAUUCUUUCUUCAUUUUUUUCGAAUAUUUUUAUAGCAAAUAGCCACAAUAAAGGAGUGUCUAUAUAUUCUUAUAUCUAUAGUUUUUUUUUUUAUUAUUAUUAUUAUUAUUAUUAUUAUCAUUAUUAUAUUUUUUAAAUUUUUAUUAAAGUUAAAUUUUGAUAUAAGAGACUAUUUUCAAAAACUAUACUUUAUCUUGUAGUUAAAUUAGGAUUUCUUUAUGUUUUUAUUUUUAUUUUUUAUUUUAUUUUUAUUUUUAUAUUUUAUAUCUAUCAACAAGUAUAUAAGCCAUUUUUACAUGUUCUUAGAAUUUAUAUAAUUCUAUAUUUUUUUGAUAUUUUUACUUUAUUUAUUUUUAUCUUAAUAGCUACUUUGAUAAAUUCUUCUACAUCUAUUAUCUAUUUAAUGACCUAAUGUAUAUGUUCAAGCAAUCUUUGCUUCAUCUCUUCUAAACUUUAUGGUUGACUAGAUUAUUGCUACUUUAAUAUGGAACUCAGAUAAAAUUUGUUUUUUUUUUUAAUAUUUAAUUUAAUUUAAAAUUUUAAGAUUGGUCAAUUUCUUGUAGUAUUUUAUGCUAUAACUUAUUUUUAAGAAAAAAAAUUAGUACAUAAAUAGAUUAUUGUGGCUAAUUAGAAUAUUUUUUUAUUUUAUAUGUUACUAAAUUAAUAACUUUUAAUUUAAGGCCUAACAAUUUAAUAUUCUUUUAUUAUCUUUAUCUUCUUCUAAAAUUUAUAAAACUCUUAGAGCUACUUAUAAAAUAAAUUUAAGAUGUUUUUUUUAUAAGACUUGUUAAAGUCAAAUAGAUAAAAAAUCUAAUUACAUUCCAACUACCUCUACUUUUUGGAUUCUAAAUUGUUAUUUGAUUAAAAUGAGAUUUUGAACUUUACAAGAUUAAUCUUGUUGUAGUGCAAUAUGGAAGAAGGAUUUUGACCUUUUUUAUAGUUCAUUUUGAAUGCACUUUAAAAUAAAAGUGAUAUUUUUAGAUAUUUUAAAACUAAACUAAUAAUUUGUACUUCUUUUGAUAUAUGUUGGAAAAGCCAUUGAGAUUUUUUAAUUUUUUUUUAUAUUAAAAUAUAGUUUAUUUCAAAUAAAAUAAUUAUAAUUACAUGACUAAUAAAAAAUACUAUUAAUUGGCUUUAAUAAUAUCAUUAUCUUCUUUUAUUUUAAAAAGUAUUAUUUAACAAGAAAUUUGAAAUACUUAUAUGAUAAACUUUCAAGUCAUGGAUUUUAAAAAACAAGAAGAGACCAAGAAAUAGAUCAAAUCACUUUUUAUUGCAAGUCAAAAUUUACCAAUUCAAAUCUUUACUCAAAUAACUAAAAAAUAAUAAAAAAAUAUAUUCUUAUUUUUUUAAAAUUGGUUUUUUUGAGAAAUUUUUUGACAUGUCUUCUCAAUUUUUUCUAAAAACCACCCCUCAAAAUUGGUCCAAUAAAAAAAAUCAAGAAAAAAAAAUGCAUUCCACCUUAUCUUUUUCUCAUAAUGUUCUUAGGCUAUUUUUUCUAAAUAUGCAGCCCACUAAGUGAAGCUUCUGAAUUCCAACCAAUCAAAAAAAUUUAAAAUUGUGACUUCUCACUUUAUCUCGUAAACAUAAAACCCUGUACCAAACUAGACACAACAAAAACGACAGAGUCAUGAUUGUGUUCAAUAUUUUGUUAAGCCACGUUUGAGUAAUCAAUAUCUGACAUUGUUAUGUGCGACAGUAUAAAGACUAUGUGUCAUCGAGAAGAUACCUUAUUACCAAUUUUACUGUCUUACACGGAUUUAUGAUGUAAUGUUCACAUGUUUGUGUGACAGUGUACAAUAACAACAUAAAAAACUCCUACAAACAUUGUCAGAAUAUUACAAUGUCGAAUCUAUUAUUAAAAAAACCAGUUCUUACAUAUUCAUUACGGCUCUAUUCCCAAAGCAUGGCACUCCCUUUUGGACCAACGGCGCCGCAGUCUGGAAGUCGCAGCACGAGUUUCUGAUCGUCACCGAUCGUCACUCGCUGCAGCUGCCGCAGCGCAAUUCAUGCAGCCACGUUGUGAUGAGACUCGUAAGUUCUUCCAGAUGAGAUUGUACCGAUGUGAAGGAAGGAGGGGAAGGGUCUGUGUUGGACGAGUUGCAGUAGUGAGUCAAUUGUGCAUUGCAGCAGGUAAUUGUUUGAGAAAUUGUUUGAAGAGGGUGGAGAGAGAGAGGUUGAACGGCUUUUAUGGGUCACGGUCACAUGGCGUGGGCGUGACACUGAUCCCGCUGGUUUGGUCAGAAAUGGCCCUUAAGAAUCAUUAAGUAGAGUUCCACCUGGCCUGUUUUAAGGUAUUUUGGGCGUACGGGGUCUUUGCGACUGUGCUGCGAUGCGUCUUUCUCUUGGCUUCUUUAAUUUGCACGGAAGGAGAGAGAAAGAGGGAGAGAGCGAGAGCGAAGCGAGUGUAAGAGGAGGACAAUGGACGAGCGGAUGAGAAGAAAUUGGUUGUGAGUGGAGGAGGAUCGUGGGGGUCUGCAGAGUUGAGUUGGAGUAAUGGCAGACGAAGUGAAGUCGCUAUGGAAUCGGUAUUUGAGCAACUUGCAGCAGCACCCGUUGCGCACCAAAGUAAGGAAUAGGAAAGCCUUUAAUUGAUUUAUAGUUUGGUAAGUUAGUUGAUUGUCACCUGGGGAUAUAUGAAAUCCAUUUAUAGACUACGUCGUCGUCGAGCAUUCUUUCUGAUUUUUUGACAAAGUUGGCAAAGGCUGUGAUCCGACCGCUGGUUGGCAAUUGUUUUUUUCUUUUACUCUUGUGGAUUUUUUUUGUUCAUCUUCUAAUUCACUGACAUUGUAGCUGAUCAUCUUAAUCGGGUUGUAACACGCAAACCUACUACUAUGCUGAACUCUGUUGAUUUUUUCGAGUGACUGAAUGCUCAAGUGUUGUGUGCUUUUCUUUGUCAUCAUUUGUUGAGGUGAUACCUGCUUGAUGAUCUCGUAAAUUCUUAGCGUUGUUAUGGCAGUUAAUGGAGAGGAGCACAGUGGAAUGAAAAUGUAAUAGGCAGAGGUUUCUCUUCAUAUCUCAUGUUUAAACCCUUGUGUGCACCUUUGCCUGAGGGAUGUGGAGCUGAGCUUUUGUCCUUAUACCGAGGUUUUAAGAGUUAUAGAAUUUUUGUUCUUGGGGCUUCAUGUGCUCGAGUUCAUUUAAUAAUCGUUUUCAAUUAAUGGUUCAUUUCAAGACCAUCUUGCGAUAGCAUCUAAUCAACUAUUUUUACAUUUGUCUGGCUUCUUAAUAUUUCCAGCUUCGAGUGUAGGGUCUAUCAAUGUGAAUGUGCUAACGUCUUAACACCUUUGGUUGUUGGUGCAGGCCAUUACAUCAGGAACAUCAGGAGUAUUGGCAGGAAGUGCUGACAUGGUUGCUCAGAAGUUGGCUGGAGCGAAGAAUCUGCAGUUUAAGCGUUCUUUUCUUCUCAUGGUUGGGACUUGAAGGCUUAGUGGAUGCGUGUUGCAAAUGUUUUAAGUCGUCAAAAUGCACACUUUAAUGUAGCUAUGUUUAUGACAUCUGACCAAGUACAUAACAAUACUUGCAAAGUUACUAUGGUUGUCUCAAUUUUUUCAGCUUGAGAAUUGGCCUUCACUGGUGAUCAACAAUGAUUCUCUAAAUUUUGGCCCGAAGACCUGGAUCUUAGUGCUUCUCCUGUCUAGUUCCUCCUGCCAAUUGUAUUUCCUGGGUUGCAGCUCUAUGGUUUCUGUUAUUCAGGACCAUUCGGACAUUACUUCCACUGGCUUAUGGAGAAACUCGUCCCUGCAGCUCGCGAUAGCAAGACAAUAGUCAGCAAGUCAGUUCUUUGUGCAGCUUGACAAUAUCUUGAUGCUUCUUCAUUUUCUUUCUCAGUUUUUCAUUUUUAUGAACUGUUUUAAAGUAUUUGAGUUUCUAUACAUGUAAAAACAUAUAAAUGACGGAUGAUUACUAUUUUUUUUUUUAUUGUUAUUAUUAUCACCAAGUGUAAUUACCCAGGCAUUGUUGGUAAACUUUCUUGAAAAUUACUGUAAUUGCAAUUAUUCCUCUUAGGUUAUUGUGGAGCAGCUGACAUCUAGCCCAUGGAACAACUUUCUUUUUAUGACCUACCUUGGUAUGGUGGUUGAAGGUAAAUUUUCGAUGAUCCCCUUAUCUCCUGCAGUUGCUUAAUUCUCAAUUGUUCCAUCUUGUAUGAAUCGGUGGCCGCAGUUUCCUUUUACAUAACAGCAGAGACUAGGGUGACAAUGACUUGCUUUUGUGUAUGAUUCAGAAUGAAGUGAGUAUAUGGUCCCUUGUUUCUUCGUGAGCCUUUGAAUGAAAGUGUUGGUUUUUGACAACUCAACUUAAUGAUAAUCUUCCCAGGGAGAAAAUGGAGCUCGGUUAAGAGUCAGCUUAAAUCACAUUUUCCAUCCGUACAGCUAAAUGCUUGGAGGGUACCAUUUUGCAUCUGAUAUGCUCUUUUCUGUAUGGUUAUCGCGCUUUUUUUAUUUCAACGGUCAGAUGUAUCUGUGUGAAAAAACAGGGGGUUGCGAAUUAUUUCAAGCCUCUCUUUGCAUGUAGAAUAUAAUUAACAUUCUAAACAGAAUGGGGAGCGGUGACGCCAUUGUAAAUUUGCUGCAUGAAGUUCAACUGAGACCGAAUGUUAAAUUCACUCGUCAAUGUUGGUGGGGUGGCGGAUGUGAUGCAGUUCUGGCCGUUGGUCGGGUUGAUUAAUUACAAGUACCUUCCCAUUCAGCUGCGAGUUCUUUUCCACAACUUAGCAGCUGUGUGCUGGUAAGAGCCUGAGGUCCUCGUAAACAUGAAAACUGCUCUCAGGAUAUGCUUUUUGCAAAGGGAGCACUUCACUCAAAGUCAUCUUUCUGUGAAACUUUGAAGCAGCUUAUUUCUACAGCUUAUUGAGAUUCUUGUUUUCGAGCUUGAAAUGACGAUUCCAUGACUUUUUGUUUGUUUGGAAUCGUUUCAGGGGAAUAUUCUUGAUACUUCGUUCCAAGGCAUCGGUUCCCAAACUUGCCACUGCAUAGAGCAUUGUAAGAGGCUGUAGAAGUCCGGGUGAGUGCUUUACCUAGGAUCCAGAUCUUACGUAAAGUUCUUGACUGUUGGUGUAUAAUAGUUGCUAGUUUUGAUUUCUUUUUUUGUGUAACAGAAUUUCAUGAUGCAGAAUUUUGAGAUCUCGGAUAAAUCUUAGUAAACUGAAACACGUUAAUUAUUUCUUUGUAGAAAACCAUCCAGCUUUUGCACUUAAUUCAUCGAUUACUCUUUUUCAACUAAAUCACCUAUUGCCCUUGCCCUUCUUGUUAAUCGAAACAUCUUUCAAUUUCGCCAUUUUAAUCUCCAGAAUCCAACGGUUGGAUUGAAACACGUUUAUCUUAUAGAAAUACUUCUGGUGCAAUCCUCUUUGGAAUUUGCAUGCCUGUGCCUUGUGAGGUUUUACGGAGAUGAAGUAUCAGGGAAAGUUAGGAAACUAAUGGUGCCAUCAGAUGGAAUCUGUACACAUAUAUUUUUAAUUGGGGAUGGAAAGACAAGACUGUAGUCUCUACCUGAGGGAAGUAAAUCCCUCUUCAAUCUAAAUAUGCAUUACUACGAGUCCACCACUAUGUUGAUGCAUGAAUCUCUUAUAAUCCUGUAUUCUUGAUGAUCUUUGACCUCAAUCACCUCACUCUCAACAAUUCGUGUGGAAUAUUAAGAUAUGUCUUCUAUUACAUAAAUUAUUCCAUUUAAAAAAAAUCUUCAUUGAUGAGGUUGUCAUUAGGAACACUGAUGACUUUGUUUGUUUAAAUAUAUUCACUUUCUUUUUCUUAUCCUCUCAUAGCAACCAAUAAAUAAACAAGUAGUUCGUUUUAUAUUAACUUGGAUCUCAUCUAAUUUGACAAAUUUGCAUACAAUAUGCAUCUCAAGAUCCUAGUGUCAGCAAUGAAAUACGUAAUUUAAUUUAUUAUUUAAUGGUUUUAUUUUUAUAAAUAAAUAUAAUAAAAGAACAUUAACACAAUAUUAGUUUUUAUGUGCAUACUACAUUGAUUAUUAUUUUUGUAAAACAAUUCAUAGUUGGUAUUGAUUGUAUGCAACAUAUUUUAUUAUAUUCAUAAUCUUAGACUUUGACUGCUUUGAAAUCUUAACCUUUCAAUUAUGAAAAGAUUAUUUUUUUAAUUAAUUUUUUUUAAAAUAAUAAUAAAGCUCAAAACACAUUAAAAAAAAUCUAAAUACUUCUCCACAUAUAACAAAGUUUUUUAAAGAUAGUAUUUAAUGUAAAUAAAAUAAAAUAAAACUUUAUACCAAAUUUAUAUACUAAGUAAUUAUUUUUAAAAUUUUAAAAUUUAUCAGAACAAAUUUAUUUGUAAUUAGCAUAACAAAUAAUUGAUAUGGAUGUAGAUGUUUAUUUUUUAUUUUUUUCAAAUCAUCAUUUUUACACUUUGGCAAGAUUUGUAUCUAUGUUUUUAAAUAUAUAUAUAUAUAUAUAUAUAUAUAUAUAUAUAUAUUAUAAAUUUUAUUCUUAUAUUUUACAAAAUGAUAAGAAAAUUAUACAAUAGAAAUGACAUGUAAUUAAAAAAAACCUUUUUAUUUGAUGUUAAUAUAUAUUUAGAUGAUUAUUUUUAGUUUUUACUUAUUUAUUUUUAUAAUAGUUAAAAAUCUAUUAAAAAAUUAGUUAAUUUUAUUUUAUAUAACGUUUUAAAAUUUUGAAUUAAUUAUAAAAUAUAAAAUAAAAAUCUCAAUGAUAAUGAUGUAUUUAUUAAAUUUUAUAUUUUUAAUUUUAAGUUCCUUUAAAUUUUUAAAGAUUAAAAAUUUAUAAAAUAGAUUAGAAUUAUAAAAGACAUAAUUCGCAAAAGCCUAAAAUAUUUUAAUAGUUUUUACUAAUAAUUAGAAUCAUAAUUUUUAUUUUUAUUUUAAUAAAUAUUAAAAUUUAAUUUUUUAAAUUAAAAAGUAUAAAAUUUGGUAUUUUGUUAGAUAAUUUUAUGAUGUUACUAUAUAAAAAUAAAAAUAAAACCGAUCUAAAUAUUAAUAGAUUAAAGAAAGAUUCUAAAAUAACUAUGAAUAAAUUUAAAGGAAAGGCUUGUAUACUAAAACUUCACAAGAAUCAAAAAAAGAUUUUUAUUUUAUAUUUUAAUUCUUUUAAUUUAAUUUAAUUUAUAUUGAUAAUUUAUAAAAUUAGAGAUUUUUUAUUUUAACUUCUAAUAAUUCAAAACCUAUUAUUAUAUUAUAUUAUUAUCAUUAUUUUUACAAUAGAAGUUAUCUUGCCUACAAUGACAUUCUAUAUAAAGAGUCUUAGACAAGAUGCUAAAGCAUCCACAGAAAAAUCCAUGGACAUAAAUUCAACAAAGAAUAAAAUGAAAAUUAAUCUUCUAAUAGACUUAAAAGAAGAGAGUAAUGUUUUUACAACCUUUAACUUUUAUUAAAAGAAUAGAUACCAUUACUUAAGUUUUCAAUUAUUUGAUUAGUCACUACCUUCUUGAUUUGCUUCAGACUAUGCUAAUUUAUUUUUAAAAAUUGUGCAACAAAAAAUAAAAAUAAAUAAAGAGGUGGUUGAAAAAGAAGUAUAAAGCUUUAUAAAUCUACUAUUAUAGCUAGCUUUGUGGGUGGCAAAUUAGAAUCUAACAAAUUAGGUGCUUAAAAAGAAGAACUCAAAAAGCUUUCUAAAGAUCCUGUUACUCUUAGAAAACAAUUAGUAGCUAAUGUAUAUGUCUCAAAAUUUCUUCUAAAGAAAUAAUAUAUUGUAUAUUAAUUAUGUCACUUUAUAAACCAAUUGUUGGAUUUUACAUCUUUUAAUCAUAAGAUCUUAAAUUAUAUGUAAAAAUAUAUAGAAUUAUUAUAAAAAUUAUUCUUGUUCAUUCAAAAUAUCAACUUGGAUUGUAUUAAAAAAUAUUCUUGAAGAAUUUCUACUUAUAAUUAAUGAUAUUAUAGAUGAGUCUAAAUAUUAUAAAAAAAAUAUAAAACCUUGUUUCUACAUUGCAAUAGACUCAGGUGUUAGAUAAGAAUUUGAAUUUAAAAUAACAAUUAAAUUAUCAUCACAAAAAAUCUACUCAUUUUUAUUAUUUAAAUUUAGCUAUUUUUUUGUUUAUUUAUUUUUACAAUGAUGCAUCAUAUCAAAUAAUACUUGGUCAUGGCCAAGGCCUAAAGAGGGAUUUGACACACCAAUAUUAAAUUGGGCCAAAUUCUAUAUAUACAAAUAAAAAAAUUAAAUAUACAUAAAAAUAAAUAAUACAAUCUUUAGAUAAGAAUCUUCUUCUUCUUUUGAAUUUUAUUGGCAUGUUCCACAAAUAUCUAAAAGGUUUUAUUUUGGCAAGACAAAAGCAGAAAGAAGUUUAGAAAGUUUUAAUAUGUGAGUAAUAUAUGGAAAAAAAUGAUUUCUAAUAUUUAUAAAAAUAAUAAUAAUAAAAAAAUAUAAAUUUAUUAUGAAAGAAUAAGUUAUUUUUAAUAUUCAAAUGAAUGAAUUGAUAAUAAUAAUAUAAAUAAAUAAAAUAUAUUUUUUUCAUUUUAAAAAAAAACCAUAUCAAAAUACAUAAGUUGGAGGAGAAAAAAUAGAGAUUGUAAUUAAAAUCACAUUAACCUUCAUAUUUUGAAUAUGAAGAUUAAACACUACUUUUAAUUUAGAUUUGGUUGUAGGCCUACUUAUUAUUUUUACAUUAUUGCUAAAUAUUACAAACAUCCAAUAAGAAGAUUUAAAAAUUAUUCUUAAAAUAUUUUAUUAGGAUCUAAAAGAUUUUAGAAGAUUCUUAGAUUAUUCUAUUAGAAGUUUUUAUAAAUAUUCUUAAAAUAUCAUAGAAGAUUCUAUAAGAUUCUUAAAAUAUUCUAAUAGAUUCUAAAAAGUUCUAGAAGGAUUGAAGAAGUUAUCUAAGAAGCUUCCUAAGAUUGCUUUAUCUUCAAGAAAUAUGAAAACUUUUCAAGAAGCUUCUUAAAGUUGCUUUAUCUUCAAAAAACAUGCAAACUUCUUAUUACCUAAUAUAUAUUAGAAUCAAGGCUAAGAAGAUUCUUAGUAUUGACAAUAUAUUUCUUAAAGCUCUAACUCACCUUUCUUAGUAUUGAUCUUAUAUUCAUCUGAUUUAAUCAAGUUUUUGCUAGUUUUUUUGUUGAAACUCUUAUGUUCAACUUUUUGUUCAAAUUCUUGUAUAGUACAUUCAUGAUAGUUUGUUGAAAUUCCUCUCUUAUCAAUACUAGAGCUUGAUCCUUCUUGAUAGAGAGUAGAUUAUUCCUCUUCUUGAAGGCAUUUAAGUGCUUUAGAGAUUAUAGAGUAUCCUUCUCUAAACUAGUAUUGUUUAGAAACUCCUUUUUUUUUCUUUCAAGAUGGCUGGAGGUGAAGAUAUUAAUAUGGUUGAGUCACCUAAGUCCAAGUUAGAUAUUAUUAUGAAUACGUUGAAUGCUUUAUCUUAUAAAACUAUUAAAAUUGAAGGAGUUUUUAUAAGAUUUUAUAGUGAUGCAAGACUUGAAGCACUUCAUUGUGUAAUGCAACCACUUUCUUAAGCUUCUAUAUCCAAGGAGGUGGUGGUACUUAUACUUCAAUAAAAAAAUCCACUUAUUCAAUAAUGUAAAGAAUCUCGAAUUAGUCUUCUAAAAAAGUUUAAUGGCAUAUAUUCCAAGUUUUGAGGAUUUGUUAACCAAAUUCAAUUGAUAAUUUUUUUGCAACCUAAGCUCUAUCCAACUAAAGAGUCAUAAAUUGGUUUAGUAAGAACCUUGCUUAUAAAUCAAGCUUUAUCUUGAUUUACUCUUAUAUUUGAAAAAAGUUUUUUAAUCUUGAGUAACUUUGAAGCUUUCUUAGAAAUAUUUGUAGAGGCAUUUGGAGAAUAUGACAAGGCUUGAUGGACAAUAACAAAGAUUCAUUUAUUACAUCAAAGAUCAUAUUCUACAUCAAUUUAUGCAUUUGAUUUUAGACAAUUGGCUUGUGACAUCAAUUGAAAUGAAGAAGCUCUUAUGAGCUAAUUCUAUUGAAGACUAAGGGAUGAUAUAAAAGACCUAUAAUUAUCAUUACCUAAUCCUCAAAUAUUCAAUGAAGCUAUCAGCCAAGUUGUAAAGUAUAACAAUUAAUUAUUUUAAUGCCGUUUAGAUCAACAUUUGUUGACUUUGACAAAGCAAUGUACUAAAAAUUUGUACUUUGCUACUUCAACAAAUAUAUUACUUCUACAUUUUAGAACUAAAGAUAUAAAAAUUAAUGCAAUAUAAUUUAAACCUCUUACAAUAAAAGAAAAAAAAUAUUGUUUUGAAUAAAGAUUGUACUUAUAUUGUGGAGAAGAAGGCCACAAAUCUAAGAAUUGUUCAAAGAAACAACAUAUGACUAGAACAAGGAUUGUGAUGUCGUAUUGUGACAUGAUUAUAUGGUAAUAAAUAUAACUAAAAAUAAUUUUUUAAAUAAUAUUAUAUUAUAUUAAUUCAAUAAGAAUUCAAAAUAUUUUAAUAAGGCUUUUAUGAAAGCAUCUUAGUCUAUUUUCUUGUCUUAAUAGGAAGUAGAUAAAAGUUAAAUAGUAUUUUUAUCUCUUAGGAUAUAGAAACUCUUUUAUUGUCUUAGAAAGGCCAUAAAUUAAUAAAAUUAGGAUAGAAGAGAUAAGUGGUUGAUAUGGUUGAUACUAGGAUUAAGUUGAGAGUAGGAUUGGGCUUAAAAGUCCUUAGAAGAGAUUAAAUUAAUAACCGGGGGUUGACCAUUUGUGAGAUAGGAUUAAAAUCAGACCUCUGGUUUCUAAAGGACUGCCUAUAGCAAUGUAGGGUUUCAUUCAAAGAUUGGAGAUUAGAAUUUGAGAGCUAGCUUCAAGCUCUUUUCAAAGACAGAAGGUUAGUUUUGGUAGGAUUUAUGAGGGGAUUAGCAAUUAUUAUUAGAAGUCAAGGUUUGUAUUGGCAACUUUGGAUUUUUGCAAUGAAAUUAGGGCUAGCACUCUCAACUAGUUUGUAAAAUUACUGUCACAUUUAUAGUUCAAAUUUUGGUAGUACUUGGAUAAUAAGGUGUUCUUAGUGUAUGUAAAAUUUUGUGAUAAUCUAAUAGUGCAAUUGAGAGAUAUCUGGGUUUUGAUACAAGAACAUAUCAAAAUUUGGUAGUUUGGAAUUAGGUAGGGUUUCUAUGAUAUCUAGAGAUCUAUUAGUAUGAUCAAAGUAAAAAUUGGCAUUGUAUUGAAGGACUUGAAGAUUAAGCUGUACACCAAUUUUGAAUUGAAGUUAACAAUUAGAGAAAGCAAAAUCAUUUCUUGAACUUUUGCUUCACCUUUCAAGUUGAUUGCCGAGUGACAUUAGUGCAAUUUUUGGAGGUUUUCUCACAAUUUGUAAGUUGGAUUGGAUUGAAAAUUCUUAAACAUAUAGAAGAUUUAUAUUGAUAAUUUCAAGCAAAAUUUUACAUCAAGUAGAGAGUCAAAUUAGAAGUUAUAGCUUGUCAAAGCUCAUUGAUUACAGUUGGAGCUUACAAGAAAAAUCUAAAUUGCUUAAAUAUGAAGGUUACAAGGUAAUUGAGGUUUAUAUGUGAUUGAGGCUACUAAAAAGAGUAUUUUUUUAGUACUUUUGAAUUAGAAUUUGGAUUAUAUUCUUCUCAUAUGGAUGAAACCUAUUAAGGUUUCUUAGAUGUUUGUGAAAUACAACCUCACCUUCUACAGCUUGGUGCCCAGUGCAUUUUCAACGAAGACAACGCGUAAUACAAUAGCAAUGAUUUAGGAAAAUAAAGAGGCCCAACUGUAAUAGAGACUAUGUGGCAAUACAUUCUAACAUUUCAAAUCAUCAAGGUUCCUCUCUUUUUGCCUAAUUUCCUUGUUGUUUUACUAUACCUUUCUUUCUUAGCCAGUAAAAACUUCAAACAAAUGCCUUAUUAGAUUUAUGAGCAUUUUUUUUUUUUUUUAGAUAAAGAACUUUUAAAACUUUAUAAAAUUCUUUUAAUAUAGAAGUCAAAGCCUAUAUAUAUGGAAGUAAUAGAUGGUUGAUAUUUAUCUUCAAGUAAUAUUAUUUAUGAGACCAUACUGCUAGAAAUAUUAUUUGAGGAUCAUAGUAGUAAAAUAUUAUCUAAUAUUAUUAAAAUUCCAUUCAAUUCUAUUAUUCUAGGACUUUUGUGGUUGAAAAGAUUGAAUUCAUCUAUAGAUUGGAGGCUUUAUAAGGUUGAAUUUUUUAUAAAAUCUCUUUGGAUAAAACCUAUUAAGAUUUUAUUAACAACAAAGUCUUUAUUUUUUUGGAGCAAGGACUUUUAUGAAGACAGUUAAGAAGAUAAUAUUAUUUAUUAUUUAUGCAGCUCUAGCUUGUGAAAAAAUAAGCUUGCUAGUAGUUAUUUUAGAGUAGUGUAAAGAUUUUCACAAUGUCUUUGAAAAAAAAUGCUAACAUAUUGUCUAAGCAUUGAUCAUAUGAUUGUUCCUUCAAUCUUCAAGAACGGAUUCAACCACUUUUUGGCCCAACGUACAACCUAUCACAGAAAAAGCUUUUGGCAUUGAAAAAUUAUAUCAACGAAAAUCUUGUAAAAUCUUUUAUUCGAAUUUUUAAAUCUCCAAUAAAUGCACCAAUACUUUUUGUAAAGAAAAAAAUUGAAUCUUUAUAAAUAAAUAUUGAUUAUGAUGGUAUUAAUAAAAUAAUGGUAAAGAUUUGUUAUCCAUUAUCAUUGAUAUCUAGGCUUUUGGAGCAAUUUGGUUAAGUCAAGAUUUAUAUCAAAAUAGAUCUUUAUGGAAUGUAUAAUUUAGUAUAAUCUAAAAAAAGAAAUAAAUAGAAGAUAAUAUUUUGGACAAGUUAUGCAUAUUUUGAAUAUAUUGUCAUGUCUUUUAGAUUGAUUGCUACUCUAAUUAUAUUCCAAAAUUUGGUGAAUGAUGUUUUUGAGAAUUUUUGGACAAAUUUAUUAUGUUAACUUAAUGAUAUCUUAAUCUACUAGAAGACUCCUAAAGGACAUGAAGAAUAUAUGAGAUUAGUCUUGCAAAAAUUAAAGGAUGUCGGAUUAUAUGCCAAAUUAAAAAAAAAAUAUUCUAUCAAUCAAAAGUAGAGUUUUAUGGAUGUAUUAUAUUUAAUAAUUGCAUGUUCAUGGAUCCAAUAAAAAUUCAAGCUAUAAAAAAGGGGACAACUCUAAAGAUAAUUCAAAAUGUACAAUAUUUUCUUAAAUUUGCUAAUUUCUACUGGAUGUUUAUCUCAAAUUAUUUCCAAGUUGCUAUUCAUUUUAUUUGAUUGACAUCCAAAGAUAAAUUAAAAUAGGAACCUUAAAUACAAAAGGCUAUUCAAGUUUUGAAGGUAGCAUCUAUUAUAGCUCCAAUCUUAAUAGAUCCAAAUUUUACAAAAGACUUGUAUUUAAAAUCUAAUGUUUCUAACUUUGCAUUAGGAGUUGUACUAUCAUAGAUAGUAAGUGAUAGAAAGCUCUACCCUGGUGUAUUUUCUUCUAGAAAGUUUUCAACUAUGAAGAUCUAGUAUGAGAUUCAUAAGAAAUAGCUUCUUAUGAUUAUAGAUUCUUUUCAAGAAUAGCUAUACUUAUUAAAAGGUGCUAAGCCUCAUGUGACUAUAUGUACAGAUUAUAAAAACUUAGAAUAUUUUAUAUUAGCUCAGGUUUUGAAUCAUUAACAAUCUUUUUAAAAUUUGUCAUUAUUUCAUUUUGAUUUUGUGAUUAUAUAUUGACUAUAAUAGUAAAAAAGACUAUCAAAUGCUUUAUUAAGAAAAUCAUAUCUUAUUCCAAAGGUCAAAGAAGUAAUAUUUAAUCAAAAAUAUACCACCCUCUUAAAACUAAAAUAAUUUUGUCUUUAUGCCACUUCUAUGGUUAUACUUAUUGAUUCUAGUUUUCUUGAAUAAAUUUGUAUAUUGUCAGUUAAAGACUCAUUAUUUUAUAAUAUCAAGCUGUACUUUAAUAAUAACAAAUUCAAAUUCAUGGAAGAUCUUUUGUAUUUUGAAGAUUGUUUAUAUAUUCCAGAAGGACCAAUACAACUUUAUAUUCUACAAUCUCUUCAAGAUUUUUUAGUUGUAGGAUAUUUUUAAUUUAAUAAAAAAUUAGAGCUUAUACUAGAGAUUUUUGGUAGCUUCAAUUAUAAAAGACCAUGAAGGACUUUGUUCUCUUAAGUAAUAUUUGUUCAAGAUCCAAGAAUUUUCAACAUCAUCUUUAUAGACUUCUAUACCUACUUCCAAUUUUGAAGCAACCAUAGUCUUCAAUAUCAAUGGAUUUCAUCGCUGAUCUAUCGCCAUUAAUUACAUUUGAUGCUAUUCAUAUUAUUAUAGAUCAACUUACAAAGAUGGCAUAUUUUGUUCCAUGCAAAAAAAAAAAUUGGAAAAUAAAUAAUAAGGAUUUUUUUAAAUAAUAUAUAUCAAUAUCAUGGCCUAUUUGAUAAUAUUAUAUUUGAUUGAGGACAAAUUUAUAGGAUAGGUAGAAUUAAUUAUAAUAAUAAAUUUACUAUAAAUCUUGUGAUAAAUUAAGGUCCUCAAUAUUUAUAAGUUGAUAUUAUUACUUGAUGAUAUCAAAGUUUUAGAAAUCUUUUUUCAAGAUAUUGAUGGUAGAUAUCAAAUUUUUCUUUGCCUUCUACUCUCAAAUUGAUGGUCAAACAAAAUAUUUUCAUUAAAUAUUAGAAUAAUAUUUAUAAUAUAUCAUUAAUUAUUAAUAAAAUAAUUAAAUCUUAUAUUUAAUUUUAGCAAAUAUUUUCUUACAAUACUAUUCUUCAUAAUUUGAUUCAAAAAAUAUCAUUUAAAUUUAAUUAUGAUUACUAUCCAAAAUUUGAUUUAUUGGAUAUAUUAAAGGAUAAAAAUCUAGUAACUAAAGAUCUUACAAAAUAAUUAUCACAACUCUAGACAACUUUGAAGCUUCAUUUAUAAGCAGCUCAAAAAUCUUACAAAGUAUCUUCAAAUGAAUUUAGAAAAGAAUCGCAUUCUUUUUAAAUUGGAGAUAAAAUAUGGUUUCUUUGACAAAAUAUCAAGACCAAUUGGCCUUGCAAUAAGUUGGACUGCUGAAGAUUGAAGCCAUUUUGUUUUUAAAAUCAAAUCAAUCUAAUACUUUAUUCAUUAGAAUUAUCCACAUCUACAAAGAUAUAUCCAAUCUUUCAUAUUUUUCUCUUAAAGGCUUUUAUAGAAUCAAUUAUUCUAAAAAGAAUACAAUCAUCAUUGCUUUAUAUUAAAAUAGAUAAUCAUGUAGAAUAUGAGGUAGAAAGAUCUUUGAUUCUCGAGAAGAAAGAAGCAAGUUGGAAUAUUUUAUUGAUUAGUAUGGCUUUGAUAUCAAUAAGUGUACAUGAAAAAUAGUAAAAAAUAUAAUUAAUAUAUCUCAAAAGAUAUAAGAAUUUCAUCAAUGCUAUCCUCAAAAACAAAAAAUCUAUUUUAAGAUGACUUCUUUAUGAAGCUAGUGCUAUAAUUGAAACAUGAUCAAAUUAUCUCAAAAAUCCAAGAUCCUUCUAAUCUAUAACAACAUAAAGCAUUAUUACAAAAUAGGACAAAACAGACCAAAAUAAAACUGAAUGGAACUAAAUUGAAUAAGACAUGAAAGACAAGACAGAGGAAAUAGAAGCAGAACACAAUAGAUUUGAACAAAAAGAUGUAAAGCCAAAUUUUACUAAGAAAAAAGAUCCAAAGCCAUACUUGACCAGAUACUCUAAAAGACCUUGGCUAAUUCUAUUUACACCUUAUUCUACCACCCUAGUCUUUCUAGAAUGUUCUUAAGUGCUGAAUUCUACCUAAAUAACUACCUUAAAUUUCUUUUCUAGAAGGUUUCGUGGUAGAUUCCAUUGAAAUAACUACCCUAAACUCUUUUUAGAAUGUUUUAUAAUGGAUCGUACUUAGUAUACUAAUCUAACCUAUAUUCUAGAAACUUCCAUGGUUCUAACUAUCUAUCCCUAUACAAAUAUCUUAUCUAUAUCUUGUUAUAGUUAAUUCUCUUCUACUAAUGCAAAAUGUCCUUAUUUCACUCCCAAUGGUAUCUCCAAAUUGUUUCUUGACAAUGAAUGAGGUUUUGUGCAUGUUCCCAUAUUGCAUCGUGAAUGGGAUAUUCUUUCCAAAAAACUUUUUACUGAAGUUGAGGAUGUCCACAACUACGACAAAGAUAGUGAUGCUCCAAAAUGUUAUCCUCUUCAUAUUCUUAUUGGUUAUCAAUUACAACUAGUGGUAGUAGUGGUUGGUGUCGAUCUAAAAAGUACUUUGGUUCGAUAUGAAAUUUUUUCAGUUGCAAAAUAUAAAAGAUUGGAUGGAUCCGGAUAUAUAUUAAAAAUUGGAGGUGAUAUGCAACAUCAAAAAUCAUUACAAAAAUGCAAAAAGGUCUAAUCUAUCGAAGUGAUAAUUUACGGAUUUGGGAUAAUGUAGCAAGUGGCAAGUUGGCAUUAAAGGAUAAUACUUAAUCACUCUUCCAUAAAAUCUUAUGUUGCUGAUGGUUAUCUGCAUAUUGCUUUUAUCAAUUUUAUGUAGUAAAGAGGUGGUGCCGUGCCUCUUAUAAGGCCAUUAUAAGCCGUUGUAUAAAUUCUUUUGUUAUCAAGUUUUUGUUGUCAAUAAAAUGAUAGAGAGUUGUUGGCAUAAUCGGAUAUUGACAAGUAUUAAAGAAAAAUAGUGAAUGAUUGGUACUUCCUUGAAUACUAUCAUUGUAAGUAAAUUCCAAAGGCAUCAAGUAUUUAUUCCAAUCAUUAUGAUGAACCAUCACAAAUGCAUGUAGCAUAUUUUUUAAGGUGUGAUUUUCAUGCUUUGUUUGCCUAUCUGUUUGAAUAUAGAAGGCUGUAGACAUGGCAAGUCAUGUAUUUAAUAGCUUGAAUAAGGCUUGCCAAAAACUUUACGAGAAUUGUAGAUCCUGAACUGAAAUAAUGACAUGAGGUAAUCUAUGGUGACAAAAGAUAGUAUCAAAGAAGACUUGUACAAGUGCUGCAACAUCAAUAUCUGAGUAUACCAUGGCCAAGUGAAGUUGCUUUGAGAGUCAAUCUAUAAAGACAAUAACUGUCAUAUAUUUAUGACAUGUAUGCGGCAAAUAUGUAAUGAGAUCCAUAGUAACAUGCUCAUAAUGUUUCAUAGAUAGUGAAAUUGGCUGCAAAAAUCUAAGAGACAUUGCAUUGCAUACUUUAUUACAUUGACAUGACUUGCAAGAGUGAAUAAAGGCUUGAACAUCAUGAUUCAAACUUGUCCAAAAUCAUGUCCUUAAGAUCUAUUCUAGAAUCUUCUUUUGUCACAGAUAUCCAGUUAUUGGAAUGUCAUGUCCUUUAAGUAUGCGUGUCCGAAGUAUAGCAUUAUCAAAUAUAUAUAUCUAUUUCUUAAAAUAGAGUCAACCAUCACUAAGAGUAUAAUCUUGAUAUUAUAUAUCAUCCACCUUCAGUCGAUUGUUAACCAUCUUAUAAAUAAGCAUCUUGAUGUAUAGCUUCUUUCCACUAUGCCUCUUUAAUUAGAUUUGAAAUGAUACUACUAAUGGUAGCAACUUUUGCCUUGUCUCCCAAUUCAUCCUUCAAGUCAAGUUUCUUCAAUAAGCUGUUUGGCACAAUAUGUUGUUUCCUUUGCUUAUAUUCAAGCUAGAUAUAAAAAAGGUGCAAUUGUUCUUUUCAAUGAUGAUAUCAUGAUUUCAUAUUUUUUAAAUGCAAAUCAUGUAGCAAGGGUUGAUGGUUAGUCCAAAAAACCAUUGGCUUCUCUAACAAAUAAAGUUGCCACAUCUUUAUGGCGUAUACAAUUACUAAUUGCUCUUGAUCAUAUGCAAAGUAAUUGUGCUUUGUCCUUCUGAACUUACAUGAUUUAUAUGCCAUAAGUUGAAGGCUCUUAUCAAAAUCUUGUUGAAUGACUGUUCGAAUAGCAAAGUCGAAAGCAUCAAUGUCAAGUGUACAAGGAAGAUUAGGAUCAUAUCGUUGCAAUAUUACAGCAAUAUUAAGUACCUCCUUCAACUUAUCAAAGGUAUUUUGUUGCUCCAGUUUCCAUUCAAAUAGAACAUCUUUUUUCAAUAGAUUUAUGAAUGAGAUAGUAAUAUGAGCAAAUCGCUGAACAAAAUGGUAAUAGUAACUAACAAGGCUUAAAAAUGAGCAAACUUUAAAAGCAUCUUUAGAAUUUGGUUAAUCUUCCACUACUUUUAUCUUAUCUUGCUCCAUAUGCAUGCCUUUGGAGGACACCACAUGCUCUAAAAAGGUGAUGUAUUGAAGUAGAUAUGCAUUUUUAACAGUCUAUUUAUUGAGGCCUCAAUAAUUGAUGCAAAGGCAAAGUCUACCAUCCUUCUAGGGUGCAAAAAGUAUAGGUGCUCUCUAUGGUGAUGUGCUUUCUCAAAUGAGGCUUUUUUCAAAGAGUUCCUCUAAUGUCUUUUGUAGCUCUUCAAGUUCUUUUGGUACUAGGCAAUAAAUUGGUCGCUUUAUUUGUUUAGCUCCAAACAAUAGUUCUAUUUGAAAGGAGGUGUGAGUCAUCAAAUUGACUCAUUUAUUAUUUUAGGAUAAAAAUAUGUAUUUAGAAUGAUUUAAAUCACAAUAUGUAGUGAGUAGUGUAGAAAUCCUUAGAAAAAUAUAAAAUUAAAAUAUUAGUGGUGGAAAUGGAGUUUUAGUAAGUCUUAGAGACAAUUAUCCUCAUUGGUUUAGUAUUUUUAUUUUAUUGUUGAAUAUUAAGGAUUAUUUAAUAAGACCAGUAUUUAUAUUGGUCUUCUAUCUAUAUUUAAUACUUAUAAAAACUAUAAAUUUUAGUAGUUAGAAGAAACAUGAGAAAGAACCUCAUGUCAUUUUAAUUAUUGAUAUAAAAAAUAGAAUUUAUAGUGGAUUUAAAUUGAUUUUUAUUAUUAUCAAAAAUAAUCAAGGUAGGAAAAUAUAUCCUUAAAUGGAUUUUAGAAUUAUAUAAAUAUAUAAAAAAAUUUAGAAUUUAUUUAGAAUUUAUUUAGAAUUUAUUAGGAUUUUUUAGAGUAAUUUUUAAGAUCUUGGUAAAAAUAAGUUUUACCACUUUGGGAGCCUUUAUGAAGAAAUGGAGCAAAAUUUGAAGGCCCCUCUAGUAUCCUUGGCUAAUUGGGUGUUUUUGAACACCAUGGUGAGGUCAAAAUUACAAAAAUAUUCGUCCUUUUGGUAGAAAAUAGGAGGACCAGCAGCUAGUGUAGUCCUUGUAGGAAGGAGAGUGGACAAGUCCCAUAUGGAUUAUAGCACCUUGACGGUAGUUAGGAGGAUAAGACUAACGCCUCGUGGCCUCUCUUAAACACCCUUAUACACUACAUGUAAGCCUUGGUGAGGCUCAAACCCUUGAUCUAUAAGCAAGUUAUCUUUGAGGUAAAAUAUUUUCACUUCACUUUUUAAUUAUUUACUUCAUAUUUUUAAAACUUCAUAACUUACUUAUAAUAAUUCGGAUUUACAUAUUUCUUAUGUCAUUGAAAAGAAAAAAAAAUAAUAUAUCUAAAAAUAAAUUUUUUAUUUUUUAAAUUUUACUUUUACUAGAUGAAAAUAUAGUGAAAUGACUGUGACUUAGUUUUGGAUGUUGUAAUUGCUUCAUGUCAUUUAUUUCAAUUGCUUUGUGGUUAUUCUUCUUUUGUUCUUGUUAUUUUCUUACUUCACUUCAUACCACCAAUUACAAGCAACUCUUAAUUGAAACCAUCUUGUAACUCGGAUUGAGGAGUAAAAAUUUACACUCACAAGAGGCAUCUCAAUUAAGACACAUGUUACUAAGUAGGUCAAUUGGAAAGAUAUCUUGAUAUUCUUCCAUGAGUUAUUGUGCCCGUUCUACUCCUUUGGCUAUCUUUUCCACCACUAAUGUAAGAUUUGAAACUACUAUAUAUACCAAUUGCUCAUGUUAUAUUUGUUUCUUCAUAAAGAUUGUCCUUUUGAGUAAGACUUUGGUUAUAGAUUGUCUUUCUUCUUCACUUGAUGUGAAGAUGCAAAGAGUCACCUUGUGUCCUCCAUCUUUAAAAGAUAUUGUCCUAGUUAUUCAAUCAACUUGCUUAUUUUCUAUUUCUAGCUAUAGCAUACUAAAGAUAAUAUCAUAUCUUAGCUUUAUUAUCUUGAAUCUCUUUCUUAAGAUAUAGGCGUUAAUCACUCUCAAGGUUUUUUCUUCACACGUUUUAUUCAAUAUAUUCUCUCGGUCAUCUGUAAGAUAUAUUCUUCUUCCUUUAAUUACCUUAGUUUUAAUUCCAAGUCGAUCGGCAAUUUCAAUUGAGAUGUAAUUUUUUGUAGAGCUAUAAUCUACAAGUACUUGACAUGGUUGUCCUCUUAAUAGUUCCAUUAGAUGCAUCACCUGACUCUUUUUAUAGUUAUUCAAGGCCAUGCCAUUUAUCUUUGAAAAAUAGUAGCUAUCUCUAGUAUUGGUCCUUGGCGCCUUUACUAGGGAGCCUCAUUUUCUUGCUUUGUCUUAUUUUUGACUGAAUAAGUUUCAAGACUGUGAACCCAUUUUAUCUUUUUGAUGCUUGAAUUUCGACAUUUUGGACAACCUCUAAUCUGAUGGCCUAUCUUUUAAUAAUAGAAACAUAAUCCUUUUUGCACUAAUAUUUAUCAUCUUUUUUGUAUCAAUGAUCCUUAUUGUUAGGGACUGUAUACAAGAAAGGAUUCAAGACUAUAUAAUGGAAUUAGCUUGAUAUUAAAAUAAUAACUAAAUACAAGGCAAGAAAGUCUUAGCUAGACAACAAGAAGUAAGGAUCAUUGACACCACAAUUGAGGAUCCUCUCAACCUAGAUUCUUAUAUAUAUUAGGUCUUAGAAAGCUUCUUGAGAAGUUUCAUGAGGCUUAGAAACAAAAUAAGCCUAAGAUCCUUCUUUGGCAACUUCCUAAAUCAUCUAAAGCUUUGUAGAAUCUUUUAGGAUUUCCUAUGACCUUAAAGAACUUUCUUUCACGGACAUACAUAUAAUUACCUAUAUGAAUAGAUAAAAGUAUGUAAAAGUAGAUAAAAGUAGGUUAAUUGUGUAAUAUCUUCUAGAGACGCUUCUUAGAAGCUUCAUAGACACUGCUUUGACUUUAUAGGAGUCUAUAGUUGACUUUUAGGCUAGAAACUUGGUCAACAAGUUAGCCAUGUGCCACACAUGUUGGAAGCUUAAAGAACAAGCUAACUACGUGGUCCAUCCAUAGAAAACUUGCCUUGUAAGCAAAGGCAUGUGGCCUAGAAAGUCAACAUAUAUUGGAGGUCUUAUAGAACAUCGCCAUGUGGCUUCUAGUUAGAUAGUAUAUAUAGAGGCAAGAGUGAAGCCCUCUUCACUCUUGUCAACUCCUUUCUUGCUUCUAGUCUAGUUUCAAGGGUCUCUAGUUUUCUUGUAUUUUGGCAAUAGCCAUUCUAAUUUCUUUUUUAAUAUACAUAUUUCUAUUUUGUCCUAUUUCUUUGAGAAAAGUCUCACUUACUCUUUAGCUUUCAUCGAGUUCUUGUCCUUGACAGAUUGACAAGAGUGCACUUACAAUAUGAGAGCUUUGUCUUUUCUUGAUUAAGAGUGGAUUACUCCUUUUUCUUGAUAAGACAUAAGCGCAUUAGAAGUUGCGGAUUACCCUCUUUUAAACUGAUAUUGUUCUUAGUAUUUUCUUUGUUAUCAAUUCCUCUCUUCUAUUUGUUUUGAGCGUUAUUAGACAUCUUCUCUUUUCUAAGUGCUACUAUGGCAGAGCUUGUUGAAAUGAAGAGUGCAAUGGCACAGAUGCAAGAACAAUUGAGGGAGUUAAUGCUUGCGAUGCAUCAAGUCAAUUUACCACCACAAGGAGCAACAAGAAUGGUAGGAAGUGAAGAUAUAGAGAUGAUUGGAGCUGCUUCAACAUCUGCACCAAACCAUGUCCCUUCUCCCAGAAUGGAACACCCUUCGAGUGUUAGAGAACCGAGAGUGGCCUUGCCCGAGAAGUUUGAUGGUACCAGAUCCAAGUUUCGAGGAUUCAUCAAUCAGGUCCAAUUAGUGAUUGAACUUCAACCCCAGAGCUAUCCAACUCCAGGGUCACAAGUUAGAUUCAUUGGUACACUUCUUUCAAGUUCAGCAUUGUCAUGGUUUUCAUCUUUUCUUGAACGACGAGAUCCAAUAUUGGAUAAUCUGGAGGCUUUUUUGGCGGAGUUUUGAUCCAUGUUUGGAGAACAUGAUGCAAUUCGUGUUGCAACCAACAAGAUCCGUAUUUUGCGACAAGGCAAUCGAUCAGUAACAUUAUAUGCUUCGCAAUUUCGACAACUUGCAACUGAUAUCAAGUGGGAUGAUGCCGCACUUGUGAGUCAAUUUCUCUACGGAUUACAAUAUGAGGUAAAGAAAUUGAUGCUUAAUUUACCUGAUCCUCAAACAUUGAGUCAAGCAAUUGACUUUGCUGUGAAGUGCGACAAUCGACUUUUUGAAUUUAGAUCCGAGAGUCGCACAAGUAGGCCUCAACGUUACUACAAUUCAAUGGCAACACCGACGUCUUCUCAACACAUACCUUCAGAAGUAGAGGAUAUGCAAAUUGAUGCGGUACGUUUCAAACCUCUUACUGAGCAAGAAAAGUCUCGUCGUCGACAAGAAGGAUUGUGCUUAUAUUGUGGAGAACCUAAGCACACUGCUCAACAUUGUCCAAAGAAGCGACGUAACUACAAAAUGAGGAGUACGGCUGUCAAAGAAGACAGUAUGUCGGAAAACGAGUACGUCCAGCUACAAUAGGGACCGUGCGGCUGGAAUCUUGUACAACUUCUAAUGAAGGUCCUAUCCUCUCCUCAGAACCAUCUCCUUGUUUUAUAAUAGAUGUGCGUUUAGGACCUAAUAAUUACAAAGCCUCUGCCUUGAUAGAUUCAGGAGCCUCAGCUUAUUUUUUAGAUGAAGAAUUUGCUAGAUGUCAUAGAAUAUCAUUAAUACAAAAAACUAAACCUGUACACGUAGAAGUCAUAGAUGGUCGUCCGUUGUCUUCUGGAGAUGUAACUCACGAAACACUUCCUGUAGAUGUAGUAAUAAAUGGUCAUAGUAGUUGCGUAAUUUUUAAUAUAAUUAGAUCUCCCUCUAAUCCAGUAAUUUUAGGCUUAUCAUGGUUAGAAAAGUAUAAUCCUCGAAUAGAUUGGAUUUCUCGUAAACUUGAUUUUCCUCGGAGCAUUAGUAACAGUUCUAUUAAUCAAGUAAAAAACCAUGAGUCUAGUAUAGUAAAACCCGCACUUAUAGGUGCAAAAGCAUUUAUACACGCAGCAAAAGAAGGAUCAACUUUUGCUAUUUAUGCUGCACCUAUUUCUGAAAGCGUAAAGACUUCAAGUGGCAUUCCAAGUCAAUAUCAGGAUUAUCAAGACGUUUUUGAGAAAAAGAAUGCAGAUAUUCUUCCUGAGCAUCGCCCAUACGAUUGUUCAAUUGAUCUCAACGAAGGAACUCAGCCACCAUUUGGACCAAUUUACAGUUUAUCGCAAGAUGAGUUGGCUGAACUCAAGACAUAUAUUGACGAGAAUUUAGCGAAGAAUUUCAUACGCCAUUCAAAAUCUCCAGCAGGAGCUCCAAUUUUAUUCGUAAAGAAAAAAGAUGGAUCUUUACGAAUGUGUGUUGACUAUCGAGGACUCAACAAGAUCACAAUCAAGAACAGGUAUCCAUUACCUUUGAUAUCAGGACUCCUUGACCAGUUAAAUCAAGCUAAGAUCUAUACAAAAAUAGAUCUAAGAGGAGCAUAUAAUCUAGUACAGAUCAAAGAAGGAGAUGAAUGGAAGAUUGCGUUUCGAACCAGGUACGGACACUUUGAAUACAAUGUCAUGCCUUUUGGACUCACGAAUGCACCAGCUGCUUUUCAACAUCUCAUGAAUGAUGUAUUUCGUGAAUUCUUAGACAAUUUUGUCGUCUGCUACCUAGACGAUAUCCUGAUUUAUUCUAAGAAUGUUGAAGAACAUGAAAUACAUGUUCGUCAAGUAUUACAAAAACUUAGAGAUGCAGGAUUGUACGCCAAGAUGGAAAAGUGUGUAUUUCACACUACUCAAGUUGACUUUUUAGGAUACAUCAUUUCAAAUGAUGGUCUUAUGAUGGAUUCUAAGAAAGUCCAAACAAUCAUGGAUUGGAAGAUCCCAAAGACUGUGAGAGAUGUCCAAUGUUUCUUGGGAUUUGCCAAUUACUAUCGGAUCUUCAUCAAAGACUUCUCACGAGUUGCAGCUCCACUUAUACGCUUGACUAGUAAAGAUAAAUUCCAAUGGAAUCAAGAAGCGGAAGCAGCAUUUGAAGCCUUGAAGACAUCGUUUGUCUCUGCACCAGUCUUAUAUCGUGUUGAUUUUUCCAAGGCAUUUUUUAUGGAAACAGACGCAUCGGAUUUUGCCUUGGGUGCAGUUUUAUCACAAAUGGGAACAGAUGACAAACUUCAUCCGAUAGCUUUUCAUUCAAGAAAAUUCUCAGCAGCCGAGAUCAAUUAUGAGAUCCAUGAUAAAGAACUUCUUGCAAUCGUGGAUUCUUUUCAAGAAUGGCGUCAUUAUCUAGAAGGUGCUUCUAGUCCAGUCACUGUGUAUACAGAUCACAAGAACCUCGAGUAUUUCAUGUCAGCACGCGUGUUGAAUCGUCGUCAAGCUCGUUGGAGUAUGUCUUUGUCAAGAUUCGACUUCAUUAUCACUUAUCGGCCAGGAAAACAACAAGGUUUGUCUGAUGCCCUGUCUAGACGUUCUUAUUUUGCACCAAAAGAAGGAGAUGCAGCUUUUGAGCAACAAAGAACGGUCCUCUUGAAACCGGAGCAAUUUCAUCUCCGAGCAGUGAAAUCAACAUUGACUGUUGAUUCAACUUUUCUCGAGCAAAUCUAGUCCAGUAUGUCCUCAGACCCUCUUGUUCAUGAUAUCGAGAAUAAUUCUUCCAAGUCUCAUGAUUCUUCUAAGUUCGAGUUCAAGAAUAAUCUAUUAUAUUUUGAAGGACGCCUAUAUGUUCCAGAAGGAAAAGCACGUUUGCGUGUUUUUCAAGCACGUCAUGACUUUCCAGUAGCAGGUCACUUUGGAUAUAAUAAGACUCUGGAACUCAUAUCAAGAGAUUUUUGGUGGCCACAAAUGUGGAAGUCAGUCAAAGACUUUGUACAAUCAUGUGAUAUUUGUUCAAGAUCAAAAAUUCCUCGACAUCGACCUUACGGACUUCUUCAGCCAUUACCUAUACCAGAACAACCAUGGUCUUCUGUUUCUAUGGAUUUCAUCACAGAUCUUCCAAACUCAAGAUCUUAUGAUUCUAUAUUUGUGAUAGUAGAUCGUUUCACCAAGAUGGCACAUUUUAUGCCAUGUACAAAAUCUAUCACAGGUGAAGAAACAGCUAAGCUUUUCAUUGAUAAUAUCUAUCGCUAUCAUGGAUUACCUAAAGAUAUCAUAUCGGAUAGGGGAACUCAAUUUGUGUCGAGAUUCUGGAGGACUCUUUUCAAGAUUUUAAAAGUGGACAUAAAGCUAUCUUCAGCUUUCCAUCCUCAAACUGAUGGACAAACAGAGCGCGUAAACCAAGUCUUGGAGCAAUAUUUAAGGUGUACUAUCAACUACCAACAAGAUGAUUGGACAACCCUUCUGCCAUUGGCAGAGUUUGCUUAUAAUAAUACGGUACAUUCUUCCACGCAACAAACACCUUUCUUUGUCAAUUAUGGCUAUCAUCCACGACUUGAUACUUUUGAUUUUUCAAAAGUUGAUAAUCCUGCAGCAGAAGAUAUGGCAAAUCGGUUGUCAGAGUUACAUGCAAUAAUGAAGACACAAUUGAAGGAAGCUCAAGAACGACAAAAGAUAAACGCAGAUCUAUAUCGUAAGGAGCAACCACAAAUCAACGUGGGUGAUAAGGUAUGGCUACUUCGUCGCAAUAUCAAGACCACUCGACCUUGUGACAAAUUGGACUAUCGUAGGCUUGGCCCCUUUUCUGUUUCUGAACAGAUCAACCCAGUUGCAUAUCGGUUACAUCUACCGGAGUCAAUGAAGAUCCAUCCUGUAUUCCACGUGUCUCUUCUUGAACCAUAUAAGAUAGUGGAUAUACAAGGAAGAAGACAAAUGCCACCGCCUCCUAUAGAAGUAGAUAAUAAUGAAGAAUUUGAGGUGGAAGAGAUAUUAGACUCAAGGCGGCGCCGAAAUAAGCUGGAAUAUCUUGUUCAUUGGCGCGGAUAUGAUAUUAGUGAGCGCACAUGGGAGCCAUCCAGGAAUCUAGCAAAUGCAUCAGCUAAAGUCAAAGUUUUUCAUCAACGACAUCCAUCAAAACCAAGAUGAAAGCCUCUCUUAUAAAAGAGACAAGAUUGAGGCAAGAUAACAUUCAAUUUCCUAUCCUUGUUUGUAACUUCUUUGCAUUUGUGACGCUAAUUAGAUGGAGAGCCAACAACCAGCGGAUUCAACUCAAGAACCUUCGUUUGCUGACUUACCGGAUGAGACAUUGCGAUUGUCACAACCUUCAAGACGACGCAACCGAAAUGAAGACCCUCAAGAACGACAUGUUCUUCCUCGAAUAGAUGGUGAGAUACAACGCAUUUGGUAUCACGACCUUGGAAGAGAUUCUCGAUGUUUGGUGAUAUUAUUGGAGAUAGGAACGACUCCUGAUGGUGUUUCAAAUGUAUUAUUUGAAGGAAGUUAUGAAGGCCUCAACAGUGAUCAAAUAACAGGGUGGUCUUCUCGCCCUGGAAUGGGACACUAUCGAUGGCUAAGAGGACCCAUCAACUAUCUUCGAAGAGAACAAAGAUCAGAGUAUGUAGCAAAUACAAUUCGCCGCAUAUUAGAUUUUCUCAAUAUAUAAUCACCGCUCCUCGUGGAACUCGUCCCUAGAAGGGGGGGUAAUGUCACGGACAUACAUAUAAUUACCUAUAUGAAUAGAUAAAAGUAUGUAAAAGUAGAUAAAAGUAGGUUAAUUGUGUAAUAUCUUCUAGAGAAGCUUCUUAGAAGCUUCAUAGACACUGCUUUGACUUUAUAGGAGUCUAUAGUUGACUUUUAGGCUAGAAACUUGGUCAACAAGUUAGCCAUGUGCCACACAUGUUGGAAGCUUAAAGAACAAGCUAACUACGUGGUCCAUCCAUAGAAAACUUGCUUUGUAAGUAAAGGCAUGUGGCCUAGAAAGUCAACAUAUAUUGGAGGUCUUAUAGAACAUCGCCAUGUGGCUUCUAGUUAGAUAGUAUAUAUAGAGGCAAGAGUGAAGCCCUCUUCACUCUUGUCAACUCCUUUCUUGCUUCUAGUCUAGUUUCAAGGGUCUCUAGUUUUCUUGUAUUUUGGCAAUAGCCAUUCUAAUUUCUUUCUUAAUAUACAUAUUUCUAUUUUGUCCUAUUUCUUUGAGAAAAGUCUCACUUACUCUUUAGCUUUCAUCGAGUUCUUGUCCUUGACACUUUCUUAGAAUCUAUUGGAACUUUCUAAAACAUACUUAGAACCUACUAAAACCUUUUGGAACGUUCUAGGAUCUACAAGGACCUUCUUAGAACCUUUUAGAACCUCUUAGAAUCUUCUUGAACCUUCUUCAAUUGUAUAUCUAUGAUAUCAUCUCCUCCUUUAGCUUCGAGGUCUCCAAGUAGCAAUGUUGUUGCAAAUUAAUAUAUGCAUAAGAAAUUGAAGAUGUGAUGCCUGAUAUCCACUAUAUAUUCUAGUGAUUUUUUACAAGGCAAAUGGUUAAUAGGCCCAUGUAGCCAUCGAUAGUGCUCUAAGCAUAAACUUCAGUAUUUUCAUUAUAGAAUUGUCUUGCAAACACUCUUUUUGAGCAUCCUUCAUAAGCAAGUUCUAUCUCAAACACAAUUAUUAAUGACCUAUUAUUGGAUAUCUUUUGACGUCUUUGUGAUUUAGAUAGCUUUUCAUCUCGAGAUCAUCUUUGCAAGCUACUUAGUUGAGAUGGUAUGAUCGGCAAGGUAUCUAUCUCUUAACUAUCCAUAUCACAUAAAAUAGACAAGAUCAAAAUAAUAUAAACAAACUAUAGUCAUGAAUUCAAACUAUUGAUUUAUACUAUUUUAAAUAUUUGAAAAAAUUACCUCUUCAGAGGUUGCCUCUUCCUCUUCUAUGAGGCUAAGAACUAAGAAUCUUCAUGGUGAAGCCAUCUUACUAUGCUACUGUUCUUUAUUUUGCCAUUUUUGGUCUAGAUGGACGUUGUUGAUGGAACUUUUGAACCUUCAUUUGUGUAUUUACAAGGUUGCCAGUUAAUUCCCAAGUAAAAUCAUUGAUAUCAUAUCUAUGCCAAUGGACUAGAUAUUUAAGCCUUCUAUAUCUUAUCCUUGAAUUUAAUACCUCUUCUACCUCAAAUUCAACAUGAUCAUUGAUUUCAACCAUAAGAGGUGGUGGUUGUCUUUGACUUGGUAUGUUUGAUUCUUUAUACCUUUCCAAAAGUGAAACAUAAAAGACUAGAUGAAUCUUCAUAGAUAAAGGUAACUCCAAGUAAUAAGUUACAUUAUUGAUUUAUUUCUAAAUGACAAAUGGUCCCAUCUUUCGAUAGUCCAACUUAUCACAUAGCUUGUUGGUUUUUAUAUUGUACCAAAAAAACUACAUUUUGUCACCAACUUAGAAUGGAAGAUGUUCUUUCCUCAAUUUAUCCAUUGUCAUAUUGUAAAUUCUUACAAUAUAUAAAAUAUAGUUAAAACAUACUAUAUGUUGACAAAUCUAGAUGUGUGUUAAAGUAGUUAGUAGAUUAAAUUUUUUUAAUGGAGUUGGUAUAAGAUUUUUUUUUUUUUUUUUUUUUUUUUUUUACUUAUUUUGAUUUUAGCAUAAUAUAUAUAUAUAUAUAUAUAUAUAUAUAUAUAUAUAGGACCUAAAUAUUUAGUAUGAAGCCUUGGAAGAAGGUGGAAGCCUAAGAAAGAAAAUCCAAAUUAGUAGGAAGCUAAUUGAGAGGGAUGAAAGCAAGGUAUAGUAGGAUGAAGGCAAGGAAUGGGAAACUUCAUCCCUAUUGGUCAAAUAUCAUGUCCAAUGGGCUUUGAAGAGGCUGCCUACAACCUUAAGAAGGAUUUCGGCAACUUCAAAGAAAGUAUUUGGGAAUUAAAAGCCAAGGUUGUAAGGUUUAGAAUUUGGAUUACAUUUUUUGUGCAAAAAUUAGAAGAUUUGGAAUUAGUGUGAAGAAGUUAUAGAUGUUUGAAGUUAAGAUGUUAAUUUAAGACAUGCUAUUAUUCUUUUGUAAAUACAAGGAGUUUUACAUUAGUUUUUGAAGAUCAAAAGGUGCAAUUAGAACGAUGAUUUCAAGGCUUACAUCUUUUAUGAAAAAAUUGUUGCUUUUGGAGUUCCUAUAAAGGAGAUAUAAAGAGUUGAAGGUGAGGCUUCCAAAUCAAAGGCAGUAAGUGAGUGGUUUUAUUCAUAGUAAUAGUUGGAGCCAUAUCUUGAGUUUUCUGAAGAAUUUUUGGCUCAAACCUUAUAUAAAAUAUAGAUAAUUGUGUUAAGAGACUAAAAAUAUAAAUUUUGUGGUAUUUGAGUAUUUAAUUUGUGAGAUAUGCAAGAAAUUACACAUGAGUGUAUAAAAACUAGGGUUUGAAGCUACUAUUAGGAUUUUCAAGAUAUUACAAGAUUUGCAACGAAUUUGAAAUUGAAAUUUGUUGUAGAAGUUGAUAAAAAUACAUUAGUACUUUAUAUAAAUUUUUAAUAAGUUUGGAUGGUCGGAUCAAGAGUUAUGAAGUAUUGAAGUUCAGGAAAUUUUUUUCAUAAGGAAAUAUGAGGAUUUAGACGAUUCUAUCAUAUUUUGGAGGUUGUUGGUUACUUGAGGCUUAUGUAUUUGGUGUAAUUGCUCCAAAAGGAAAAUUUUAUAUAUAAACUUAGAGCUUCUCUUAUUUUGAAGCUUGAUUGAGCAAUUAGUGAUAGCUAAGAGCCUAGUGCUUUCUUGAGGCAAACUCUCUCUAUCCCAACACUACAACUAGCUUAUAAUGUUGUGGAGGCCUUUUUAGGUGAGUCUUUAUGGUUGCUUGAAAUUAAGCCAUCUUUGUAGCAAACUCCUCUACUGUUAGAUUUGUGACUUUGAAGGUUCUAUCAUAUCCAAUUUUGGAUGAUGACUAUAGUUCAAGUAGAAUGGCAUUUAUUGCAUAGAUACAUGGAUUGUAUUAUUAUAUGCAAAUUCCACCAAUAAUAAGUAAGAAAUUCAGUCAUCUUGUUGAUAAUUGAUGGUGCACUUCAAAUAUUGCUGAAGAAUUUAGUUGAUCCACUUUAUUUGGCCAUCAAUUUGAGGGUGGAAGGUAGAAGAAAGAUUAAUGUCAAUCUUAAGAAUCUUAAAGAGUGCCUUCUAAAACCUUGAUACAAAUUAUAGUCUACAACUCGACUUAAUAUUGUCUGGCAAUAUUUGGUAACAAUAGACAUUGUCAAUAAAGAGUCUUGUCAUCUAUUUACGAAUAAUUGACUUCUUGCAAAGUAUAAAAUGUGUCAUCUUGAUCAAUCAAUCAAAAACUACAAAGACAAUAUUAAAUGAGCUAGAUGGUGAAAGAUCUGUAAUGAAAUCAAUGGAGAUAGAUGACCAUGGUUAUCUUGAAAUAGGAAGAGAUUGAAUAAGUUUAUAAGACCAAUGUCGAGGAUUCUUUGACCUUGAACAAAUAUCACUUGAUAAUAUGAAUUUCUUAAAAUCCUUCCUGAUUUUAGGGUACCAAAAGUCUUUAAACAGAAGUUCUAAGGUCUUUUUGAAUCCAAAAUGUCCAUCUAUAGGGAAGUUAUGGCAUAUUUAAAGAACAUGCAAGCAAGUUUGCCCUUCAAGAAUGAACAAAUGUUCUUCAAAGAAUAAGAUGUUGUCUUCAAUCUUGAAUUUAAAAGACUCUUCAAAAAAGUUAUUGGCAAGAUGCUUGAUAUUAAGAACAAGAGGGUCCGUGGUUGAGGCUUUACAAACAUGAUGAAGAAAUGAUAAAUCCACAGGCAUUGAUACUUUGAUUGUUCAAAGAUGAAAUUGCUUAGGCUUUAACAAGGUUGCCUAUUGUUGAUUAUAUGCUGCCUCAUCUUCCUUUGGUUCAAAGUAGGAACAUCUUGAUAAUACAUCUGAUAAUUCUUGUUGGUUCUUGGGUUGAUACAUGAUACGAAAGUCAAAUUAUGAUAAAAAUAUACUCCAAUGUGCCUGGCAACGGUUCAAGAUUCGAGCUGAUAUGAAAUAUUCAAGAUUCUUAUAAUAUAUAUAUAAUCACUUGAUGAAAGAUGUCUUUAAAUAAGUGACAUUAUUUUUGGAAAGAAUCCAUAAUAGCAAGCAACUCUUUGUCAUGGAUUUUAUAGUUGAUUUUUAUCACUGAGAAUUUUUUAGAAUAGAAUGCAAUUGGGUGAAGUUUGCCAUCCUCUCCAUAUUGCGACAAGGCUGCUUCCAAUGCAAUGUCUAAGGCAUUGGUCUCCAUAAAAUAGGACUUGUUGAAAUCUAGAUGUAUUAAAAUUGGAGCUGUUGUAAAAGCAUCUUUUAAGCUUUGAAAAGCUUUCUUUGUUUUGACGCAUCAAUCUAGCUUGUCUUUGCAUGUCAAUUGUGUAAGUAGAAUAAGAAUUUUGGAAUAAUUCCUAACAAAAAUCCUAUAGAAGUUUGUAAAUCUAAGAAAAUAUUAGACAUCAUGUACAAUUUUUGGCUUUGACCAUUCGAUGAUUGCUUGUACCUUCUUUGGAUCCAUAAAAAGGCCUUUGUAGGAAAUAAUAUAUUCAAUAAAUUUGACUUGAGGUGCAUGAAAUACAUCUCUAAUUUUGCAUAUAGCCCAGCACUUCGUAGCUUUUUUAGUAGAAGGUGGAUAUAUUUUUUGUGGUCUUUUAGAUUCUUGGAAAAGAUUAGAAUAUUAUCCAAAUAGAUCACAACAAAGUCAUCAAUGCUCAUAAAAUAUGUCAUUCAUUAAAAAUUUGAAAUUUGGUUGGUGCAUUGGUAAGUCCAAAAGGCAUGACAUUGUAUUGAAAAUAUCCAUAUCUAGUAUGAAAUAUUAUCUUCCAUUCAUCUCCUUGGUUAAUGCAUACCAAGUUAUACAUGCCUUGUAGAUUAAUCUUUGUAAAGAUCUUUGCUUGACUAAGUUGAUCAAAAAGUCUAAAUAUCAAUGGCAAUGGAUAUUAAUUCUUUACCAUGAUUUUAAUAAAAUUGUGAUAAUCAACAUACAUCUAUAAAAAUCCAUCUUUUUUCUUCACAAAUAAUAUCAAACCACCUGUUGGCAACUUAGAAUGUCGAAUAAAAUUCUUAGCUAGAUUUCAUCAAUGUACUCUUUUAAAUUCACAAACUCAUUUUGGAAUAAAUUAUAGGUGGAUCGAAAUGGUGGUUGAAUACUUUAUUAAAGAUUAAUUGCACAAUUGUAAGGGCGAUGCUUUGGCAAGCUGUUCACAUUUUUCUUUUCAAAUACAUUUGUAAAAUCCUUAUAUGCCUUUAGAAUUGUUGUUGUAAUAACCACAAGUUUUGAUUGUGCAUUUGCGUAGACAAUAAAUGUAGUGCCAUGUUUGGUUGUCCUCACAAAUACUCUAGCUGUAAUAAAUAAAUGUUGUUUAAGUUUUGGCUUGUGAAAUGUUAAAUUUUUUUUUAUAGAUCUGGAGAUUCUAUGAUCUACUAGAGAAAAUUUUAACUUUUGAGAUAUUCAAUCUAUCCGUGGAUUAUAUUUUUCAAGCCAUGAAAGGCCUUAAAUGACUAGACUUGAUGAUUUUUUAAUGACAUUGAAUACUACUUAGUUGCUACAGUUAUGGAAGGUUAUUUCUAAUGGAAUCGCCUUAUGAGAGACAUCUCCAAAGAAUAAAGGUCGACCAUCUAUUACUUUUACAUGUAUAGCUUUGGAUUUUUUGACCAUAUAGAUUUUGUGUGAUCUAAAAAUAAAUAUGUAGAAAUUCUAUUGAAUGUUUUAUUUAUAAACAUGUAGAGGCUCUUGAGUCAAGUAAUGCAUGAAACUUUAGUUUUGUAACUCUUAACUAUACAUGUAUAGUAAAAUAAUAAGAAGGAAUGGCAGAGAAUACAAGAUCUUUUUUGGUUUGUGAUAGUGAAGAAUCUAGCCGCAUAAUUCCUACUGAGACUAGAUGCCUUCAUUUUCUUGUAAAGCUUUUGAUGAAAUGGCCACUCUCCUCAUUUGAUAUAUACAUUGGUAUUUCUCUUAACAAUUAUCAACCUUGUGGCCAGAUUUUUCACAAUAUAAGCAUAAGUCAAGUUCUCUUCGAUACUUUUUUUCUUGUUCUAAAAGAAGUUUGAAGCAAAUUGCAUCAAUCUUCAUAUCUUCUGCUUCCAAAUGCUCAUUAGAAUUAGAUGGUGAAGAAGCUACAAGAUAAUUGGUGUAUAUAUGUGGCAUAAUUAAAGAACAUUUCUCUUGUUGUCAUUGAAAUAAAUGGUUAUCAUACUUCACAGAUUGACUAAUGGCUUCAUUGAGUUUUUAAGGGUCUGACAUAAAUAACAAUAAGUCCUUGACAUCCUUUCUUAAUUUUCAAUGAAAUUGGCAUAUCAACGCAUCUUCUCUCCAAUUUAUAUCAUAUGCUAAUUAUCAAAAAUUUGAGGUAUACGUUGAUGCAAAACACGUUCUUUGUCAAAGGCUUUGAAUUUUAGUUCUUGAAGAAUGAAUCUUAUUAUUUUUAUUAAAUGCUUUUACAAAUUUUGUCAAAAAUGCUUCAAAAUUAUGUAAUAUAGGAGAAUUUUUUUCAAAUAAUGGAGCAAACUAAGAUAAAGCUUGACUCAAAAGCAAGGUUCUAACCAAACCAACAUGAGAUGCUUUAGUGGAAUAUCAUUGAGGUUGAAGUAAGGUGAUUAAUUGCACUUGGUUUAUAAAGCCACAAAAUUUUUAGCGGGUGCCAUCAAAUUUUUUUGAAAGGCUAAUCUUUGAUUCUUUUGUUAUUAUCAUUGUCAAAUCAUUGCCUUGAGUGGAUGCACCUUCCAUGUUUGUUGAAGUAGAUAUAGUUGUUUGAGAAUUUGAAACCUCUAUUGCCAUUUGAUAUGGUAAUUGAGGCACUCCGGCUGCUUGACCAUUAUGUAUGAUCAUAUAUAGUUCUUCAUUUUGCUUUGAUAAAGUCUCUAUCUUGAUCAUCAAUGCUUCAAGAGCAUUAAUGAUAAAAUCUAAUUUGAUUUCUUUGGAAUCUAUCAUGUUGAAUUUUCUAUAUUUUUUCAUAGAAAAUCAAAGAAAUACAUGCAUUCAAAAAAAAAAAAAAAAUCUAAUCUAUGAUAUAAAGAAAAAAAAAUCAAAAGAAUAUUAAGAAAAGAACAAUAUUAAUCUAAAGAAGGAUAAUCCGCAACCUCUAGAAUACUAUAGUACUUUCAAGAAUAGGAAUUAUCAACUCUUUGUCAAGAAAGAUCAAGCUUCUAAUAUUAUUUUAUGGCAGUUUCAACAAACUAUUAGAGACUGUAUACAAAACAAGGAUUCAAGACCAAAAAAUGGAGUUAAUUCAAUACUAGAACAAUAUCUGGAUAUAAUGCAAAAAGGUCCUAGCUAGACCAUAAGAAGUGAAUUGUCUAGAUGGAGGAUCCCUUGAGCCUCAACUCCUAUAUAUACUAGGUCCUAAAAAGCUUCUUGAGAAGUUUCAUGAUGCUUGGAAACAAAGUAAGCGUAAGAUCCUUCUUUGGCAACUUCCUAAUUCAUCUAAAGCCUCUUAGAACCUUCCAAGAUCUCCUAUGACCUUCUAAAACUUUCUUAGAAUCUAUUAGAACCUUUUAGAAUAUUUUUAGAACCUAUUGGAACCUUCUUGAACCUUCUAGGAUAUACAAGAAUCUUCUUAGAAUCUUUUAGAACCUCUUAGAACCUUCUCAAACCUUCUUCAAUUGUAUGUCAAUAACACUUAUAAGGCAUCAAUCUUCAUUGAUAUUGGUUGUUGUGCCAUAGUAUUAGAUAGCAGUAUAGAACUUUGUGCUAUAAGUCGUACUCUAUAAUUUUUGAAAUUAGCCUUCUCUACAAUCCAAAAUUUCUUCUUCAAAUGUUUAUGGAUUCUUUAGCUCCACUUUUUGUUGGACCUUAAGUUUCAAACCUCAUAGGAAUCAAUCCAUCAUCUCUUCUUUCAAAAUAUUGUCAAUUUGGAGAUAUUUGGAUUUGAAUUGAGAGACAUAAUCUUGCACCGACCUAACUUGUGUAAGAUUUGUUGACUAAUCAUGUAUUAUCUUCUGCGCAUUGAUGGGCCAAAAUUGAUUCCUAAACUGAGUCUCAAACUCCUCUCAAUCACAAAAUCCACUUUAAGCUUUAUAGCUUUGAAUUCAAUGUUGCUACCAAAUGACUACUACAUCUCUCAAAUAACUGGCUGCAUAUAUAAUUCCUUCAAUGGUAUUUGUCCUAGAUAGUUGGAAGUAUUAUCGCAUGUUGAAAAGCCAUUGACAUACAUCUUCUUGCUUUGAAGUCCUAGAGUAUGUACUAGGCUUAUUCAAUUUCAACUUAACAGAUGUCAAUUCUCUUAUCCUUGAGGCUUCUAUUUGCCCUUGCAAAGUAACUAUCUAGCCUAAAAGGUGUUGCAAUUGAGCCUCUAUGUAGGAUUGCUCCACCAUAUCUUCCAUGCUAUAAUUUCUUCACUAAAUUCCACUAUUAUAAUGUCUUUUCACCUCCGGGUUGAUUUUUUAAGAGUUACUCGUGGUAGCCUCAAUACAAUACCUAGUGUGACCACAAUAAUUUUUCUUGGCUUAGUUGAUGACUAUUGAUAUACUACCAAAAGUAAACAAUUUGAUACUUGCUCUGAUAUUAAUGAAACAUGACCAGACUAUCUCAAAAAACCAAAACCCUUCUAAUCUAUAGCAAGAUAAAGCUUUAUCACAAAAUAGGAUAAAACAAACCAAAGAAAAAUUGAACGGAACUAAACAAAAUAAGAUAUGAAAGACAAGAUUGAGUAAACAGAAGCAAAACAAAACAAAACUGAACAAAAAGAUGAAAAACCAAAUUUUAUUAAGAAAAAAGAUCCAAAACCAUAUCUGACCAAAUGCCCCAAAAGACCCUAGCUAAUCCUAUUUAUAUCUUAUUCUAUUACCUUGGACUUCGUAGAAAGUUCUUAGGUAGUAGAUUCUACCUAGAUACCUACCUUAAACUCCUUUUCUAGAAGGUUCUAUAAUAGGCCCCACUUGAAUAACCAUCCUAAAUUCUUUCUAGAAUAUUCUACAAUAGAUUCUAUUUGGUUUAAGAACCUAACCCCUAUUCUAGAAACUUCCAUAGUUCUAACUAUCUAUCUUUAUAUAAACAUCUUAUUUAUACUCUAUUACAAUAAUAUUAUAUAUAACAAAGAGAGAAAGUAUUACUCGUAGCAAGUGUAGAGUUUAGUGUAUUCUAUUUAUGAUCUAAUAUAUUGAGUUGGAAAGUUUUUAGAGAAUUUAUACAUAAUAAAUUUCAGAAUAGAUCUAAAAUUAGAACUUUUCUUGUCAUUGCUAUUGGAUCAAUCUUUUUAGUUCUUGCAACCUUUAUAAGAUCAUCCUUAAGAUGAAAUUGGACCUUCUCAAGGGAAAAAAAUGCCUAUGCUAUAAUUAAUUCAAAUAAAAAAUCUUAAACAUGAUGCUCAAGCUUUGAUCAUUCUAUUGUAGAUAUAAAACCAAUGCUUCCUAGAGAACUCAAAGUUAAAAGAAGAUGUGAUGUUAUGGAUAUCUAACAAAAAAGUUUUGAAUUUUUUUAGAAUAUUCUAUUAGAUUCUAUUAGAUUUUCGAAGUUUUUUUUAAUAUUCUAAUAAUAGAUUUAAAAAGUUUCUUAAAAAUUUUAGAAGAUUUUUAGAAUAUUUUAGCAGAUUUUAGAAAGUUCUAAGAAGAUUAAGAAAGUUGUCUUUGAAGCUUCUUAGGAUUGCUUCAUCUUUAAGCAAUAUAAAAACUUCUCUAGAAGCUUCUUAAGGUUGCUUUGUCUUCAAGCAACAUAGAAACUUCUUGAAAAGCUUUCUAAUACCUAGUAUAUAUUGGAGUCAAGGCUAAGGAGCUCUUUAGUUUGGACAAUACAUCUUUUAGAGUUUUAGGUCAUCUCUCUUGGUAUUGAUUUAGUAUUUAUAUGGUUUAAUCAAGUUCUUGCUAGCUUUCUUAUUAAAACUCUUCUAUUCAACUUCUUAUUUGGUCUUUUAUAUAAUAUAUCUAUGACAAUAAUAUAAUCAUAAAAUAAAAAACAUGGUUGCCAAAAACCAAUAAUGUAUUGGAAAACAAGUUUAUUUAGCUAUAACAAGAACCAUGUGGCUCAAAUCUUAUGCACCAUCCAAUAAAGGUCUUAUUUUCUCUUGAGAUCCCUUACUUUGUUUUAUAAUAGAUGUUUGUUUAGGGCCAAAAUAUUACAAAGUCUUUGUCUUAUUAGAUUUAAUAGCCUAAGCUUAUUUUAUAGAUUAGAACUUUGUUAAUAACAAAAAAUAUCUCUAAUUAAGAAAAGUAACCCUGUACAUAUAGAAGUCGUAGAUAAUUGUUUGUUAUCUUCUAGAGAUGUUAUCUAUAAAACCUUUCUUUCAAAUAUAAUAAUUUAGUAUUAUUAAAUAUUAUUAGAUCUCUCUUCAACCUAAUUAUUUUAGGUUUCUUUUGGUUAAAGAAGUAUAAUCCUUGAAUAAAUUAAAUUACUUGUGACCUUGAUUUUUUCUAUAAUCUAGAUUUUUGUUAUCGAAGUAAAAAGACAAAAAUUCAAUAUAACCAAACUUUUAUUGGUAGGUACAAAAGCUUUCAUGUAUGCAAUAAAUAAAAGGCCAACUUUUUCUAUUUAUGCCACAUCCAUAUUUGAUGGUUGAAAGACUUUAAAAGACAUUUCAAGUCAAUAUUAAGAUUAUUAAGAUGUUUUUGAGAAGAAGAAUACAUAUAUUUUUUUUAAAUCAUUGUCCUUAUGAUUAUUCAAUUAAUCUUUAAGAAAGAAUUUAUCCAAAAUUUGGACCAAUCUACAGUUUACCACAAAAUUAGUUUACCACAAAAUUAGUAAGGAGUAUAUUGAUGAGAAUUUGACUAAGAACUUCAUACUUUAUAUUUGUAAAUUAAUAGAGAUAUUAGAAUAGACAUACAAAGAUUGUUAAUUGUGGCUUUAGCUUUAGUUUUUAAAUAGAUUUGUACCACUACAAAUUUUAAAUAAUAUUAUAAUAAAAAUUCAAGUAAGUAAUAUAAUAAAAAAUAAACUUUCUUUUAUUAUUCAUAGUGAAUACAAAAAAAUAAUAAUGUAUUGAAAACCUCUUAAUACAUAAUAAUAAUAAUAAUAAUAAUAACAAAAAUAAUAUAUAUAUAUAUAUAUAUAUAUUUAAAUAAUUUUUAAAAAUUCCCGUAUUUAAAGUCUUAAUGCAACUUAGAGCAAGAAUUUAUUUAAGAUAAUAUACAAGUUAACUUUUAAAAUGAUUCAUAUAAAGGGAAACAAAGAAUUAACUUUUGAAAUUAAAUAACACAUAAGUUAGGAACUUAAAAGAAUUGAAUAAAAUUUAGAGUUAAAAGUCUAUAAUCUAAGAUUGAUAUGUACUAUUAUUACAAAAAAUACUUCUUUCAAAUUUUUAGUACUUUUAAGCACAACUUUAAACAUGAGAAAAAUUUUAAGGUGUUAUAAAUGUUUUAAGAUGUUAUUCAAUGAGAUUAAAGCUUUGUAGUCUAUAGAUUUACCUUAAUGCCAUCAAGGUGAUUGUUCAAAGAAGAGAUAAAAGAAUUAUCAUUAGAUCUCUUUAAUUUUGGAAAACAUCUUAAAAAUACCAAAAAUAAAGUCCAAAUUUUAUUUGAAAUUAAGAUGUGGUUAUAUUUUAUCUUUUAUUCACGUUUCUUCUUGCUCUUGUUCUUCCUCCUCAGAAUUUAGUUACUAAUUGCAAACUAGCUACUUAGAUUCAAAACUAAUACAUGAAGAACUACAAAAUUGCAACUUUGAUUCAAAUCUAAUUUAUGAAAAGCUAAAAUCUUAGAAUAUGAAAUUAAAUCGAAGAGCCUCCAAAGUUAACAUGAAAGUCUAAAAAAAAAACUCACAAUGCUAAGCAACAAAUGAAUUUAUGUGCAAGGUGAACACAUACACAACUAAUUUGAUACAAAUCACAAUGCUAAAACAUGCAUCAUGCAAAUUGAUCACAACCACUUAUACAUAUUUGGGAACAUGGUCACAAUGCCAAAACUUAAAGUUUGCAGCACUAUGUUCCAAGCUAUGAAUAAUCAAAGAUAUGUCAAUGUUGGUGGUCAAAUGUUGCAUAUUUGUGCACAAAAUUGUGUAAAUUCCAAAAAUUAAAAUCACAUUUCAAUCAGGAUGUAAGCUAAUUUUGGGUUUCUUUUUGACAAUUCCCGAAAAUAAGGAGUCCUGGUUUCUGGUCCUCUUUCAUGUGUGUGCACUAGAAAAAGAUGUGGAGUACUUGUGGUUUGGAAUAUAAUAAAAACCUUACACUCCAAAUGCUGCAUGGUCUAAACCUCCAAGGAACCAUCCAGCAUUUCCUAAUUGGAGGUUUGGAUUGGAAUUUUGUGGCCCUGUCCAUACUCAAAGAAAAACAAGAAGAAAAAAAAAUGGAUUGAAAGUCAAACAUGAAGUUUCAAAGAUGCGUUCACCCAUUUGAGCAACCAUGAGGAACAAUUAUCUUACAAAAAAUCGGUUGCAACAAAAGGCAAAACCAAGCAUUAAGAGAAUGAAGAAGCUCAAGCAUGUACUCAAGAAUGCAACCAGUUUCCAACCAGAGCAUGUCAAAACUGAUAGAACUAAAUUCGGCGGCAUCAUCCGGACUCCAAGAUUUCAAAAGCCAAAACUAUGGUUCACUCUAUCACAAGGCGCCAACAGUCUGGCUCUUCCUGAUGCGUCCAAGAGUAACCCAUCUUGAUGCUGCUUGAUGCCCCACUACUUUUGUUGAAGUGCUCGCAACUUCAGGCCUUGAAGUGAUCACACCUCUGGUCUCAAGCUUGGCGAGCUGUUCUACAACAGGUGCGACAGCCUUUUUGGAACGACGACGAGGUCUGCUUCUUCUAGAGGCUUGAAUGCUACGUUCUAUCUCAAUAGCCUGGGAGAAAUCCCAUAUUCGCACAGUUUUCUCAUCUCCCCCGCUUACUACACGAUCUGCACCUAUGUCUACGCUGAAUGAACAAUGGUGUAAGCCAGGCAGAAAACGUUGCACUGCUUCUUCUCCCGCUUUGCCGACGAUCUGAGAGGAAGACGUGGUUCUUGACCUUGUAGAGGAAGAUGGGAGUCUCUUCCCACUACCACUGGCUUUAUCCAUGAUCUGCCUAACGUCCAUUAUGGCUACACUUCCGUCUGCCGAUGCGGCAACAAGCCAUGGAUCCUCAAAGGCGAGAGAGUGGAUGGCUCCCCUGUGAGGCAUCCAAACUGCAAUCGGUUCAAGAGUAUUAGUCUUGUAUCCAUUAUUAUGUCGCCUUGAGAACCGAUCAUCGAACAUGCGCACCGCGCCGUCCUCGCCUCCCGUGAAGAUGAAGUGACCGGAAUAGCUGCCCUGAACUGCAUAUGCUUGACCUAAAUGAACCCCUUCACGCAUUCGGUGCUGGCCUGUCUCAAUAUCCCAACUGUACACAUGACUACCAGCAGUACUAAGAAGACGGCGCCCUCGAGGCACCAGCGCCCAUACCCAAUCGUUGUGUAAUAACUGACUGACACAAAGCAAAGUAACUCGAUCCCACACUCGAAUGGACAUAUCCCACGAACCGCUGUAUAUGUUAGCGGCAUCUAGACCAAGGCAUGUAAUGGGGCCGUUGUGACCAUACAAACAGAUUUCAGCACCUUUGCUGUUCGGACCACCCCAAAUCCCUGCUACAUCAAACAGUUGCGGGCACUCGGGGAUCGCACGCCAAAGCCUGAUCACAGCAUCGCUGCCUGCUACUGCAAGUAGCUCCAUGUCUACUCCGAUAGCACGCAAAGUUUCUCCCAAAGGUCGAGAGCAAACCAAUGGCAGACCUUCCUCCAAGUUCCACACGCGCACAACCUGAUCAUAUCCUGCGGUGAUAAUAAGGUUGGCAACAGGGAGAAGGCGGAUGCAGCGCACAGGUUCAGUAUGGCCGAGCAACAUGUCCGUUUGGAAACGCCCCAUCAGGACCUUACAUCUUUCUUCCCGUGCCAUGUAAAGCUCCCGCCAUGACUUUCCCGGUGUGGAUAUCCCAAGCACCCCUGUGCUUGGAAUUGCGGGGAGGCCCCAACGCUCGCAGUAAAAAUUCUUCCAUCCAUGGCUGUCUGAAGCAAGACGCCUAAACAGAACACAGGUGCACGAGAGGAGGCACAACGCACGUGCAUCGAGAUGUGUGAAAAUUUCCAGAAUCAAGACUGGUGGCAACUCUAGAAAGUGACAAUGAUCCGAGUCAGCUUCUAAUACUUGAGAAUUUUUGUUCGCAAGGGUAUCUGCCUUCACAACUUUGCAGUAACUCAGCUUGUUGAGCACGACAGGGGUCGAUGAGGAAACUUUGGCAGGCACAGACACGGGCACGGGAACCGGAGUGUUGUCGUUCCAGGCAUCAUCUGCUGCUCCAUCUUCAGCUUUCCAACCCUCUUGAGAGCCAAAGGCCAUAAGCUACCCUUUUCUUAUGUUGUUAUGCGCGACCUAAAACCCUAAGCAGGUGCUACAACCUGCUACAAUCCUUCCCAACUUGCGUCUGGGCCAACACAGGCAGAAAACAUCCGGGGUCAGUCUAUUAACCACAAAGCAAAGCGAAUUUCUACAAAAAUAAAAACUGCAAGUCGGAAAACUCUGUCAUCGUGGCAUGACAAAAAUGGUAAACAGAGGUACUUCACGCAACCAAAGAUCUAAGAUGUAAGGAUGUCGGCAGAUAGUCUUCCUUCUUCAUUACCCCUUCUUCACAAACGCUACGUUAAGACCUCCACCAAGUAAUUUCUAAGCAAAUUUCAUCCAAUUCCAUAACACAAGAGCAGGAAAUCCUAAGAAAACCAUGACUAAGCCUUCGUAGCGUCAAACUUGUUAUCUCGUAGUUUUAACCAUCUAAGCAGUCCGUGAUUCUUACGAUUAGCGCAUUGCAAAAUUACUAGAAAAUAAUUCUCGUUAACAUGUUAAAAUUCACAGUUCUAUCACACCACUCCAGUCCAUGAUUAUCUACAACACACGGACUCAGACAUAAAUUCACAGCCAAAAAAUUCGAUAACCUGCGGUUGCAAAUCACAAAUGCACAGAAAUAAAAAAGAAACGUUGGUACGAGUGAACCCUAAAGAGCGAAAUACAAAAUUUAGGUACCUGACAAAGUUCAAAAGGCGCACAAGGUUGCUCCUCCAAAGUUGAAAGGGUGUCCGCCGACGAAGCCGAAUAAGAAACAGUAUCAAGAACGGCGGUCACGACGACAUGGCUGUCACGGCUGAAGAAUCCUGCAUGAGACCCUUCUUAUGUGACAAUGACUACGAAGCAGAGUACCAUGGGCGCAGAAAGAGGGAGACGACACGAGCACCGCAAGCUUGGUUCCUCACAUACCCUUCCAUAUCCUUCUAUAUCCUUCCAUACCCUUAUCAUACGCCGCCAAAACCAUACCAAUACCCUAAUAUACCCGUCACCAGGUAUUUAGGGUAUAUAGAAAUCUACACCCUGCACGGCUGCAGUGGGCUCACAUGCUUCGGGGAGGACAUUUUCCGAAAAGUGAAGCGCCUGGAGCCAUUGACAGGUAGAUAUUUUGUGUUCAUUUCCGAGCCUGGAAAUUGUGCAGUGCAAUUGUUCAAUCUCAGGCACCCAAAAUCCUAGGUCAACAUCGCAAGUGGGUCACCUGAAGUGGUGAGUUUUGCGCUAAAAUAGGGUCAUGCCCUGUUUUAAUGAGCAAAAUGAAUGCAUAUCCUAGGAAACCAUAAUCCUGUCUGUUUGUGGAUGCACAUUCUCCAACCUGUUGAUAACCUCGCGAAAUGCAAGGCAGUUCCCCCUAGGUUAGCUUUUCACCGUCUCGUGAAUAGGUCCCCCUGAAGCCUGUCCUAUUGAAACCACAAUGAACUCCUUUUGCAUUUUAAACACUUGUGUUAUGUAGUGCAUAGGUGGUCACAUACAUUCAUCUCCACACCUGACCAUCCUGAAUUCAUGUAUUUCGGUGGUUUCCAGUGGUGGAAGUAGCCUACCCCCCAUUCCGUGAUUUGAAUGGCGAAGCAGCAUAUGGGUCGUGAUCACGGUUCUGUUGAGGCCAGUCCUAGACGGAUGAAUAAUAAAUUAAGGAACCUGGUAGUUUCAGGGCUUGUGCAGGGUGGCAGAGUGAUAAUUUAAUUUACUAGCCCAAUUUGAAGGGUUCAGGGAGCUUAUCUCGGUGCUGUUUUCCCCGCUUCUGUGUGUUUCAAGAACUGCUGUUGUGGUUUCAGGUAUGUCUGCACGGCCCCCUCAAAGUGUUGCAUGUUGCUGGUGAUCGGGAGAUGGCAUUGACCCUAUGUGCAGGAGACCUUCCAUGCGUUGAUGAUUGGGGCACCUAGUUUUGUAUCGGCUCUGUAACUUGCAAUGGUGGCAGCGACUCUGUUGGAAUUUUGCAUUGGGUGGUUUAACAUGCCCUUAUUGUAAGUUGGGUCAUAUUAUUGCAUUUCUCGUGGUAUAGAGAAGUGAAGUUUAGGGUGUCACCUUGAGCGUUGAGACAUUUCGUCUACUUCAAUGUUUCAGCGAUGCUCACCAUGGAUAGUAGGAUUCAGUGCCUGUGAUUGCGAUUGUUGAGUUAACUGAGUUUAUCAAAACUUGGACAAUGUUGUUUUGCGCAAGGGUUUGUGAUCGAUUCAAGCUACAAGUACUCGUUAGCUGUGGAAGAAAGGGGGCUGCAUGAAGGAAGUUGGUAUCACAGAGCGGAAAUUGUAGAUCACUUCACAAGGGAUAGUUCGCCAUGGCGAGAAUUGUAGGGAGGUGUAGAGAUAUAAGAUGAGAAUGGAACAGGAGAACUGCUGGUGAGCAUUUUGUAUUUAUAGUCGUGAGUGAGUAGUUAGUCAGCAAACCGCAAUGUCUGGUCGCCCACCCGCCUUGAGAUUGAGGGGUCGCAGCGAUGGAAACGCCCAGAGUCGACGUCUAGUUAUCCUGUCAUGCACAAUGGCAGGCAUACUAUUCCUUCUCUCGCUCCAGCACAGCUCCUUCUUCGGCCACCACCGUUCCAAAAUUAAAACCCUUGGGAACACACACAUUGAUUGGGCUGUGACGAAGGCGGUGUCUGUAACGAAUGAUCCUUUGGUUGAGGCUGAGAAAAGUUCGGAAAACGUCACCACCGAAGACCCCACAAAUAAGGUGAUAGACAUCAAAGCAGACGAGAAGGAAGAGGAGGAGGAGGAGGAGGAGGAGGAGGGGAAACUGGAGAAAGAUGCCGAAGUAAUAAGGGACGAACCGGAGAAAGAAAACGACGAUGGCAAUGAAAUAGAGAAGGGUCAUUUCGAGGGUUUGAGAUUAGGGGAUGAAGUAACAAGCAACGAAGAUGAAUCUUCAGAAGAGGAGAUAGGCGAAGAUGAAGUCACUCAGAUCGCAUUGAAAUCUAUGCCUGUAAGUUGGUUCGUAAACAGACACUCUCCACGCAACAUGACGUAUGAAUAGAUUUCAGUAGUCUUCGCCAUUAACCUAGAUACAGUAUGGAAGAUACUGUUUGCUUUGUUUCAAUUCGCCGCGGUAUACUUGCAUUUGCACAACAACUCUCUCUAGUAUUUUCGUCUUUUAGGGCUGCAGUUUUCUUAGUCUAAAAAAUUACAUGUUUUUUAGGAGUUUGAAUUGAGGCGGUUGAGUGCAGGUUUGUGAUUCUCGGUACACAGAGUUGGUUCCCUGCCUAGACAGAAACCUGAACAAGCAAAUGAAGCUGAAGCUGAAUUUAUCGUUGAUGGAGCAUUAUGAGCGACAUUGUCCGCCCCCUGAUCACCGUCUCAAUUGCCUCAUUCCACCUCCGCCAAAUUUUAAGGUGCUUUUAAUAAUCUCGCUCUGAUGCCCUGUCUGUUUUAGUGUUUCGCUCACGUAGACCAAACUAAGACAUACCUAAGAUCAUGGGGAUUACAUCAUUAUAUUUUGUAUCAUUAAGCUUCUGAUAUAUGCCUGUGAUGUGCAAGCAUCGUGUAAUUCUUUUCCAUUUUUGUAGCGAGGCAAAAGUCCUUCUUUUGUAAUUAUCCGUAAACGUUAAUCUUGCUAACGUAGUAUCGAAUAACUGUUGGUUCUCUUGGAUUGACCCAUUGUACCAAACGGAGGGCAGGUACCCAUUAAAUGGCCGAAAAGUAGAGAUGAAAUUUGGCAAGCGAAUGUGCCACACACUUUUCUCGCAGCUGAAAAGUCAGAUCAGCAUUGGAUGGUCGUCAAUGGGGAAAAAGUGAACUUUCCAGGGGGUGGCACACAUUUUCCGAACGGUGCAGAUAAGUACAUUGCCCAUCUUGGCAAGGUGAGAACUCUCUUACUCUUUUCUUUGUGGUUUUUACAACGUUAAAGCUGUGACUUGGCCACAUUCACUUUGUGUGUGCUUUCUGUACUGCACUGGUUUCUAUGAAUAUGCUAAGCUUUGACAUGGUCUCGGCUGGUUGAAGAAGGUAAUACGAGAACCAUCUGCCCCUUUUAGCUCUUUACAGUGUUAGGUCGCAACCAGGCUUCUCUCCUUUAUUUCAACGCAAUAUCGUGAGAUCAGUUGGAAAGUAUGUGAGGGAUAGUGAACUUCACUAUUAAAUGUAAAGAUCUGCGCUAUUAUCAAGAAACAUGUCAGUGAGGGACUACAGUUUCCUUGGAAUAAUGAAAGCAGUGCGUUGUCUUGGCUCAGAUGCUGAAGAACAAGGAUGGUAAUUUGAGCAGUGGUGGCAAGAUCAGGACUGUCUUCGACGUGGGAUGUGGAGUGGCAAGUUUUGGGGCUUACUUACUCCCUUUGGACAUUCUGGCCAUGUCUUUGGCCCCCAAUGAUGUUCACCAGAACCAGAUACAGUUUGCAUUAGAGAGAGGCAUUCCUGCAACGUUGGGUGUUCUGGGCACAAUGCGGCUUCCCUACCCAAGCAAGUCAUUUGAUCUGGCCCACUGUUCCCGUUGUCGAAUUAACUGGAGGGAACGGGAUGGAAUCUUACUGCUGGAAAUAGAUCGCAUUCUGAGACCUGGAGGUUACUUUGUUUGGUCUUCUCCUCCUGUGUAUCGAGAUGAUCCAGUAGAGAAACAGGAAUGGACAGAGAUGGUUGAUCUCGUGACCAGAAUGUGUUGGACAAUCGCUGAUAAAAGGAACCAAACGGUUAUAUGGGCUAAGCCACUCACAAAUGAAUGCUACGAGAAACGGCCACCGGGAACUCGGCCUCCGUUGUGUAGUGUCAGUACUGACGCAGACUUGGGAUGGCAGGAGCCAAUGCAGACUUGUAUUACUCCUUUAUCAUCCCGUAAGUGUUUGUUGCUUUGUCCUUCAUCUCUUUGAGUGACUGAAUCAUAAGUUAAUGAAUCCAAACAGCUCUACAAGGGACAGGUAGUGAGUCUGAUUUCAUGUUAUGCUACUGAUCGCAGCAAGCAAUGUUGGGAUAACUGAUUUGGCGCCGUGGCCAAAUCGAAUGAAUAGUCCCCCUCGAAGACUGAAGGAGCUAGGAUUUAACGAUCAGACUUUCAUGACAGACACGGUACUAUCAAUCAUUACCUACUACCUUGUUAUCCUGUUCUUGACUUGCUCAAUUGUUCUAGUAUAGCGAUUAACCCUAAGUGUUCUCAACCUCCGGCUCUGAAGAUAUGACUGUUAUUGGGAUUGUCUCUACUUUCAUCUGUAGCUUCAAGCUUUGAGGUAGCGAAGAAACUUUGGAGUAGGAUACAGUCUCGUUGGAUCAGAACCUAAUAUCGUUCUUGUGAUGUGCAUCAAUAGAUUGUAUGGAAGAAAAGAGUAGAAAAGUACAUGGAGAAGCUAAGAGCAGCUAAACAAGUGGAAGAUGACAGUCUCCGGAACGUGAUGGACAUGAAAGCAAACUUUGGCGGAUUUGCUGCUGCACUGCAUGGGAUGAACUUGCCAGUUUGGGUCAUGAACGUAGUUCCUAUUUCGGCCCCAAGCACCUUGAAAAUCGUUUAUGAUCGUGGGUUCAUCGGCUCCUAUCAUGAUUGGUAUGGUUUUCAUUUGGUCUCAAUCCCUACGUCUGUAAUUUGACUCACUUUGUUUUGUGAAAUUAUCUAUUGUUGGUCUUUUCCUGCAACAUUAGUCUUUAAUUGCACAAUCUGUCGAGUCUAUCUUUUCUAUUAAUUGAUUGAUUUUUUUUAGCAAGUUCUGCUCUUGCAAAUAAUGAAGUGGUUUUGUGGAACCAUCAGGUGUGAGGCAUAUUCAACUUACCCUCGUACAUACGACUUGCUGCAUGCGUGGAACGUAUUCUCAGACAUUUACAACCACGACUGCAGUCCAACGGAUCUGCUCCUAGAGAUGGACAGGCUCUUACGGCCACAAGGUGUUGUGAUUAUACGAGAUCAAGGCUCCCUGGUCGAGGAGGUUAGGAAGCAACUGGACGCAAUGCACUGGAAUUUAUGGUCCGAGGUUUUUGACGCUGAAAAGGAUGCCCUUUCUGAUCGGGAGGAAAAAAUCUUGAUUGCCCGGAAGCAACUAUGGCAACCGGAGGAUAUUAUAGCUUAGUGAGUCGAUUGUUAGGAGGCGCAUUGUUACUUCUUUGUAUUGAGUUCUGUUGAAGAUUGUAAUUUCUUACUAGUAAUAGAUGCAUAAUUUGUGUGAAGUAGGAUGGAGAAUUCAAUUGCAGAGGGGUCUUUUGUUGAACCAUUCUGAAAGACCGUGGCUUACAGCCUUAUUGGAAGCUAGUUUUACUAGGUGCUGCCUGGUCGUUUUUUUCUCCAGGUUUAUUUAUUCAUUGUUCACCUGGAGUCCGAUAGUGUUUCUAGCUUUGAAUUGAUUCCUUACGUUGUGUUUCUGAACCGAAACGAGUUUGCACCGAUUUUGUCAUUACUCGGACUAUCAUCAAGGUACUAAUUUUUGAACCAAUCUGACUAAAUUCCCGUGUGAAAUUAUACUAGUUGGUGUGAGUAUCUAUUGAAAAUUGCUAUUGCUUUGGACUGAGGGUUUUUUUUUUUUUUUUUUUUUUUUUUUUAAAUCAACAGUUUUUUUUUCACGAUCGAUGUUCAAUUACUUCAUAUAUCACCAAUGUUGACAUAAUGUUUUCAAAGGUGGACAAAUUACAUGAUUGUUAAGUUAGCAAUCAUUGUCAAAGUUUUUGCAGUUUUAUUAGAAACAUAUUUAAAGAUUAGACUUGAUCAAACUCUAGAUAAUUAUUAAGGGUUUUUUUUCAAAUCUUGAUUUCUUCAUUAUCUUAGGGCAUGGUUUGUGAUUGGUUUGAUUGUAACAGGGAUUAGGAUUUUCUAUACCCAAGAUGUCAAAAUAUAUUUUUGUAAGUCAAAGAUAAAGUAUAUGAAGUUUCAAUUGUGUUUUGCUGUAAGUAUAAAAUAUUUUUUUAUAUAUAUACUUUUAUUUUAAUGAUUGUUUUGGUCAAAUUGUGUUUGUAACUUAACUUAGUACAAUUUGGAUUCAAAUGUGAUUUAAAUACUUGUGAUUUUUUUAAAAUUAGUUAAAAAGUGUAGGUUGCUGAACCAGGAUAAAACUGAUGCUAAUACUAGUGUAUUAAAUGUGUUUGUAAAGAAACCUUUUAAAUGUUUAUUCUUAAAAAAAGGUUCUAUUUAAUUUCUUUUAAAAUCCUUCAUACAUAUAUAGAAUCUUCAAAGUGACUUUAUUAUUUUUUCUUAAGUGUCUUUUAAAAACUUGUUUAAUAAAUUUUGUAAGUUAUUUUUUUACAAAAAUCAGAAUGUCAUUGUAGGCAAGAUAACUUCUAUUGUAAAAAUAAUGAUAAUAAUAUAAUAUAAUAAUAGGUUUUGAAUUAUUAGAAGUUAAAAUAAAAAAUCUCUAAUUUUAUAAAUUAUCAAUAUAAAUUAAAUUAAAUUAAAUUAAAAGAAUUAAAAUAUAAAAUAAAAAUCUUUUUUUGAUUCUUGUGAAGUUUUAGUAUACAAGCCUUUCCUUUAAAUUUAUUCAUAGUUAUUUUAGAAUCUUUCUUUAAUCUAUUAAUAUUUAGAUCGGUUUUAUUUUUAUUUUUAUAUAGUAACAUCAUAAAAUUAUCUAACAAAAUACCAAAUUUUAUACUUUUUAAUUUAAAAAAUUAAAUUUUAAUAUUUAUUAAAAUAAAAAUAAAAAUUAUGAUUCUAAUUAUUAGUAAAAACUAUUAAAAUAUUUUAGGCUUUUGCGAAUUAUGUCUUUUAUAAUUCUAAUCUAUUUUAUAAAUUUUUAAUCUUUAAAAAUUUAAAGGAACUUAAAAUUAAAAAUAUAAAAUUUAAUAAAUACAUCAUUAUCAUUGAGAUUUUUAUUUUAUAUUUUAUAAUUAAUUCAAAAUUUUAAAACGUUAUAUAAAAUAAAAUUAACUAAUUUUUUAAUAGAUUUUUAACUAUUAUAAAAAUAAAUAAGUAAAAACUAAAAAUAAUCAUCUAAAUAUAUAUUAACAUCAAAUAAAAAGGUUUUUUUUAAUUACAUGUCAUUUCUAUUGUAUAAUUUUCUUAUCAUUUUGUAAAAUAUAAGAAUAAAAUUUAUAAUAUAUAUAUAUAUAUAUAUAUAUAUAUAUAUAUAUAUUUAAAAACAUAGAUACAAAUCUUGCCAAAGUGUAAAAAUGAUGAUUUGAAAAAAAUAAAAAAUAAACAUCUACAUCCAUAUCAAUUAUUUGUUAUGCUAAUUACAAAUAAAUUUGUUCUGAUAAAUUUUAAAAUUUUAAAAAUAAUUACUUAGUAUAUAAAUUUGGUAUAAAGUUUUAUUUUAUUUUAUUUACAUUAAAUACUAUCUUUAAAAAACUUUGUUAUAUGUGGAGAAGUAUUUAGAUUUUUUUUAAUGUGUUUUGAGCUUUAUUAUUAUUUUAAAAAAAAUUAAUUAAAAAAAUAAUCUUUUCAUAAUUGAAAGGUUAAGAUUUCAAAGCAGUCAAAGUCUAAGAUUAUGAAUAUAAUAAAAUAUGUUGCAUACAAUCAAUACCAACUAUGAAUUGUUUUACAAAAAUAAUAAUCAAUGUAGUAUGCACAUAAAAACUAAUAUUGUGUUAAUGUUCUUUUAUUAUAUUUAUUUAUAAAAAUAAAACCAUUAAAUAAUAAAUUAAAUUACGUAUUUCAUUGCUGACACUAGGAUCUUGAGAUGCAUAUUGUAUGCAAAUUUGUCAAAUUAGAUGAGAUCCAAGUUAAUAUAAAACGAACUACUUGUUUAUUUAUUGGUUGCUAUGAGAGGAUAAGAAAAAGAAAGUGAAUAUAUUUAAACAAACAAAGUCAUCAGUGUUCCUAAUGACAACCUCAUCAAUGAAGAUUUUUUUUAAAUGGAAUAAUUUAUGUAAUAGAAGACAUAUCUUAAUAUUCCACACGAAUUGUUGAGAGUGAGGUGAUUGAGGUCAAAGAUCAUCAAGAAUACAGGAUUAUAAGAGAUUCAUGCAUCAACAUAGUGGUGGACUCGUAGUAAUGCAUAUUUAGAUUGAAGAGGGAUUUACUUCCCUCAGGUAGAGACUACAGUCUUGUCUUUCCAUCCCCAAUUAAAAAUAUAUGUGUACAGAUUCCAUCUGAUGGCACCAUUAGUUUCCUAACUUUCCCUGAUACUUCAUCUCCGUAAAACCUCACAAGGCACAGGCAUGCAAAUUCCAAAGAGGAUUGCACCAGAAGUAUUUCUAUAAGAUAAACGUGUUUCAAUCCAACCGUUGGAUUCUGGAGAUUAAAAUGGCGAAAUUGAAAGAUGUUUCGAUUAACAAGAAGGGCAAGGGCAAUAGGUGAUUUAGUUGAAAAAGAGUAAUCGAUGAAUUAAGUGCAAAAGCUGGAUGGUUUUCUACAAAGAAAUAAUUAACGUGUUUCAGUUUACUAAGAUUUAUCCGAGAUCUCAAAAUUCUGCAUCAUGAAAUUCUGUUACACAAAAAAAGAAAUCAAAACUAGCAACUAUUAUACACCAACAGUCAAGAACUUUACGUAAGAUCUGGAUCCUAGGUAAAGCACUCACCCGGACUUCUACAGCCUCUUACAAUGCUCUAUGCAGUGGCAAGUUUGGGAACCGAUGCCUUGGAACGAAGUAUCAAGAAUAUUCCCCUGAAACGAUUCCAAACAAACAAAAAGUCAUGGAAUCGUCAUUUCAAGCUCGAAAACAAGAAUCUCAAUAAGCUGUAGAAAUAAGCUGCUUCAAAGUUUCACAGAAAGAUGACUUUGAGUGAAGUGCUCCCUUUGCAAAAAGCAUAUCCUGAGAGCAGUUUUCAUGUUUACGAGGACCUCAGGCUCUUACCAGCACACAGCUGCUAAGUUGUGGAAAAGAACUCGCAGCUGAAUGGGAAGGUACUUGUAAUUAAUCAACCCGACCAACGGCCAGAACUGCAUCACAUCCGCCACCCCACCAACAUUGACGAGUGAAUUUAACAUUCGGUCUCAGUUGAACUUCAUGCAGCAAAUUUACAAUGGCGUCACCGCUCCCCAUUCUGUUUAGAAUGUUAAUUAUAUUCUACAUGCAAAGAGAGGCUUGAAAUAAUUCGCAACCCCCUGUUUUUUCACACAGAUACAUCUGACCGUUGAAAUAAAAAAAGCGCGAUAACCAUACAGAAAAGAGCAUAUCAGAUGCAAAAUGGUACCCUCCAAGCAUUUAGCUGUACGGAUGGAAAAUGUGAUUUAAGCUGACUCUUAACCGAGCUCCAUUUUCUCCCUGGGAAGAUUAUCAUUAAGUUGAGUUGUCAAAAACCAACACUUUCAUUCAAAGGCUCACGAAGAAACAAGGGACCAUAUACUCACUUCAUUCUGAAUCAUACACAAAAGCAAGUCAUUGUCACCCUAGUCUCUGCUGUUAUGUAAAAGGAAACUGCGGCCACCGAUUCAUACAAGAUGGAACAAUUGAGAAUUAAGCAACUGCAGGAGAUAAGGGGAUCAUCGAAAAUUUACCUUCAACCACCAUACCAAGGUAGGUCAUAAAAAGAAAGUUGUUCCAUGGGCUAGAUGUCAGCUGCUCCACAAUAACCUAAGAGGAAUAAUUGCAAUUACAGUAAUUUUCAAGAAAGUUUACCAACAAUGCCUGGGUAAUUACACUUGGUGAUAAUAAUAACAAUAAAAAAAAAAAUAGUAAUCAUCCGUCAUUUAUAUGUUUUUACAUGUAUAGAAACUCAAAUACUUUAAAACAGUUCAUAAAAAUGAAAAACUGAGAAAGAAAAUGAAGAAGCAUCAAGAUAUUGUCAAGCUGCACAAAGAACUGACUUGCUGACUAUUGUCUUGCUAUCGCGAGCUGCAGGGACGAGUUUCUCCAUAAGCCAGUGGAAGUAAUGUCCGAAUGGUCCUGAAUAACAGAAACCAUAGAGCUGCAACCCAGGAAAUACAAUUGGCAGGAGGAACUAGACAGGAGAAGCACUAAGAUCCAGGUCUUCGGGCCAAAAUUUAGAGAAUCAUUGUUGAUCACCAGUGAAGGCCAAUUCUCAAGCUGAAAAAAUUGAGACAACCAUAGUAACUUUGCAAGUAUUGUUAUGUACUUGGUCAGAUGUCAUAAACAUAGCUACAUUAAAGUGUGCAUUUUGACGACUUAAAACAUUUGCAACACGCAUCCACUAAGCCUUCAAGUCCCAACCAUGAGAAGAAAAGAACGCUUAAACUGCAGAUUCUUCGCUCCAGCCAACUUCUGAGCAACCAUGUCAGCACUUCCUGCCAAUACUCCUGAUGUUCCUGAUGUAAUGGCCUGCACCAACAACCAAAGGUGUUAAGACGUUAGCACAUUCACAUUGAUAGACCCUACACUCGAAGCUGGAAAUAUUAAGAAGCCAGACAAAUGUAAAAAUAGUUGAUUAGAUGCUAUCGCAAGAUGGUCUUGAAAUGAACCAUUAAUUGAAAACGAUUAUUAAAUGAACUCGAGCACAUGAAGCCCCAAGAACAAAAAUUCUAUAACUCUUAAAACCUCGGUAUAAGGACAAAAGCUCAGCUCCACAUCCCUCAGGCAAAGGUGCACACAAGGGUUUAAACAUGAGAUAUGAAGAGAAACCUCUGCCUAUUACAUUUUCAUUCCACUGUGCUCCUCUCCAUUAACUGCCAUAACAACGCUAAGAAUUUACGAGAUCAUCAAGCAGGUAUCACCUCAACAAAUGAUGACAAAGAAAAGCACACAACACUUGAGCAUUCAGUCACUCGAAAAAAUCAACAGAGUUCAGCAUAGUAGUAGGUUUGCGUGUUACAACCCGAUUAAGAUGAUCAGCUACAAUGUCAGUGAAUUAGAAGAUGAACAAAAAAAAUCCACAAGAGUAAAAGAAAAAAACAAUUGCCAACCAGCGGUCGGAUCACAGCCUUUGCCAACUUUGUCAAAAAAUCAGAAAGAAUGCUCGACGACGACGUAGUCUAUAAAUGGAUUUCAUAUAUCCCCAGGUGACAAUCAACUAACUUACCAAACUAUAAAUCAAUUAAAGGCUUUCCUAUUCCUUACUUUGGUGCGCAACGGGUGCUGCUGCAAGUUGCUCAAAUACCGAUUCCAUAGCGACUUCACUUCGUCUGCCAUUACUCCAACUCAACUCUGCAGACCCCCACGAUCCUCCUCCACUCACAACCAAUUUCUUCUCAUCCGCUCGUCCAUUGUCCUCCUCUUACACUCGCUUCGCUCUCGCUCUCUCCCUCUUUCUCUCUCCUUCCGUGCAAAUUAAAGAAGCCAAGAGAAAGACGCAUCGCAGCACAGUCGCAAAGACCCCGUACGCCCAAAAUACCUUAAAACAGGCCAGGUGGAACUCUACUUAAUGAUUCUUAAGGGCCAUUUCUGACCAAACCAGCGGGAUCAGUGUCACGCCCACGCCAUGUGACCGUGACCCAUAAAAGCCGUUCAACCUCUCUCUCUCCACCCUCUUCAAACAAUUUCUCAAACAAUUACCUGCUGCAAUGCACAAUUGACUCACUACUGCAACUCGUCCAACACAGACCCUUCCCCUCCUUCCUUCACAUCGGUACAAUCUCAUCUGGAAGAACUUACGAGUCUCAUCACAACGUGGCUGCAUGAAUUGCGCUGCGGCAGCUGCAGCGAGUGACGAUCGGUGACGAUCAGAAACUCGUGCUGCGACUUCCAGACUGCGGCGCCGUUGGUCCAAAAGGGAGUGCCAUGCUUUGGGAAUAGAGCCGUAAUGAAUAUGUAAGAACUGGUUUUUUUAAUAAUAGAUUCGACAUUGUAAUAUUCUGACAAUGUUUGUAGGAGUUUUUUAUGUUGUUAUUGUACACUGUCACACAAACAUGUGAACAUUACAUCAUAAAUCCGUGUAAGACAGUAAAAUUGGUAAUAAGGUAUCUUCUCGAUGACACAUAGUCUUUAUACUGUCGCACAUAACAAUGUCAGAUAUUGAUUACUCAAACGUGGCUUAACAAAAUAUUGAACACAAUCAUGACUCUGUCGUUUUUGUUGUGUCUAGUUUGGUACAGGGUUUUAUGUUUACGAGAUAAAGUGAGAAGUCACAAUUUUAAAUUUUUUUGAUUGGUUGGAAUUCAGAAGCUUCACUUAGUGGGCUGCAUAUUUAGAAAAAAUAGCCUAAGAACAUUAUGAGAAAAAGAUAAGGUGGAAUGCAUUUUUUUUUCUUGAUUUUUUUUAUUGGACCAAUUUUGAGGGGUGGUUUUUAGAAAAAAUUGAGAAGACAUGUCAAAAAAUUUCUCAAAAAAACCAAUUUUAAAAAAAUAAGAAUAUAUUUUUUUAUUAUUUUUUAGUUAUUUGAGUAAAGAUUUGAAUUGGUAAAUUUUGACUUGCAAUAAAAAGUGAUUUGAUCUAUUUCUUGGUCUCUUCUUGUUUUUUAAAAUCCAUGACUUGAAAGUUUAUCAUAUAAGUAUUUCAAAUUUCUUGUUAAAUAAUACUUUUUAAAAUAAAAGAAGAUAAUGAUAUUAUUAAAGCCAAUUAAUAGUAUUUUUUAUUAGUCAUGUAAUUAUAAUUAUUUUAUUUGAAAUAAACUAUAUUUUAAUAUAAAAAAAAAUUAAAAAAUCUCAAUGGCUUUUCCAACAUAUAUCAAAAGAAGUACAAAUUAUUAGUUUAGUUUUAAAAUAUCUAAAAAUAUCACUUUUAUUUUAAAGUGCAUUCAAAAUGAACUAUAAAAAAGGUCAAAAUCCUUCUUCCAUAUUGCACUACAACAAGAUUAAUCUUGUAAAGUUCAAAAUCUCAUUUUAAUCAAAUAACAAUUUAGAAUCCAAAAAGUAGAGGUAGUUGGAAUGUAAUUAGAUUUUUUAUCUAUUUGACUUUAACAAGUCUUAUAAAAAAAACAUCUUAAAUUUAUUUUAUAAGUAGCUCUAAGAGUUUUAUAAAUUUUAGAAGAAGAUAAAGAUAAUAAAAGAAUAUUAAAUUGUUAGGCCUUAAAUUAAAAGUUAUUAAUUUAGUAACAUAUAAAAUAAAAAAAUAUUCUAAUUAGCCACAAUAAUCUAUUUAUGUACUAAUUUUUUUUCUUAAAAAUAAGUUAUAGCAUAAAAUACUACAAGAAAUUGACCAAUCUUAAAAUUUUAAAUUAAAUUAAAUAUUAAAAAAAAAAACAAAUUUUAUCUGAGUUCCAUAUUAAAGUAGCAAUAAUCUAGUCAACCAUAAAGUUUAGAAGAGAUGAAGCAAAGAUUGCUUGAACAUAUACAUUAGGUCAUUAAAUAGAUAAUAGAUGUAGAAGAAUUUAUCAAAGUAGCUAUUAAGAUAAAAAUAAAUAAAGUAAAAAUAUCAAAAAAAUAUAGAAUUAUAUAAAUUCUAAGAACAUGUAAAAAUGGCUUAUAUACUUGUUGAUAGAUAUAAAAUAUAAAAAUAAAAAUAAAAUAAAAAAUAAAAAUAAAAACAUAAAGAAAUCCUAAUUUAACUACAAGAUAAAGUAUAGUUUUUGAAAAUAGUCUCUUAUAUCAAAAUUUAACUUUAAUAAAAAUUUAAAAAAUAUAAUAAUGAUAAUAAUAAUAAUAAUAAUAAUAAUAAAAAAAAAAACUAUAGAUAUAAGAAUAUAUAGACACUCCUUUAUUGUGGCUAUUUGCUAUAAAAAUAUUCGAAAAAAAUGAAGAAAGAAUUAUCAUUGAUAGAUCAAAAAUAAUGGUUGUCAUUUUGUUAUCACAUUUACCUUUAGACUAUUAAAGACAUAUAUAUUUACUUAGAUAAAGAAUAUCACGUAAAUAAGUAAAUAUAUAUAGAUUUAAUAAUAUAUUAUGGUGAAGCUUUUUAGAAUCUUAAUAGAUAAGAAUUUGAGUUUAGAUGUAUUUGUAGUGAAUUGGUAGGUUGAAAACUUGGCCAAUAAGUUGGCCAUGUGUUGUAGAUGUUAGUGGCUUGUGGUACAAAUUGGUCAUGUAGCACACAUGUAGGAAAUUUAUCUUGUAAGUUAGACACGUGUCUUAUAGGUUGAAUACGUGUUAGAGGUCUUAUAGAACAUUACCAUGUAGCUCUGAAAUAGUAUAUAUGGAGACAAAAGUAAAGUCUUUUUCACUCUUGUUAAUAAAUUUUUUAUUCUUAGUCUUGUUUCAAGAGUCUCUAAUCUUCUUGUCUUUGUCAAUAGCCAUUCUAGUCUUAAUAUUAUACCAUCUUUGAGUGAUUAUCUAUCAUUUUUGAGCAACAUAAGAGUAUAUUGACUCUUUGAUUUUUCAUAAAUCAUAUCCUUGAUAGUUAGAUAAGAGUACUAAUUAAUUAAUUUAUUUAUUUUAGAAGUAAAAGUAUUCUCUCACUUCUUUUGUUAUACUUUAUAGCUUACAAAUUACAGAGUAUUAAAUUAAUAUUUUUUUUUAUCUUCUAACAUUGAUUCAUUUCUUAAAAAAAAUAGACUACUCUUCUUUGUAAAAUAUUUAAUUUAAUACUAAAGAUUAUAGAUUAUCCAUUUGUAAUUUUAUUUGUGAACUUAUUAAAGUUGUUUUUUAUAAAAAUAAAAAUAAAAAUUAUAAAUGCUACACUCAACAAAAGUAAGAAUAGAUUUGCAACUAUUGUAGAUCUUCACCAACUAUUCAACAUUCUUAAGGUAAAAAUCUCACAUAUUAUCAAUGCCAAUUAUAGAAGUGCUAUUCUUAUACCUAUAAAAGAAAUUAACAAUGAAGUUUAAAAUCUAUAUCUAAAAGUUUUGCAGUUGAAAGAAGCAAAUAGAUCAGACACAUAAUUGAAUGCAAGAAGUCUUACUACUACAAGUAUGAAGGAUGCAAGAAUAAGUAUAUUAGAGAAGUUUGAUAAAAUAAGAUACAAAAUUUGAGGUUUUUUAUAAUAAGUAAAGUACUAUUUAAGAUUACAUUCUACCUAAUAGUUUGAUGGAUUUAUUCAAGUUGGAUCCAUGUAAACAUUUUUAUCUAGAAGUGUUUUUUCUUGAUUUGUAUCCUUAAUGGAAAAAGAUUGAAGAUUAUUCUUUGAUCUUAAUUCAUUCUUAGAAUAUUUUUAAACUAAAUUUGAUGAAAAUAAUUGUGAAAGUGUAGAAGAGACCAAAUUUUCAUCUUUAUGACAAAGACUACAUUUUUCUAUCAUAUAUGCUCCAAAAUUCCAAAAUCUUACUUGCAAUGUAGACUAAAAUGACAAAGCUCUUAUCAACUAAUUUCAAUAUGAGUUGAAAGAUAAUAUGAAAGACUUAUUAUUGACAAUAUUGAAAGCAAAAUUAUUAGAACAAGUUAUUAUUUAAGUCAUUCAAUGGAAUAAUCAACUUUUUUGAAAGAUGUUAAGAAUAAAGAUUUGAUUAGAGAGGUACAAGUCAAGUCAUGGCAAUAAUUAUUAAGUUUUUAUAAACUUAUUGAUCAAGGCCAAAAUCAAUGCAAAUUAAUAUGGUACAUUUAAAAAUUCUUAAUUAGCUAAAAAAAGAUUCAAUAUUAUUAAGAAGAUUUAUACUUACAUUAUAAAGAACCUAAACACAUUUUUCAAUAUUUUUCGAAGAAAAAAUGUAAUUACAAAAUAAAGAGCAUGCUUGCCACAAAAGACAAUAUGUCAAAAAACAUAUUUUUUAAGCUACAAUAGAGAAUAUGUUACAAGAAUCUUAUACAAUACCUAGUAAAGAUCAUAUUCUUUCCUCAAAUCAUUCACCUUGGUUUAUAAUAGAUGUUUUUUUAGGACCAAGAAAUUAAAAAGUCUUUGUCUUAUUAGAUUUAAGAUCUUUAGCUUACUACAUAGAUAAAGUUUUUUUUAAAAAAAUAGGAAAUAUCUUUAAUUUAAAAAACUAAAUCUAUAUAUAGAAAAGUCAUAGAUGGUUGUUUGAUGUCAUCUAGAGAUAUUAGCCAUAAAAUUAUUUCUUUAAAAGUAGAAAUUAAUAGACAUAAAAAUUUAAUGAUAUUUAAUGUAUCUAAAUCUUUUUUUAGUCUAAUUAUUUUAGAAUUAUUGUAGCUAUAAUCUCCAAAUAGAUUAGACCUAUUAUAAUUUAGUUUUUUUUUUGUAGUUUAAUCUAAAAUUCUAUAAUUCAUAUAAAAAUUCAUAAGUCCAAUACAAUUAGAUCUUUAUUUAAAGAUGCAAGGACUUUUAUGUGUAUUGAAAAAUAAGGAUUAUCUUUUGGUAUUUAUUUUAUAUAUAUUAUUGAUGGUAGAAAGAUUUUAAAUGGAAUUUUAAAUCAAUAAUAGAGUUUAUCAAGAUAUUUUUAAAAAGAAGAAGCAAAUACUCUUUUAGAGCAUCUCACUUAUGUUUUUUCAAUUGUCCUUCAAAAAAGAGCUCAACUACCUUUGGACCAAUCUGGAGCUUAUCACAAAAUAAAUUGGUAGUACUUAAGGAGUACAUUGAUGAGAACAUGACUAAGAAUUUUAUAUGCCAUUCUAAAUUUUUAGCAAGAGUUCCUAUCUUAAUUAUAAAGAAAAAAGAUAAAUCACAACAAUUGCAUGUGAAUUAUCAAGGAUUAAACAAGAACACGAUCAAGUAGAUAUAUCUUCUACCUUUAAUUUUAAGACUUUUUUAUUAAUUAAAUAAAGCAAAGAUCUAUAUCAAAAUAGAUCUGUAAAGAAUAUAUAAUAUAGUAUACAUAAAAAAAUAAAAAAAUAAAUUAAAUGAAUAGAAGUCUCUAUUUCAAGCCAAGUAUGGACAUUUUGAAUAUAAUGUCAUGUUUUUUGGAUUCACAAAUAUAUCAAGUACUUUUCAACAUUACAUAAAUGAUGUUUUUUUGUAGAAUUUAUAAAUUUUUUUAUUUUUUAUUAUUUAGAUAAUUUUUUAAUAUACUUUAAGAUUAUAAAAGAGCAUGAACUUCAUAUUUGUUAUAUAUUACGAAACUUAGAGAUAUAAGACUAUAUGCCAAGAUAGAAAAGUGUGUAUUUCACACAACUCAAGUUUAUUUCUUAUACUAUAUCAUUUCAAUCAUGGUCUUAUAAUGGAUCCUAAAAAUAUUCAAACCAUCAUAGAUUGAAAGAGUUCAAAAUCAAUAAGAGAUGUGCAAUAUGUUUUGAAAUUUCUUAAUUAAUAUGAAAAAUUUAUUAAGAAUUUUUCUUAAGUUGCAGCUCUAUUUAUAUAUUUGACUUAUAAAGACAAAUUUGAGUAAAAUAAUGAAGUUGAUGUGGCAUUUGAAGCUUUGAAGAAUUUUAUUUAUUUUUGCAUCAAUUUUAUAUUUCAUUGACUUUUUAAAGGCAUUUUUUUAUAGAAACAAAUCCAUGAAAUAUUGCUUAGGAUGUAAUAUUGUGACAAAUAAAAAAAAUGAUUAACUGCAUCCAAUAGCUUUUUAUUUGAAAUAUGUUUUUAAUAACCCAAAUCAACUACAAGAUUCAUAACAAAGAACUUUUUGUAAUUAUGGUAUCAUAUUCAAGCUUUUAUAAUAUGAUACCAUAAUUAUGGUAUCAUAUUCAAGCUUUUAUAAUAUGAUACCAUAAUUAUGGUAUCAUAUUCAAGCUUUUAAGUACUCUAGCAAAUUAUGUCAAUGUAACUAAAUAUGUAAUACAAUAUUUCUUAUGCUAUUGUUGCCAAUUGUACUAUUUACAACAUAUUGGAAGCAAGUGACUAUAGACCUCACUAUAUGUUUGCUGCAGAUGCCUCAUAAUCACGCCACGGUUGAUGUUUGUGUAGACCAACUCUUGCAGCAACUUAACUUAGCUAUAGUAUGAUCUGAUAUUGAUGCCCUAGUACUUGGAUAGGUUUUUUUUGACAUUGUCUUUUUUUCACUAUAGAUUAUCUCAUGUCAUUGUUUCAAAUCGAGAUCCACAAUUUACAAAGAGAUUUUGGUAGGUCUUAUUCAAACUAUUAGACAUAUGGUUUGUCAUGUCCACGGCCUUCUAUCUUCAAAUAGAUGGACAAAUAGAGUCUACAAAUUGAACUUUGGAGGAUAUACUAUAGGCAUUUAUGAUGGUUCAUCAUAGUAAUUAGGAUGAAUAUUUGAUAUCUUUGAAGUUUAUUUAUAAUGAUAGUAUUCAAGCAAGUAUCAGUCAUUCACCAUUCUUCUUUAACAUUGAUCAGCAUCCAAUUAUGUCAGUAACUCUUCAUCAUUCCAUUAACACCAAAAACUUGACAGAAAAAUAAUUUAUAUAAUGGUUUAUAAGUGCCUUGCACAAAACAUAGUAUUAUCUCUUUAUUGCAUAAAAUUGAUAGAAGUAGUAUAACCUGCAACAUAAGAUCUUCUAGGAGGAUAACAAGGUAUUAUUUUCCAACACCUACUUUCUAUUUGCUACAUUUAUCUAAAUUCAUAAGCUGGCACCUUGAUAGCUUGGACCUUUCUAUAUUUUUGUAGUAAUUUUUGAUAUUGCAUAUUGCUUCAAGCUUCUACCACAUAUUUGAAUCUAUCUAGUCUUCUAUAUUUCGUACCUUAAAAAAUUUCAUACUGAACUAAGGUACUACCUAGAUUGAUACCAACUACCACUACUACCAUCACAAAUUAUGAUUAAUGACCAACAAGAGUAUGAAGUAGACAAUAUUUUAGAGCAUUGCUACGUUUGUUGUGGCAAUAGACAGCCACAAUUUUAAUUUAAGAUUCUUUAAAAAUACUAUUCUAUCUAUGAUAUAAUAUAGAAACUUAUAUAAAACCUCACUUAUUAUCAAGGAAUAAUCUAGAGGUAUGAUCAAGAGUAAAACAAGGAUGUUUUGCAUUAGUAGAGUAGAAUUAAUUAUAACAAGAUAUGAAUAAGAUAAUUGUAUUGUUGAUAUGUAGAAAUAGGUAAUUUGGGCCAUUUUUUGAAAGUUUCUAGGAGUUUUUAGAAUCAAGGCUAAGUUGGUGGUUUAUAUGGGAUCUACCAUAGAACAUCCUAAAAGAACUAAAGGCGAUUAUCUUAAUAGAACUAACCUCUAAAAACUUCUAAAAGGGCAGUUAUCUUAGUAAGAGCCAUCGUUAGGAAAGUUCGAAGAUGAUUGGAUAAAGUAUAAUAGGACUAAUUAAGGCUAUUUGAGAUAUUUGGUUGGGUAAGGCUUUAGUCCAUUUCUCUCAAUAAAGUUUGAUUUGUAUUUUUAUUUUAUUCUAUUUUAUUUUCUUUUGCUUUGUUUUAUCUUUCAUGUUCUAUUUUAUUUAGAUCUAUUUAGUUUUAUUUUGGUCUAUUUUGUCUUACUUUAUAAUGGAAUUUAUGUUGUUAUAAACUAGAAGGAUUUUAGAUCUUUAAGAGAAUUUAAUCUUAUUUCAUCUUUGUUAUAUUUAUAAAAUUCUUUAUUGGCUUCUAUAUACAUUCACUAAUAUCAUAUCUGUGCCAAUGAAUAAGAUAUUUUAAUCUAUUUUAAUAUCAUCUUGAAUCUAAGAUUUCUUCUUCUUUAAACUCUUAAUUAGUAUCCACUUCUAUAAGAAAAGGUGGCAUUUUUUUUCUUUCCAAGAUAUUCACUGUCUUAUAUGAUUAAAAAAAAAUAUGUGAAAUACAAGAUGGAUUUUCAUAGACUUCAAUAGUUGUGAUCAAUAAGCAAUUAGAUUGAUUUGUUUACAAAUAGGAAAUGGUCUAAGCCUAUUAUAAUCUAACUUAUUAUAUAGGUGAUUAGUCUUAAUAUUACAACAAAGUAACCAUAUCUUAUUAUUAAUAUGAAAUUGAAGUUGUUUAAAGUAAUAGGCAUCUGCAUUGAUCUAUUAUUGUUCUUGAGCUUCUUUUAGUUAAGCCUUUAUUAUUAUAUGUAGCUCGUAAUGGAUUAUUUUUCAAAUCUUUUAUUGAAGGAUUAUUAACUUUUGUAAAGUCAAAAACAUCAAAUUAUAGAUGAUAAUUAUAAUUGACAAAGAAAGGUAUUUAUUACAUAGAAGAAUGUACUAUGUUAUUAUAAACAAAAUUUGUCAAUGGCAAAAUAGUUGUUCAAUCAUCUUAUUGGUACUUGAUGAUAUACCUCAAAUAUUGCUUCAAAACUUAGUUUACUCACUCUAUUUAUCUAUCAAUUUUAGGAUGAAAAGCCAAAGAUAGCUUUAUAUCCACCUUUAGAAUCUUGAAAAGAAUUCUUCAAAAUCUUAAUACAAAUUGAAUCUUCCUAUCUAAUAUAAUAUCCCUAUAUAAUCCAUAAUAGCCAUAGAUAUUAUCAAAGAAAAGCUUAGCUAUUUCUUCACUUAUGAUAGAUUUUGUAUAUAGUACAAAAUAUGCCAUCUUGAUAUAAUAAUCUACUAAUAUAAAUAUAAAAUCAUAAGAACCUGAGAUUGAAAGUUCUAUGAUGAAAUCCAUAAAAACAAAAGACCAUGGUUGUUUCGGAAUAGAUAAUGGCUAAAAAAAUUAUUAAGAUUGAUGAUGAAGAAUUUUUAACUUGAAUAAAUGUUAUAUGAUUGUAUAAAUUUUUUGAUUGCCCUCUACAUUUGAAGCCACCAAAAAUCUCUAGAUAUUACUUUUAAAGUCUUGUUGUAUCUAAAAUAUCCAAAUAUUAGAAAGUAGUAAUAAGAUUGAAGAACAUAUAAUUAUGCUUGCCUUCUAGAAUAUGUAAUUGUCCAUCAAAAUAGAAUAAAAUAUUCUUUAAUUCAAAAUUAUAAGUAUCUAUUAAAGAUAAGAACUUGAUAAAAGUAAAUAAAUAAGUAAAAUUCUCUCAAAAAAAUAUAACAAAAUAAAAAUAGAGAAGUAUAUAUUAAAAAUGAAAUUAGAAUGGCUAUUGCCAAAAGAUAAGGAAACUAGAGACUCUUAAAACUAAACUAGAAGCAAGAAAGGAGUUGGCAAGAGUGAAGAAGGCUUCACUCUUGCCUCUAUAUAUACUAUCUACCUAGGAUCUAUGUAGUGACGUUCUAUAAGACCUUCAAAAAUGUGUUAACAUUGCAUAACAUGUAUCUUAACUUGCAAAGCAAGUUUUCUAUGUGGAUGCUAUAUAGUUAGCUUGUUUUGCAAGUUAUCAACAUAUGUGGUAUAUAGUUAGCUAAUGAAACAAGUUUUUAAUCUACCAAUCAAUUACAAACAUAUAUAAAGUCAAAACAACAUCUAAAAGCUUUUAAAAAGCUUUUCUAAAAGUUAUUAUAAAAUUAUUUUAUUUUUAUCUAAUUCUACUUAUUUAUAUUAUUUGAAUAAUAAUUACAAUAGAUAUAUAUAUAUAUCUAUAAUAUUACAUCCCUUUCUAGAGACAAGUUCCACAAAGAGCGAUGAUCACAUAUUGAAGAAAUGUAAGAUGCAACAAAUUAUAUUUUUCACAUACUCUAAUCUUUGUUUCCUUAGAAGGUAGUUGAUAUGUCCUCCCAACUAUUAAUAAUGUCCAAUUUUAGGGCAGAAAGAUCACCUUAUUAUUUGAUCAUUGUUGAAACCUUCAUAACUUUCUUCAAACAAAACAUUUGUAAUACCAUCAGGAGUCAUUCCUACCUCCAAUAAAAUCACCAAACACCAAGAGUCUCUUUCAAAGUUUUGAUAUCAAACACAUUGUAGCUUGCCAUCUAUUCCAAGAAGAAUAUGUUGUUCUUGAAGGACUUCAUUUCUAUUACAUCAUCUUGAAGGCUGUGAUAAUUGUAAUAUCUUUUCUAAUAAUUUAUUAAAUAAUGGAUCUUGAAUCGAAUCCAUUGGCUGUUGAUUCUUUAUUUUUUUAAUCCUAUAAUUAUAUAGAAAUUACAAACAAACAUAGAAGGUAGAAUGUAAUCUUUCUUAAAUUAUAUUUCUUUCAUAGCAAAGACUUGCUAUCUUUCAUCAUGGUUUUGAUGGAUGUUAAUAAAAAGCUUUGACCUUCUCUAUUGUAUUUGUAAGAUUUUUUGCUGGCUUCCAUAUGCAUUCUUUAAUAUUGUAUCCACUGUCAUAAUAUAACAUGACUAAUAGGUGAAAAGAGUGAAGAAUCUAUUAUAUUAUAGAAAAUCUUACUUCAAAUAUUGUAGCAAAUUAUCUAAGUGUAAUUAUUUUAAACUUUUUUAUGCUUCUUACCAAUUUAAUUGUUAAUUAGUAUACAAAUUUUAAAGCACGAUCAAUAGUUUCAUUGAUAGAUAUUGAAUUUCUAAAUAGUGCUAGACUUAAAUUGAGUUGGUUAGGAUUUUAUUACGAUUUGAUUUAGGAUUAAGAUUUGGUCUAGGAUUUGAUAUAAGAUUUAGGAUUUAUUUAGGAUUUGAUCUAGGAUUUGAUUUAGAGAUACAAUUUAGGAUUUGUAUAGCAUUUGAUUUAGAAUUUACAGUUUAGAGUUUGUCUAAGUUUUGGUUUAAGGUUUAUGAUUUAGGAUUUGUCUAGGAUUUGGUUUAGAGUUUAUAGUUUAGGAUUUAUCUAGGAUUUGGUCUAAGAUUUAGGAUUUGUCUAAGAUUUGGUUUAGGAUUUGGUCUAGAGGUUAAGAUUUGUUUGAGGUUUGGUUUAGGUUUUAGAAUUUUUUUAGGAUUUGAAUGAAGUCCAUUAGGAUUUUAAGUAGGAUUAAAUUAGAACUUGAUUGAGAUUUAUUUAAGAUAUAUUUAUAAUUAUUUUAAUAUUUUUUUGAAGAUUUAUUAAAGAUUCUUUGAAGGUUUAUUGUAGAUUUUCUUUGAAUUCCUUUAAGAUUUCUUCUUGUUUCUUUUAUAAUUUCUUUAAGGUUUCUUUUGAAUUUAAUUAAGGCUUAUUUAGAAUUAUUAAAAUUUUAUAAGAGUUUAUUUAGUAUUCUAUUAGAGUUAAGAUCUUAUUGUUGUAAUUUCUAUUCUCACUUCCAUAGCUAGAUACUUGGUAUACUCUUGAAUAAGACUUCAUUUAAUACAACACUGCAUCAAUGAAUAAGAUAUUCGAACCUAUAUUGGCAUUAUCUUGAGUCUAAGACUUCUUCUACCUUGAAUUCUUAAUUAUUUUCUAUUUCUAUAAGAUGAUAUGAUAUACGUAUUCUUUCUAGAAUAUUCAUUGUCUUAUAUAGCUUUAAAAGAAAUAUAUAAAAUAUAAGAUGGAUUUUCAUAAACUCUAAUAGAUGUAAUUGAUAAGCAAUUAGAUUGACUUGUUUAUAAAUAAGAAAUGGCCUAAGUCUAUAAUAAUCCAACUUGUCACAAAGACAAAUAGUUUUAAUAUUAUAACAAAGUAAUCAUAUCUUAUCACCAAUAUAGAAAUGAGGUUGUUCUUUGCAAUAAGUAUCUACAUUACUCUUUUGUUGUUCUUGAGCCUCUUUUAGUUGUACCUUCAUUGUUAUAUAUAGCUCAGAUAAAUGAUUUGUAAAUAUUUUACUAUAGAAUUAUCAACUUUUGAAAAAAUAAAAGCAUCAAAUGAUGGAUGAUAAUCAUAAAUAGCCAAAAAAUAUAUUUAUUAUGUAGAAAAAUAUACCUUGUUAUUAUAAAUAAACUUUGCUAAUGGAAAAAGAGUUUUUUAAUUAUCUUUUUGAUAAUUGAUGAUAUACCUCAAAUACUACUUCAAAACUUAUUUUAUAUACUUUAUAUGUCCAUCAAUUUGAGGAUGAAAAUUUAAAGAUAGUUUUAUAUCUAUUUUUUGAAUCUUAAAAGGUAUUUUUUAAUAUUUUAAUAUAAAUUGAGUUCACCUAUCCGAUAUAAUAUCUUUAAGCAAUUCAUGAUAGCAAUAGUUGUUGUCAAAGAAAAGCUUGGUUGUUUCUUCAUCUGUGAUACCUUUUGUAUAUGCUAUAAAAUGUGCCAUCUUGGUGAAAUAAUCUACUAACAUAAAUAUAGAAUCAUAAGAACUUGAGAUUGAAAGAUUUAUUAUAAAAUUCAUAGAAAUAAAAGACCAUGGUUGUUUUAAAAUGAGUGAUGAUUGCAAAAGUUUAUACGAUGUCACGGACAUACAUAUAAUUACCUAUAUGAAUAGAUAAAAGUAUGUAAAAGUAGAUAAAAGUAGGUUAAUUGUGUAAUAUCUUCUAGAGAAGCUUCUUAGAAGCUUCAUAGACGCUGCUUUGACUUUAUAGGAGUCUAUAGUUGACUUUUAGGCUAGAAACUUGGUCAACAAGUUAGCCAUGUGCCACACAUGUUGGAAGCUUAAAGAACAAGCUAACUACGUGGUCCAUCCAUAGAAAACUUGCCUUGUAAGCAAAGGCAUGUGGCCUAGAAAGUCAACAUAUAUUGGAGGUCUUAUAGAACAUCGCCAUGUGGCUUCUAGUUAGAUAGUAUAUAUAGAGGCAAGAGUGAAGCCCUCUUCACUCUUGUCAACUCCUUUCUUGCUUCUAGUCCAGGUUCAAGAGUCUUUAGUUUCUUGUCUUGUGGCAAUAGCCAUUCCAGUUUCCUUUUAAUAUACCUACUUGUUUAUAUUUUGACUUAUUAUAUCGAGAUAGCCUUUUGGUGUAUAUUUUUCCUCAUCGAGUCUUUGUCCUUGACAGAUUGACAAGAGUACACUUACAAUAUCAGAGCUUUGUUUUUUCUUGAGUAAGAGUGGAUUACCCCUUUCUCUUGACAAGACAUAAGCGUAUUAGAAGUUUGCGGAUUACCCACUUCUAAACUGAUAUUGUUCUUAGUAUCUUCUUUGUUAUCAAGUCUUUCUUUUCUUUUGUCUUGAGCAAUAUCAAACAAAUUUUUCUUCUUAGUGUCAUUAUGGCAGAGCUUGUUGAAAUGAAGAGUGCAAUGGCACAAAUGCAAGAGCAAAUGAGGGAGUUAAUACUUGCGAUGCAUCAACUCAAUUCACCAACACGGGAAAGAACAAGAAUAGCAAUAAGUGGAGAUAUAGAGAUGAUCGGAGCUGCUUCAACAUCUACAACAAAUCACGUUCCUUCUUCAAUUGUACAACACCCUAUAAGCACUAGAGAACCAAGAAUUGCCUUACCUGAGAAAUUUGAUGGUACGAGAUCAAAGUUUCGAGGGUUCAUCAAUCAAGUACAAUUGGCAAUUGAACUUCAACCGCAAAGCUAUCCAACUCCAGGAUCACAAGUCAGGUUUAUUGGCACUCUACUUUCUGGUUCUGCAUUAUCGUGAUUUUCGUCUUUUCUUGAACAACGAAAUCCAAUAUUGGACAAUUUGGAAGCUUUUUUGGUGGAGUUUCGAUCUAUGUAUGGUGAACACGAUGCAACUCGUGUUGCAACAAAUAAGAUCCGAAUUCUGCGACAAGGAAAUCGCUCAGUAACAGUAUAUGCUUCACAAUUUCGACAACUUGCAAUUGACAUCAAGUGGGAUGAUGCUGCACUCAUCAGUCAAUUUCUUUAUGGAUUGCAAUACGAAGUAAAGAAAUUGAUGCUCAACUUACCUGAUCCUCAAACUUUGAGUCAAGCAAUCGAUUUUGCGGUAAAAUGUGAUAAUCGACUUUUUGAAUUUCGAUCUGAGAAUCAUUCACGGGAACCUCAACGUUAUUACUCAAUGGCAACAUCAACAUCUUUGCCAAACGUACAUUCGGAAGUAGAAGACAUGCAAAUUGACGCGGUACGUUUUAAACCUCUAACUGAGCAAGAAAAGAUUCGUCGUCGUCAAGAAGGAUUAUGUUUAUAUUGCGGAGAACCUAAGCACACUGCUCAACAUUGUCCAAAGAAACGACGCAACUAUAAAAUGAGGGGUACGACGGUCAAAGAAGACAACAUGUCGGAAAACGGAUUCGUCCAGCUACAAUAGGGACCGUGCAGCUGGAACCUUGUACAAUUCCUAAUGAAGGUCCUAUCCUCUCCUCAGAACCCUCUCCUUGUUUUAUAAUAGACUUAUAUUUAGGACCUAAGAAUUACAAAGCCUCUGCUUUAUUAGAUUCGGGAGCCUCAGCAUGUUUUUUAGAUGAACAAUUUGUUAAAAGUCGUAAAAUACCUUAUGUACAGAAACCUAAACCAGUACAUGUAGAAGUCAUAGAUGGUCGUCCCUUGUCUUCUGGAGAUGUCACUCAUGAAACUCAUCCUAUAAAAGUAACAAUAGACGGUCAUGAUAGCUACAUAGUUUUUAACAUAAUUAAAUCCCCGUCCAAUCCAGUUAUUUUAGGUUUAUCCUGGCUAGAAAAAUAUAACCCUCGAAUAGAUUGGAAAUCGCGUAAACUUGACUUUUCCAAAAGUGUUAUUAAUAGUUCUAUGAACCAAGUAAAAAAUUAUAAGUCUAGUACAGUAAAACCCGUACUGAUAGGUGCAAAAGCAUUUAUACACGCAGCAAAAGAAGGAUCAACUUUUGCUAUUUAUGCUGCAUCUAUUUCUGAAAACGUAAACACUUCAAGUGGCAUUCCAAGUCAAUAUCAGGAGUAUCAAGACGUUUUUGAGAAAAAGAAUGCAGAUAUUCUUCCUGAGCAUCGUCCAUAUGAUUGUUCAAUCGACCUCAAGGAAGGAACUCAGCCACCAUUUGGACCAAUUUACAGUUUAUCGCAAGAUGAGUUGGCUGAACUCAAGACAUAUAUUGACGAGAAUUUAGCGAAGAAUUUCAUACGCCAUUCAAAAUCUCCAGCAGGAGCUCCAAUUUUAUUCGUAAAGAAAAAAGAUGGAUCUUUACGAAUGUGUGUUGACUAUCGAGGACUCAACAAGAUCACAAUCAAGAACAGGUAUCCAUUACCUUUGAUAUCAGGACUCCUUGACCAGUUGAAUCAAGCUAAGAUCUAUACAAAAAUAGAUCUAAGAGGAGCAUAUAAUCUAGUACGGAUCAAAGAAGGAGAUGAAUGGAAGACUGCGUUUCGAACUAGGUAUGGACAUUUCGAAUAUAAUGUCAUGCCCUUUGGACUCACGAAUGCACCAGCUGCUUUUCAACAUCUCAUGAAUGAUGUAUUUCGUGAAUUCUUAGACAAUUUUGUCGUCUGCUAUCUAGACGAUAUCCUGAUCUAUUCCAAGAACAUCGAAGAACAUGAAAUACAUGUUCGUCAAGUAUUACAAAAACUUAGAGAUGCAGGAUUGUACGCCAAGAUGAAAAAGUGUGUAUUUCACACUACUCAAGUUGACUUUUUAGGAUACAUCAUUUCAAAUGAUGGUCUCAUGAUGGAUUCUAAGAAAGUCCAAACAAUCGUGGAUUGGAAGAUUCCAAGGACAGUAAGAGAUGUUCAAUGUUUCUUGGGAUUUACCAAUUACUAUCGGAUCUUCAUCAAAGAUUUCUCACGAGUUGCAGCUCCACUUACACGCUUGACUAGUAAAGAUAAAUUCCAAUGGAAUCAAGAAGCGGAAGCAGCAUUUGAAGCCUUGAAGACAUCGUUUGUCUCUGCACCAAUCUUAUAUCGUGUUGACUUUUCCAAGGCAUUUUUUAUGGAAACAGAUGCAUCAGAUUUUGCCUUGGGUGCAGUUUUAUCACAAAUGGGAACAGAUGACAAACUCCAUCCGAUAGCUUUUCAUUCAAGAAAAUUCUCAGCAGCCGAGAUCAAUUAUGAGAUCCAUGAUAAAGAACUUCUUGCAAUCGUAGAUUCUUUUCAAGAAUGGCGUCAUUAUCUAGAAGGUGCUUCUAGUCCAGUCACUGUGUAUACAGAUCACAAGAACCUCGAGUAUUUCAUGUCAGCACGCGUGUUGAAUCGUCGUCAAGCUCGUUGGAGUAUGUCUUUGUCAAGAUUCGACUUCAUUAUCACUUAUCGGCCAGGAAAACAACAAGGUUUGUCCGAUGCCCUGUCUAGACGUUCUUAUUUUGCACCAAAAGAAGGAGAUGCAGCUUUUGAGCAACAAAGAACGGUCCUCUUGAAACCGGAGCAAUUUCAUCUCCGAGCAGUGAAAUCAACAUUGACUGUUGAUUCAACUUUUCUCGAGCAAAUCUAGUCCAGUAUGUCCUCAGACCCUCUUGUUCAUGAUAUCGAGAAUAAUUCUUCCAAGUCUCAUGAUUCUUCUAAGUUCGAAUUCAAGAAUAAUCUAUUAUAUUUUGAAGGACGCCUAUAUGUUCCAGAAGGAAAAGCACGUUUGCGUGUUCUUCAAGCAUGUCAUGACUUUCCAGCAGCAGGACACUUUGGAUAUAAUAAGACUUUGGAACUCAUAUCAAGAGACUUUUGGUGGCCACAAAUGUGGAAGUCAAUCAAAGACUUUGUACAAUCAUGUGAUAUUUGUUCAAGAUCAAAAAUUCCUCGUCAUCGACCUUACGGACUUCUUCAGCCAUUACCUAUACCAGAACAACCAUGGUCUUCUGUUUCUAUGGAUUUCAUCACAGAUCUUCCAAGCUCAAGAUCUUAUGAUUCUAUAUUUGUGAUAGUAGAUCGUUUCACCAAGAUGGCACAUUUUGUGCCAUGUACAAAAUCUAUCACAGGUGAAGAAACAGCUAAGCUUUUCAUUGAUAAUAUCUAUCGCUAUCAUGGAUUACCUAAAGAUAUCAUAUCGGAUAGGGGAACUCAAUUUGUGUCAAGAUUUUGGAGGACCCUUUUCAAGAUUUUAAAAGUGGACAUAAAACUAUCUUCGGCUUUUCAUCCUCAAACUGAUGGACAAACAGAGCGCGUAAACCAAGUCUUGGAGCAAUAUUUAAGGUGUACUAUCAACUACCAACAAGAUGAUUGGACAACCCUUCUGCCAUUGGCAGAGUUUGCUUAUAAUAAUACGGUACAUUCUUCCACGCAACAAACACCUUUCUUUGUCAAUUAUGGCUAUCAUCCACGACUUGAUACUUUUGAUUUUUCAAAAGUUGAUAAUCCUGCAGCAGAAGAUAUGGCAAAUCGGUUGUCAGAGUUACAUGCAAUAAUGAAGACACAAUUGAAGGAAGCUCAAGAACGACAAAAGAUAAACGCAGAUCUAUAUCGUAAGGAGCAACCACAAAUCAACGUGGGUGAUAAGGUAUGGCUACUUCGUUGCAAUAUCAAGACCACUCGACCUUGUGACAAAUUGGACUAUCGUAGGCUUGGCCCCUUUUCUGUUUCUGAACAGAUCAACCCAGUUGCAUAUCGGUUACAUCUACCGGAGUCAAUGAAGAUCCAUCCUGUAUUCCACGUGUCUCUUCUUGAACCAUAUAAGAUAGUGGAUAUACAAGGAAGAAGACAAAUGCCACCGCCUCCUAUAGAAGUAGAUAAUAAUGAAGAAUUUGAGGUGGAAGAGAUAUUAGACUCAAGGCGGCGCCGAAAUAAGCUGGAAUAUCUUGUUCAUUGGCACGGAUAUGAUAUUAGUGAGCGCACAUGGGAGCCAUCCAGGAAUCUAGCAAAUGCAUCAGCUAAAGUCAAAGUUUUUCAUCAACGACAUCCAUCAAAACCAAGAUGAAAACCUCUCUUAUAAAAGAGAUAAGAUUGAGGCAAGAUAACAUUCAAUUUCCUAUCCUUGUUUGUAACUUCUUUGCAUUUGUGACGCUAAUUAGAUGGAGAGCCAACAACCAGUGGAUUCAACUCAAGAACCUUCGUUUGCUGACUUACCGGAUGAGACAUUGCGAUUGUCACAACCUUCAAGACGACGCAACCGAGAUGAAGACCCUCAAGAACGACAUGUUCUUCCUCGAAUAGAUGGUGAGAUACAACGCAUUUGAUAUCACGACCUUGGAAGAGAUUCUCGAUGUUUGGUGAUAUUAUUGGAGAUAGGAACGACUCCUGAUGGUGUUUCAAAUGUAUUAUUUGAAGGAAGUUAUGAAGGCCUCAACAGUGAUCAAAUAACAGGGUGGUCUUCUCGCCCUGGAAUGGGACACUAUCGAUGGCUAAGAGGACCUAUCAACUAUCUUCGAAGAGAACAAAGAUCAGAGUAUGUAGCAAAUACAAUUCGCCGCAUAUUAGAUUUUCUCAAUAUAUAAUCACCGCUCCUCGUGGAACUCGUCCCUAGAAGGGGGGGUAAUGUCACGGACAUACAUAUAAUUACCUAUAUGAAUAGAUAAAAGUAUGUAAAAGUAGAUAAAAGUAGGUUAAUUGUGUAAUAUCUUCUAGAGAAGCUUCUUAGAAGCUUCAUAGACGCUGCUUUGACUUUAUAGGAGUCUAUAGUUGACUUUUAGGCUAGAAACUUGGUCAACAAGUUAGCCAUGUGCCACACAUGUUGGAAGCUUAAAGAACAAGCUAACUACGUGGUCCAUCCAUAGAAAACUUGCCUUGUAAGCAAAGGCAUGUGGCCUAGAAAGUCAACAUAUAUUGGAGGUCUUAUAGAACAUCGCCAUGUGGCUUCUAGUUAGAUAGUAUAUAUAGAGGCAAGAGUGAAGCCCUCUUCACUCUUGUCAACUCCUUUCUUGCUUCUAGUCCAGGUUCAAGAGUCUUUAGUUUCUUGUCUUGUGGCAAUAGCCAUUCCAGUUUCCUUUUAAUAUACCUACUUGUUUAUAUUUUGACUUAUUAUAUCGAGAUAGCCUUUUGGUGUAUAUUUUUCCUCAUCGAGUCUUUGUCCUUGACAUACGAUGGAUGAUAAGGAAUUUUUUACCUUAAAUAAAUAUUAAAGGACUAGACAAAGUCUUUUAUUACCUUCUAUAUUUGAAGCCAUUAAAAAUCUCUAGAUAUAAGCUUUAAUGUCUUGUUGUAUCUAAAAUGUCUAGCCAUUGGAAAGUCAUGACGUACUUGAAAAAUAUAUAACAUGCUUCUCUUUCUAGAAUGUAUGAGUGUCUUUUGAAAUAGAGUAGGUUAUUUUUGAACUUAAAGUUAGAAGAAUCUUGAAACUUAGUAGAAAGGUUCUUUAUAUCAUAAAUAAGAGGAUUAAAGGACAUAGUUGAUUGAUUUUACUUGACAAGAAUUGAAUCAAUAGUUAAUUUUGAUUUUAUUGCUUGAAGAUGAAAAUGCAACAGCUUCAAGAAAAUCAUUCUUUAUUAUUCAAAAGAUACAUCUUUUUUUUUAUAGAAGAAAAAAAUAUUUAAAAAAUAUGGCUAACAAACCUUGUUGUUUUUUGGAUCAAAAAGUAAUCUUAAAAACAAAUCUUAACAAAUCAUGGUCCAAUGGACUUGACAACAAUUUAAAAUACAUGCUGACAUAAAGUAUUCAAGAUUUUUGUGGUUAGUAUGAAUAAUAUCUAGAUUAAAAGCACCUUCUAGGUUAUGGUGCCAUUCUUCAAACAAAUCCACAAUUGUAAGAAGUUCUUUGUCAUAAAUCUUGUAAUAAAUCUCAGUUACUAAAACUUUUUUUGAAUGAAAAGAUAUUAAAUGAAGUUUAUCAUUUGUUCUCAUUUAUAAUAAUAUAACAUUCAAAACAAAGUUUGAUGUAUCUAUUUCUAUAAAAAUAGCUUAAAAAAAUCAAUACAAUACAAGAUUGGUGUAGAAAUAAAGAUUAUCUUCAAAACUUCAAAUAUUACUUCUAUUUUUUAAUUCUAUUGAAGUUUAUCUUUACAAAUCAAAUAUAUAAAUAGAGAUAUUGUCAAGGACAAAAACAUGAUAAAAAAAAUAAACAAGUAAGAAUUUUCUCAAAAAAAUAUGACAAAAUAGAAAUAACUUGAUAUAUAUAUUAAGAAAGAAACUAGAAUGGCUAUUGCCAAAAGCCAAUUAAACUAGAGAUCCUUGAAAUUAGACUAGAAGUAAGAAAGGAGUUGACAAGAGUAAAGAAGGCUUCACUCUUGUCUCUAUAUAUACUAUCUAACUAAGUGCUAUGUGGCAACGUUCUAUAGGACCUCAAAUAUGUGUUGACUUUAUAAGACACAUGCUUUGAUUUACAAGGAAAGUUUUUCUAUAUGCAGGCUACAUAGUUAGCUUGGUCUUCCAGCUAUCAACAUGUGUCACACAUGGCCAACUUGUUGACCACGUUUCUAAUCCAAAAAGUCAAUUAAAGUUAUCUAGGAAGUCAAAGUAACAUCUAUAAAGCUUCUAAGAAGCUUCCAUAACAAAUAUUAUAGAAUUAACUUACUUUUAUUUACUUUUACUUACUUUUACUUAAUUCUAUCUAUUUAUACAUGUAAUUAUUGGCUUACAUGCAUAUAUCUCUGAUAUUACUUCUCUUUUUAGGGACGAGUUCCACGAGGAGUGGUCAUCAUAUGUUGAGAAAAUCUAUGAUGAGACAAAUUGUAUUCUCUACAUACUCUGAUCUUUGUUCUCUUUGAAGUUGAUUGAUAAGGCCUCUCAACCAUCGAUAGUGUCCUAUACGAGGGCGGAAAGACCACCCAAUUAUUUGAUCAUUGUUGAGGCCUUCAUAACUUCCUUAAAAUAAAAUAUUUGGAAUACCGUCAGAAGUUGUUCCUACCUCUAGUAAAAUCACCAAACAUCGAAAGUCCCUUCCAAGGUUGUGAUAGUAAACGCGUUGUAUCUUGCCAUUUAUUCGAGGAAGAAUAUGUCGUUCUUGAAAACCUUCAUCUCGAUUGCAUCGUCUUGAAGGUUGUGACAAUCAUAAUGUCUUGUCCGAUAGGUCAAAAAAUAAAGGCUCUUGAAUUGAAUCUAUUGGUUGUUGGUUCUCCAUCUCUUUAACGUCACAACUAAAAAGAAGCUACAAAUAAGGAUUGAAAGUAGAAUGUUAUCUUGCUUAGAUCUUGUUUCUUUUAUAAAAAAGGUUUUCAUUUUGAUUUUUGAUAGAUGUCGUUGAUGAAAAGCCUCCACAACCUCUGCUGCAUUUGUAAGAUUUCUUAUUGACUCCCAUGUGUAUUUACUAAUAUCAUAUCCGUGCCAAUGGUUAAGAUAAUCUAAUUUAUUUUGGCACCGCCUUGAAUCUAAGACUUCUUCCACCUCAAAUACUUGAUUAUUGUCCACUUCUAUAGGAGGAGGUGGAGCUUCUCUUCUUCUUGGUAUGUUUACUAUCUUGUAUGGUUCAAGAAGAGACACUUGGAAUACUGGAUGGAUUUUCAUUGACUCCGGUAGGUAUAAACGAUAUACAACUCGAUUGAUUUGUACAGAAAUAAAAAAUGGUCGAAGCCUUUGAUAGUCCAACUUGUCACAAGGAUGAGUGGUCUUAAUAUUGUAAUGAAGUAACCAUACCUUAUCACCUAUGUGGAAUGGUGGUUGUUCCAUUCGAUAGACAUCUGCAUUGAUCUUUUGUUAUUCUUGAGUUUCUUUUAAUUAUGCCUUCAUCAUUGUAUGUAGCUCUGAUAAAUGAAUUGGAAAAUCUUUUGUCACAAGAUUAUCAACUUUUGAAAAGUCAAAAGUAUCAAAUUAUGAAUGAUAACCAUAAUUGACAAAGAAAGAUAUUUGUUUUGUAGUAGAAUGUACCGUAUUAUUAUAAGCAAACUCUGCUAGUGGCAAAAGAGUUGUCCAAUCAUCUUAUUGGUAGUUAAUGGUACAUCUUAAAUAUUGCUCCAAAACUUGAUUAAUAUGCUCUAUUUGUCCAUCAGUUUGAGGAUGGAAUGCCGAAGAUAGUUUUAUAUUUAUUUUUAGAAUCUUGAAAAGAAUCUACCAAAAUCUUCAUACAAAUUGAGUUUUCUUAUCUGAUAUAAUAUCCUUGGAUAAUCCAUAAUAGCGAUAGAUAUUGUCAGGAAAGAGCUUAGUUGUUUCUUCACUUGUGAUGGAUUUUGUACAUGGUACAAAAUGUGCCAUCUCGGUAAAACGAUCUACUAUCAUGAAUAUAGAGUCAUAAGAACUUGAGAUUAGAAGAUCCAUGAUGAAAUCUAUAGAAAUAUAAGACCAUGAUUGUUCUAAAAUGGAUAAUGACAAAAGAAGUCCAUAAGAUCAAUAACAAGGAGUUUUUCAUUUAGAGCAAACAUCACAAGAUUGUACAAAAUCUUUGACUGCUUUUCAUAUUUGGUGCCACCAAAAGUCUCUGGAUAUUAGUUCCAAAGUUUUAUUGUACCCAAAAUAUCCUCCUACUCGAAAGUCAUGAUGAGCUUGAAGAACACGUAAUCGAGCUUCAGCUUUUGGAACAUUUAGGCAUCCCUCAAAAUAUAAUAGAUUCUUCUUGAAUUCAAACUUAAAAGUAUCAUGAGAUUUUAAAGGAUUUUCCUUAAUAUCACAAAUAAGAAGAUCAAAAGACAUACUUGACUAAACUUGCUUAAUGAAAGUUGAAUCAAUAAUUAGUGUUGAUUUCAUUACUCGAAGAUGAAGAUGCUCUUGCUUCAAGAGAAUUCUCCGUUGUUGAUCGAAAGCAGCAUUUCCUUCCUUUGGUACAAGAUAAGAUUGUCUAGAGAGAGCAUCUUAAAAACCUUGUUGUUUUUGUGGUCGAUAAGUAAACUUGAAUUCGAAUCUUAACAAAGACUUAAUCCAACAAUCUUGGUGACAAUUCAAAAUAUGUGCUAAUAUAAAAUAUUUAAGAUUCUUGUGAUCCGUAUAUACUGUGACUGGGCUAGAAGUACCUUCUAGAUAAUAGUGUAAUUCUUGAAAUAAAUCCACAAUUGCAAGAAGUUCUUUGUCAUGGAUCUUGUAAUUGCUCUCGACUGCUGAAAAUUUUUUGGAAUGAAAAGCUAUUGGAUGAAGUUUAUCAUCUGUUCUCAUUUGUAACAAUACAACACCCAAAGCAAAGUUUGAUCCAUCUGUUUCAAUAAAAAAAUGGCUUAGAAAUAUCGACACGAUAUAAGAAUGGUGUAGAAACAAAGGCUGUCUUCAAAGCUUCAAAUAUUACUUUUACUUCUUGAUUCCAUUGAAGUUUGUCUUUACAAGUCAAAUAUAUAAAUAGAGCUACAAUUUGAGAGAAGACUUUGGUGAAGAUCCGAUAGUAUUUGGCAAAUCUCAAAAAGUAUUAGACAUCUCUUAUCAUUUUUGAGAUCUUCCAAUCCAUAAUAGUUUGAACUUUCUUAGGAUCCAUUAUAAGUCCAUCAUUUGAAAUGAUGUAUCUUAAGAAGUCGACUUAAGUAGUGUGAAAUACAUACUUUUCUAUCUUAGCAUAGAGUCCAGCAUCUCUUAGUUUUUGUAAUACAUGACAAAUAUAAAGUUCAUGUUCUUUUGUGUUCUUAGAAUAUAUUAAGAUGUCGUCUAGGUAAUAGACAACAAAAUCAUCUAAAAACUCACAAAAGACAUCAUUUAUUAAAUUUUGAAAUGUUGUUGGUGCAUUUGUAAGUCUAAAAGGCAUGAUAUUGUAUUCAAAAUGUCCAUACCUUGUUCAAAAUGUAAUCUUCCAUUCAUCUCUUUUUUUGAUGCGUACCAGAUUGUAUGCUCUUCAUAGAUCUAUUUUUGUAUAGAUCUUAGCUUGAUUCAACUGAUCAAGGAGUCCAAAUAUCAAAGGUAGUGGAUACUUGUUCUUGAUGGUGAUUUUGUUGUAUCCUUGAUAAUCGACACACAUCCGCAAUGAUUCAUCUUUUUUCUUCACAAAUAAAAUUGGUGCUCUUGCUGGAGAUUUGAAAUGGCAUAUGAAGUUCUUGGCCAGAUUUCCUUCAAUAUACUCCUUAAGUUCAGCCAACUCAUUUUGAGAUAAAUUAUAGAUUGGUCCAAAUGGCGGUUGUGCUCCUUCUUGAAGGUCAAUUGAGCAAUCAUAAGAAUGAUAUUUCGGAAAAGUAUCUGCAUUCUUCUUCUCAAAUACAUCUUAAAAAUCUUGAUAUUUGCUUGGAAUGCCACUUGAAGUCUUUCCACCAGUAGAAACAAGUGUGGCAUAAAUGACACAAGGUGAUCAUUUUUUUUUAGCAUGCAAGAAAGCUCUUGCACCUACAAAUAUAGGUUUAAUUGUUCUAGACUUAUGACUUUUAACUUGAUUAACUAUGUUCUUAAUUAUAAUUUCAAAAAAAUCAAGACUACGAGAAGUCCAAUCUAUUUUAAGAUUAUAUUUUUCUAACCAUGAUAAUCCUAAAAUGACUGGAUUAGAAGGAGAUUUAAUGAUAUUAAAUAUUACAAAGCUACUAUGACCAUUUAUUGCUAUUUCUUUAGAAAGGAUUUUAUGAGUUACAUCUCUUGAAGACAACGGACGACCAUCUAUAACUUCUAUAUGAAGAGGUUUAGUUUUCUUCACUAAAAAUAUGUUACAUCUUUUAGCAAAUUCUUCAUCUAAGAAACAUGCUGAGGCUCCUGAAUCUAGCAAAACAGAGGCUUUGUGAUGUUUAGGUCUUAGAAUAAUAUUUAUCGUAAAACAUGGAGAGGGUUCUGACGAGAGGAUAGAAUCUUUCCUAAGCAUUGUACAAGGUUUCAACUGCACGGUCCCUAUUGUAGUUGGAAAAAUUUGUUUUCCGACAUGUUAUCUUCUUUGAUCGCCAUACUCCUCAUUUUAUGGUUGUGUCGCUUCUUUGGAUAAUGUUGAAUAGUGUACUUAGAUUCUCCACAAUAUAAGCACAAUCCUUCAUAAUGACGAUGAGUCUUUUCUUGCUUUGUAAGAAGUUUGAAAUAUACAGCAUCAAUUUACAUAUCCUCUACUUUCGAAUAUAUGUGUUGAAGAGAUGUUGGUAUUACCAUUGAAUUACAGUAAUGUUGAGGUCUACUUGUAUAGUUCUUAGAUCAAAAUUCAAAAAGACGAUUGUUGCACUUGACAGCAAAGUUAAUUGCUUGACUCAAUGUUUGAAGAUCAUGUAAGUUGAGCAUUAAUUUUUUUACCUCAAUAUUAAUUUAUAGAGAAAUUGGCUAAUAAAUGUAGCAUCAUUCCACUUGAUAUCAGUUGUAAGUUGUCAAAGUUGUAAAGUAUACAACGUUACUUAUCGAUUGCGUUGUCGCAAAAUAUGGAUCUUGUUGGUUGCAAAAGUAAUUGCAUCAUGGUCUCCAUACAUGAAUCAAAACUGUGCCAAAAAAGCCUCUAGAUUAUCCAAUAUUGGAUCUCAUCAUUCAAAAAAAGAUGAAAACCAUGAUAAUGCUGAAAUUGAAAGAAGCGUACCAAUGAAUCUAACUUACGAUCUUAGAAUUGGAUAGCUUUGGGAUUGAAGUUCAAUCACAAGUUUUACUUGAUUGAUAAAUCCUCUAAUCUUUGAUUUGGUGCCAUCAAACUUCUCAGGUAGGGCAAUUUUAGGUUCUCUAACACUGGAAGGGCGUUCCACUAUAAGAGAAGGGACAUAAUUGGUGCAGAUGUUGAAGUAGCUUCAAUCAUUUCUAUAUCUUCACUUCUUUUCAAUCUUAUUGCUCCUUAUGGUAGUAAAUUGAGUUGAUGCAUCGCAAGCAUUAACUCUUUCAUUUGCUCUUCCAUUUAUACUAUUGUAUUCUUCAUUUCAGCAAGUUUUGCCAUGAUAACACUUAGAAAAAAAGAUGUCUAAUAUCGCUCAAGACAAAUAGAAGAGAGGACUUGAGAACAAAGAAAAUACUAAAGACAAUAUUAGUUUAGAAUAGGAUAAUCUACAAUUUUUAAUAUACUUAUGUCUUAUCAAGAGAAAGGGGUAAUCCUUUCUUAAUCAAAAUUAGACAAAGCUCUGAUAUUAUAAGUAUAUUCUUGUCAAUCUGCCAAGGACAAGAACAUGAUAAAAAUAAAUAAACAAGUGAAACUUCUCUGAAAGAAAGAUGACAAAAUAGAAAUAACUUGAUAUGUAUAUUAAGAAAUAAACUAGAAUGCCUAUUGCCAAAAGCUAAGAAAACUAGAUACUAUUGAAAUUAGACUGGAAGCAAAAAAAGAGUUGACAAGAGUGAAGAAGGCUUCACUCUUGUCUCUAUAUAUACUAUCUAACUAAUAGCUACGUGGCGAUGUUAUAUAGGACCUCCAAUAUAAGUUGACUUUGUAGGACACAUGCCUUGACUUAUAAGGCAAGUUUUUCUACGUGUGGGUCACAGAGUUAGCUUGGUCUUCAAGUUAACAACAUGUGUGGCACAUAGCCAACUUGUUGACCACAUUUCUAAUCCAAAAAGUCAAUUAAAGACAUCUAUAAAGUCAAAGUAGUAUCUAUGAAGCUUUUAGGAAGCUUUCAUAGCAAAUAUUAUAGAAUUAAUCUACUUUUACUCUUUUCCACCUAUUUAAACAUGUAAUUAUUGGCUUACAUGCAUAUGUCCAUGACAAUUGGAGCUUAAGAAAAAUUCUUGAUGAAGAUCCGAUAGUAGUUGAUAAAUCUCAAAAGACAUUAGACAUCUCUUAUUAUUUUUGAGAUCUUCUAAUUUACAAUAGUUUAAACUUUCUUAAGAUCUAUCAUAAGUCCAUCAUUUGAAGUGAUUUAUUCUAAGAAGUCAACUUAAAUAAUAUAGAAUACAUACUUUUCUAUCUUGGCAUAAACUUCUACAUCUCAUAGUUUUUGUAUCAUACGAUAAACAUAAAGUUCAUAUUUUUUUUAUAUUCUUCGAAUAGAUUAAGAUGUUGUUUAGAUAACAAACUACAAAGUUAUCUAAAAACUUUCAAAAAACAUCAUUUGUCACACGUUAGAAAGCUGUUGGUACAUUUAUAAGUCCAAAAGUCAUGACAUUUUAUUCAAAAUGUCUAUACCUUGUUUAUAACGCAAUCUUCCAUUCAUUUCCUUCUUUAAUGUAUAUCAAAUUGUAUACUCCUUAUAGAUCUAUUUUUGUAUAGAUCUUAAUUUGAUUCAACUGAUCAAGAAGUCUAAAUAUCAAAAGUAGUGGGUACCUAUAGUGAUUUUAUUGGAUCUUUAAUAAUUGACACACAUCUGCAAUGAUCUAUCAUUUUUCUUUAUAAAUAAAAUUGGAGCUCUUGCUGGAGAUUUAAAAUGACAUAUAAAGUUUUUUGCCAAAUUUUCUUCAAUAUAUUCCUUAAAUUCAAUCUAAUCAUUUUGUGAUAAAUUGAAACUUGGUCCAAAUGGCAAUUAAGCUCCUUCUUAAAGGUCAAUUGAAUAGUCAUAGGAAUGAUGUUGUAGUAGAGUAUUUACAUUCUAUUUUUUAAAUACAUCUUAAAAAUCUUGAUAUUGGCUUAAAAUGUCAUUUGAAGUCUUUUCACUAUUAGAAAUAAGUGUGGCAUAAAUGAUACAAGGUAAUUGUUCUUUUGCAACAUGAAAGAAAGCUCUUGCAUCUACAAAUACAUAUUUAAUUGCAUUAGACUUAUGACUUUUUAUUUGAAUAAUUAUAUUCUUAAUUAUACUUUUAAAAAAGUCAAGACUAUGAAAAAUCUAUUAUAUUUUUGGAUUAUUUUUUUUUAACUAUGAUAAAUCUAAAAUUAUUGGAUUAAAAAGAAAUCUAGUAAUAUUAAAUAUUACAAAGCUAUUAUGACUAUUAGUUAUUAUAUCUAAAAGAAGGAUUUUAUAAAUAAUAUUUUUUGAAGACAAUAGAUGACUAUCUAUGACUUCUAUAUGAACAAAUUUAAUUUUCUUCACUAAAGAUAUGCUAUAUCUUUUAGUAAGUUUUUCAUCUAAGAAAUAUGUUGAGGCUCUUGAAUCUAACAAAACAAAGGCUUUGUGAUAUUUAGGUCGUAAAAUAAUAAUUAUUAUAAAACAAAGAGAGAGCUAUGAGGAGAGAAUAUGACCUUCACUAGAAGUUGUACAAGAUUCUAGCUACAAGAUCUUUAUUGUAGCUAAAAAAACUUAUUUUCUAAUAUUAUAUCUUCUUUAAUAGCUGUACUCUUCAUUUUAUAGUUGCAUUACUUCUAUAAUCAAUAUUAAGUAAUAUAUUUAGAUUCUCCAUAAUACAAGUGCAGUCUUUCUUGAUGACAACAAGUCUUUUUUUACUCAAUAACAGAUUUGAAAUAUACCACAUUAAUUUGCAUAUUCUCUAUUUUCAAAUGUAUGUAUUAAAAAAUCAUUGGCAUUUUCAUUGAAUUAUAAUAAUAUUGAGGUGUACUUAUGCAAUUUUCAGAUUAAAAUUCAAAAAAUUGAUUAUCACACCUUAUAACAAAGUUAAUUGUUUGACUCAUUGUUUGAGUAUUAGGUAAAUUGAGCAUCAAUUUUUAUAUUUUAUAUUAUAAUUUAAAGAAAAAUUGGCUAAUAUGUGCAGCACCAUCUUGUUUAAUAUCAAUUCCAAGUUAUCAAAAUUGUAAAGCAUAUAAUGUUACCAAUCGAUUGUCUUGUCAUAUAAUAUAAAUCUUAUUGGUUGCAAUAUGAAUUGCAUCAUGUUUUCGAUAUAUGGAUCAAAACUUUGCUAAAAAAACCUCCAAAUUAUUUAAUAUUAGAUUUUAUUUUUCAAGAAAAGAUGAAAAUGAUAAUAAUACUGAAGUUAAAAAAAGUAUAUCAAUAACUCUAACUUGUAAUCAACCAGAUGGAUAGCUUUAGAGUUGAAGUUUAAUCACAAGUUAUAUUUAAUUGAUAAAUCUUCAAAACUUAAAACUUGUAUCUUAAAACAUCUUGGACAGUGCAACUCUUAGUUUUUUAAUAUUAAAAGGAUGUUUUAUCAUAAGAAAAGAAACAUGAUUUGGUGCAGAUAUUGAAGUAGCUUCAAUCAUCUCUAUAUCUUUGCUCUUUACUAUUCUUGUUGCUACUUAUAGUGAUAAAUUGAAUUGAUGUAUUGCAAGAAUUAACUCUCUCAAUUACUCCUCCAUUUGUACCAUUAUACUUUUUAUUUCAAGAAGCUCUAUCAUAAUAAUACUUAAAGAGAGAAUUUAAUCUAAUAUUAUUCAAGACAAAUAGAAGAGAAGACUUUAAAAAAAAAAAAAAAAAAAAAAAAAAUACUAAAGAUAAUAUCAAUUUAGAAAAAGAAAAUCCACAAUUCUUAAUAUGCUUAAGUCUUAUCAAGAGAAAGGAAUAAUCUACUUCUAAUCAAGAAAAGACAAAGCUCUGAUAUUAUAAGUGUACUCUUAUCAAUCUGUCAAGGAUAAGAACUUAAUGAAAGCAAAUAAAUAAGUGAGAUUUUUUCAAAGAAAUAUGAUAAAAUAAAAAUAGAAAAAUAUAUAUUAAAAAUAAAAUUGAAAUUUCUAUUGCCAAAAGAUAAAAAAACUAGAGACUCUUAAACUAUAAUAAAAGAAAGAAAAGAAUUGACAAGAGUAAAGAAGGCUUCACUCUUGCCUCUAUAUAUACUAUCUAUUGAAGAUCUAUGUAGUGACGAUCUAUAAGACCUCCAAAAAUAUGUUGACUUUGCAUCACAUGUAUCUUAACUUAUAAGAAAAGUUUCCAUAUAGGUGCAACAUAGUUAGCUUGUUCUACAAGUUAUCAAUAUAUAUGGCACAUAGUUAGCUAGUUGACAAAGUUUCUAAUCUAUCAAUCAAUUAAAAAUACAUAUAAAGUCAAAAUAUCAUCUAAAAGCUUUUAAAAAACUUUGUUAGAUGGUAUUAUAAAAUUAAUCUACUUUUAUCUAUUUCUACCUAUUUAUAUUACCUAAUAUCAAAGAUAUGAAUCUUGAAGAAAGAAUAUCCUCAAUACACCCUUGUAUCACUAAAGCAAACUAAAAAAUCACUCAAAGGUGAUGUAAUAUUAAAUUAGAAUAGCCAUUGUAAAAAAUAAGAAGACUAGAAAGUCUUCAAACAAGACUAAGGACUAGAAAGGCAUUGAUAAGAGUGAAGAAGACUUCACUUUUGCCUCAAUAAAUACUCUCUAACUAAGUGUUACGUGUUGAUAUUCUAUACAACCUCCAACAUGUCUUUACUUUGUGUCAAGAAGAAGAACUUGAUAAAAAAAAAUAAACAAGUGAGACUUCUCUCAAAGAAAGAUGACAAAAUAGAAAUAACUCCAUACAUAUAUUAAGAAAGAAACUGGAAUGGCUAUUGCCAAAAGCUAAGAAAAAUAGAGACCCUUGAAACUAGAUUAGAAGCAAGAAAGAAGUUGAUAAGAGUGAAGAAGGCUUCACUCUUGUCUCUAUAUAUACUAUCUAAUUAAGUGCUACAUGGCAAUGUUCUAUAGGACCUCCAAUAUGUCUAGACUUUGUAAGACACAUGCCUUAACUUACAAGGCCAUUUUUUCUUUGUAAUGGCCACAUAGUUAGCUUGGUCUUCAAGCUAACAACAUGUGUGGCACAUGGCCAACUUCUUGACCAGGUUUUUAAUCCAAAAAGUCAAUUAAAGACACCUAUAAAGUCAAAGCAACAUCUAUGAAGCUUAUAGGAAGCUUCUAUAGCAAAUAUUAUAGAAUUAACCUAUUUUUACUUACUUUUACUUACUUCUAUCUAUUUAUACAUGUAAUUAUUGGCUUACAUGCAUAUGUCUAUGAUAUUAUCCCCUCUUCUAGGGACGAAUUCCACAAAGAGCAGUCAUCAUAUGUUAAGGAAAUCUAUGAUGCGACAAAUUAUAUUUGCCACAUACUUUGAUCUUUGUUCUCUUUGAAGAUGAUUGAUAGGGCCUCUCAACCAUCGGUAGUGUCCUAUAUAAGGGCGGAAAGACCACCCAGUUAUUUGAUCGUUGUUGAGGCUUCCAUAACUUCGUUCGAAUAAAACAUUUGGAACACCAUCGGAAAUUGUUCCUACCUCUAGUAAAAUCACCAAACAUCGAGAGUUCUUUCCAAGAUCAUGAUACCAAAUGCGUUGUAUCUUGCCAUUUAUUCGAGGAAAAACAUGUCGUUCUUGAAGACCUUCAUUUCAAUUAUGUCAUCUUGAAGGUUGUGACAAUCGUAAUGUCUUGUCUAACAGGUUAGCAAAUGAAGGUUCUUAAGUCAAAUCCACUGGUUGUUGGUUCUCUAUCUUCUCAUCGUGACAACUACAAAGAAUCUACAAACAAAUAUUAAAAGUAGAAUGUUAUCUUGCUAAGAUCUUGUUUCUUUCAUAAGAAAAUUUUUUAUCUUAAUUUUGAUAGAUAUCAUUGAUGAAAAGCCUCCACCACCUUUGCUGCAUUUAUAAGAUUCUUUACAGGCUCUCAUGUGCAUUCACUAAUAUCAUAUCCGUGCUAAUGGACAAGAUAUUCCAAUUCAUUUUGGUAUUGCCUUGAAUCUAAGACUUCUUCUACUUCAAAUUUAUCAUUAUUGUCCACUUCUAUAGGAGGUGGUGGAGCUUGUCUUCUUCUUGGUGUGUCCAUUGUCUUGUAUGGUUCAAGAAGAGAUACGUGGAAUAUUGGAUGGAUUUUCAUUGACUCCAGUAUCAUGAUGUAACAUGACUAAUAGGUGAAAGAGUGUGGAAAUUAUUAUAAUGUAGGAGAUUUUAGUUCAAAGUAUUAGAGCAAAUUAUCUUAGAAAUAUAAUUAAUAGCCAAAAGGGUAGUAAAACUAAAAGGUACUAAUGUUGCCUUUUCAAAAGGUGAUUUCUACUUAUUUUGUAUGUUCAUAAUAAAGGCAAAAUAAAUUAUAUUGGAAAAAAAAUAAUAUAGGUAUCUUUAGAAGAUAAUUAAGAAUAAAUUCUAGUAAAAUUUACUAAAAAAAACUAGAUAUUGAUACUCGGAGAGGGCUGGUUAUGAACUAGUAUUGAAAUCAUAUCCUAAGAAACAAAACUGAAUCUUGAUGAUGAUUUCGAGGUUGUUUUACAAAUCAAAGAGUGGAAUAUGAUAGCAGAUUAGAUAAGGUUUCUAUGAGCAUUAGUUUUGGAUGAUUUGGAGUUUUUAUGACUUUGUAAGAGCUUUACAAAGUCAAGAUUGUUUUUGGAUGACUUGGGGUUUGUAAAAUAAAAUAGGAUUGAUGUUUCUAGUGAUUUUAAGAAUUCUGUAACAGAUCUAUAGGUGAAAUUUUUUAUGUUAAUGAUCAAAGUUGUGCUUAAUAAGUAUUGUAAAUAUUAGCUCAAUCUAAUAGUUACAUUGAGGAUUAUUGAGGUUUGAGUGAAUCAAGGUCUCAGAAAGUAGAAUUUUAGGACUAGUGAGGAUUUUAAAGUUUUCUUGCAAUCUACUAGUUGGAUUAGAGUGAAAUUUAUGUGAGAAGAUGUAAGACUUGUUUUUCUAUAUGUAUGAAAAUUUUAAAAUCAAUCGAAUAGUGAAAAAGAGAGAUAUUGGCUCUGAGAGAUUGGCAUCAAGGUUGGAGAAGGAGGCCAGCCAAUACCCGAGUACAUUUUUGAGGUUAUAGUCUAUUUGAUAAUUUUGAUCCUUUUCAAAAAAUUUGUGCUUGUUUUCAACUUAGUUUUUAAGAAGUAUGAAAAAUUUGAAUUAAGAUCCACGAUUCAUUCAUUAGUUAUUGAGGUUUAAUUAUAUUAUAGAAAUUACUAGGGUUUGGUUAGGGUUUGGUUAGGAUUUGAUUUAGGGUUAGGAUUUGGUUAGGAUUUGGUUAGGAUUUGAUUAAGGUUUGAUUUAGAAUUAGGAUUUGGUUUAGGAUUUAGGGUUCGAUUAAGAUUUGACUUAGGAUUAAAUUUUAGUUAAGAUUUGAUUCCGGAUUAGGAUUUGGUUUAGGAUUUAGGAUUNNNNNNNNNNNNNNNNNNNNNNNNNNNNNNNNNNNNNNNNNNNNNNNNNNNNNNNNNNNNNNNNNNNNNNNNNNNNNNNNNNNNNNNNNNNNNNNNNNNNNNNNNNNNNNNNNNNNNNNNNNNNNNNNNNNNNNNNNNNNNNNNNNNNNNNNNNNNNNNNNNNNNNNNNNNNNNNNNNNNNNNNNNNNNNNNNNNNNNNNNNNNNNNNNNNNNNNNNNNNNNNNNNNNNNNNNNNNNNNNNNNNNNNNNNNNNNNNNNNNNNNNNNNNNNNNNNNNNNNNNNNNNNNNNNNNNNNNNNNNNNNNNNNNNNNNNNNNNNNNNNNNNNNNNNNNNNNNNNNNNNNNNNNNNNNNNNNNNNNNNNNNNNNNNNNNNNNNNNNNNNNNNNNNNNNNNNNNNNNNNNNNNNNNNNNNNNNNNNNNNNNNNNNNNNNNNNNNNNNNNNNNNNNNNNNNNNNNNNNNNNNNNNNNNNNNNNNNNNNNNNNNNNNNNNNNNNNNNNNNNNNNNNNNNNNNNNNNNNNNNNNNNNNNNNNNNNNNNNNNNNNNNNNNNNNNNNNNNNNNNNNNNNNNNNNNNNNNNNNNNNNNNNNNNNNNNNNNNNNNNNNNNNNNNNNNNNNNNNNNNNNNNNNNNNNNNNNNNNNNNNNNNNNNNNNNNNNNNNNNNNNNNNNNNNNNNNNNNNNNNNNNNNNNNNNNNNNNNNNNNNNNNNNNNNNNNNNNNNNNNNNNNNNNNNNNNNNNNNNNNNNNNNNNNNNNNNNNNNNNNNNNNNNNNNNNNNNNNNNNNNNNNNNNNNNNNNNNNNNNNNNNNNNNNNNNNNNNNNNNNNNNNNNNNNNNNNNNNNNNNNNNNNNNNNNNNNNNNNNNNNNNNNNNNNNNNNNNNNNNNNNNNNNNNNNNNNNNNNNNNNNNNNNNNNNNNNNNNNNNNNNNNNNNNNNNNNNNNNNNNNNNNNNNNNNNNNNNNNNNNNNNNNNNNNNNNNNNNNNNNNNNNNNNNNNNNNNNNNNNNNNNNNNNNNNNNNNNNNNNNNNNNNNNNNNNNNNNNNNNNNNNNNNNNNNNNNNNNNNNNNNNNNNNNNNNNNNNNNNNNNNNNNNNNNNNNNNNNNNNNNNNNNNNNNNNNNNNNNNNNNNNNNNNNNNNNNNNNNNNNNNNNNNNNNNNNNNNNNNNNNNNNNNNNNNNNNNNNNNNNNNNNNNNNNNNNNNNNNNNNNNNNNNNNNNNNNNNNNNNNNNNNNNNNNNNNNNNNNNNNNNNNNNNNNNNNNNNNNNNNNNNNNNNNNNNNNNNNNNNNNNNNNNNNNNNNNNNNNNNNNNNNNNNNNNNNNNNNNNNNNNNNNNNNNNNNNNNNNNNNNNNNNNNNNNNNNNNNNNNNNNNNNNNNNNNNNNNNNNNNNNNNNNNNNNNNNNNNNNNNNNNNNNNNNNNNNNNNNNNNNNNNNNNNNNNNNNNNNNNNNNNNNNNNNNNNNNNNNNNNNNNNNNNNNNNNNNNNNNNNNNNNNNNNNNNNNNNNNNNNNNNNNNNNNNNNNNNNNNNNNNNNNNNNNNNNNNNNNNNNNNNNNNNNNNNNNNNNNNNNNNNNNNNNNNNNNNNNNNNNNNNNNNNNNNNNNNNNNNNNNNNNNNNNNNNNNNNNNNNNNNNNNNNNNNNNNNNNNNNNNNNNNNNNNNNNNNNNNNNNNNNNNNNNNNNNNNNNNNNNNNNNNNNNNNNNNNNNNNNNNNNNNNNNNNNNNNNNNNNNNNNNNNNNNNNNNNNNNNNNNNNNNNNNNNNNNNNNNNNNNNNNNNNNNNNNNNNNNNNNNNNNNNNNNNNNNNNNNNNNNNNNNNNNNNNNNNNNNNNNNNNNNNNNNNNNNNNNNNNNNNNNNNNNNNNNNNNNNNNNNNNNNNNNNNNNNNNNNNNNNNNNNNNNNNNNNNNNNNNNNNNNNNNNNNNNNNNNNNNNNNNNNNNNNNNNNNNNNNNNNNNNNNNNNNNNNNNNNNNNNNNNNNNNNNNNNNNNNNNNNNNNNNNNNNNNNNNNNNNNNNNNNNNNNNNNNNNNNNNNNNNNNNNNNNNNNNNNNNNNNNNNNNNNNNNNNNNNNNNNNNNNNNNNNNNNNNNNNNNNNNNNNNNNNNNNNNNNNNNNNNNNNNNNNNNNNNNNNNNNNNNNNNNNNNNNNNNNNNNNNNNNNNNNNNNNNNNNNNNNNNNNNNNNNNNNNNNNNNNNNNNNNNNNNNNNNNNNNNNNNNNNNNNNNNNNNNNNNNNNNNNNNNNNNNNNNNNNNNNNNNNNNNNNNNNNNNNNNNNNNNNNNNNNNNNNNNNNNNNNNNNNNNNNNNNNNNNNNNNNNNNNNNNNNNNNNNNNNNNNNNNNNNNNNNNNNNNNNNNNNNNNNNNNNNNNNNNNNNNNNNNNNNNNNNNNNNNNNNNNNNNNNNNNNNNNNNNNNNNNNNNNNNNNNNNNNNNNNNNNNNNNNNNNNNNNNNNNNNNNNNNNNNNNNNNNNNNNNNNNNNNNNNNNNNNNNNNNNNNNNNNNNNAUUUGAUUUAGGAUUAGAAUUUGAUUUAGGGUUUAGGAUUAGGGUUAAGAUUUGGUUAGGAUUUGAUUUAAGAUUAGGAUUUGGUUAGGGUUUGAUUAGGAUUUGAUUUAGGAUUAGGAUUUGGUUUAAGAUUUAGGAUUCAGUUAGAGUUUGAUUUAGGAUUAAGGUUUGGUUAGGAUUUGAUUUGAAUUAGGGUUUGGUUAGGAUUUGAUUUAGGAUUUAGGAUUAGGGUUAGGAUUUGGUUAGGAUUUGAUUUAGGAUUUAGGAUUAGGGUUAGGAUUUGGUUAGGAUUUGAUUUAGGAUUUAGGAUUAGGGUUAGGAUUUGGUUAAGAUUUGAUUUAGGAUUUAGGAUUAGGGUUAGGAUUUAGGAUUUGAUUUAGGAUUUGAUUUAGGAUUUGGAUUUAGGAUUUGGUUAGAAUUUGAUUUAGGAUUUAAGAUUUGAUUUAGGAUUUAAGGUUUGGUUUAGGGUUUAAAGUUUGAUUAGGAUUUGAUUUAGGAUUUAGGAUAAGGGUUAGGAUUUAGGAUUUGAUUAGGAUUUGAUUUAGGAAUAGGAUUUGGUUUAGAAUUUAGAGUUUGGUUAUGAUUUGAUUAAAGAUUUAGGAUUUGGUUAGGAUUUAAGGUUUGGUUAUGAUUUGAUCAAGAUUUGAUUUAGGAUUUAAGAUUUUAUUUGAUCUUAUUUAGGAUUUAAGGUUUAAUUAGUUUUUGGCCUAAAGUUUGAAUGAAGUAAGAUUUCAACUAGCAUUAAAUUAAGAUUGAAUUUAGAUGUAUUUGAAAUAUGUUUUUUAUCAUUCUAAUAUUUCUUUAAGAUUUCUUAUUGUUUCUUUAGAAUUCCUUUGAGGUUUCUCUGAAUUUCAUUAAAGCUUAUUAGCAUUGUUAGUGUUCUUUUAGAAUUAAGAUUUUGUUGUUGCAAUUUCCAUUCUAUCUUCCAUAGCUAAGUGCCCGGAGCAUUCUCAAGUAAGACUUCAUGUAUUACGACAUAUUUAGUAAACCCAACGUGAAACGCUUGAGAUAGAAGAAAUUUGGUUUUUUUGGAUUAUUUGAAAUUUUAAAGAAGGAAGGCAAGACGAUGGAAGGAGGAAUUUUUGAUGGUGCUUCAAGUAGAGUUGAGAGUGGUGCUUCAAGUGGAGUUGGAAGAGGAGCUUCGAUUAGAGGAGAAGGUAUGCAUUUUGAUCCUAACUCUACAAGCAUGUUUGAAGCUUUUGCCUUAUUCAUGCAACAGCAACAACAACAGAUUAAAGAUUACAUAGAGAGUAUAGCUAACAAAGUAUUACAAGCGGUUUUCGAUAAAAUCGAUUAAUUUGAAGGAAAAGACAUUACAAAAUAUUUAAGAUGUUAUGUAAAGGAAAUGGAAUUGAAGCGUAUUUUAGAAAGGAAGAUGGUUCAAUUAUUUGAAUUAGCCUCUACACGAGAGAUAAAAAAUCAAAUAAAGUCUCUUAUAUAACAUUUUGGAGGUUCAUGGGAGAAAUUUUCUCAAGCAUUGAAGGAUGAGUUUUUCUUGGAAGAUAGUAAUAGGGUUACAAAAAAGUCUUUUUUUGAAUAGAUUGAAAGGCCAAAGAAGGAUCUUCUAGAAACAAAAUUAUUAAGAAAAUUUGAAAAGUAAUAUUCUUCUUUAUCAAAGAAAGAAAGAUAAUUAUUGGAUUCAAGUAAGAUAAAGCUCUUUCUUCAAGCGCCGGAUGGAAAGUUGCAAGAGAAGUUGGAAAUCAUACUUGAAGAUAAAAUUAAAGAUGAAGGAUUAAUAAUAAAUUGGAAAAAGGUAGGGGAGGCUGUAGGGUUAUUGACAAAAAGAGAAAGGAGAAAAGAUAGGGUGGGUGAUCAAAGACCAUUACAAGCAUCUAAGAUAAAGGUAUCUAGUACCCAUCCAAUAUCUUUGAUUCAACCUUCAAUGAUUACAUCAAAGAAAGAAGAAAUGGACAUUGAUGAAAUCAUACGUGACAUGAAAGAUUUGCAAAUAAAAUUUACAAAACUUGAAGAGAAGAAUCAAUCAUUAAUAGUAUCAACAAAAUAAAGACUAGGCCCAAUGAAGGAUAUUGUAUGUAGGUGCAUGUGGUGUGAUAGCAUAAAUCAUUCAAGAAAAGAAUAUAAAGAUUUUACAAAGGCAUUACGUAAAGGAAUUGUUUUUUUUAAAGAUGGUAUGAUAUACUUAAAGGAAAUGGAGAAAAAUUAGAAAUAAAUUUUGGUAAAGGAUGAAUGAAGUUAUUUGUCAGAGAUACUUUUAAAGUGCAUUCAAUCACAAGUAAUGAAGCAUCAAUAUAUUGAGUAGAAGCAAAUCCUAGUAAAUAUUUAAGUAUAAAUCUUAAGUUUCUAGAAGAAUCUAGUUCUUUGUAGACAAAUACAAUGAGUUAUGCUGAAAGGAGAAAUUUUAUUAGAGAUGAUUUAAAAUGUACUGGUAAUAACAUUCGAUAAAUUAUUGGUUGGGAUGAUCUAGUAGAUAGAUUAUCUGUGCAUACUCAUAUUAUAAGGAAUCAACAUAAAACAUUGUUGUGUUGUGGUUCGGCUACUAUAUAAAAAUAAUGUAAUUAUGUACUUAAUAUAUAAUUUACUAAGUAACAUGGUGAGAGAUGUAUUAGUAGAUUUUAGUUGGUUGUAGAAUAUAAUUUGAUUAUUACUUUGAGAAGAGGUUGUUUAAAAAGAUUACUAUAGAAUUUGUAUAACUUUAAUUUCUUUUUGAUAGUGGCUUUUAAGAUUGCUUUUGGUUGAUAGUAACUUCUAAAUAUUUAGAGUCACCUUUGUUAGACAUUGGUGACCUUUGGAAACUUAUUUUGGUUCUUUUAUUUGGUGUUUAGAGCAUAAAUUAUGUAAAUCUUAUAAGAAAAACGAUUGAAGAAGGGUUUUGAUAGCAAAGGGAGUAAUUAGGGCACCAAUAUAGAUAAAUGGAGAUAGAUGAUGAAAAUCUCCAUUCCUAUUGGUCAAAAAUCAUGACCAUUUGGCUUUGAGGAGGCUGCCUGAGCCCACAUUAGAGAUUAGGGUUAGUUUUCCGGGGCCAUUCGAACUUUGAAGGCUAAGGUCAGAAAUUUUAGGUUUUUGGCUAUGAAUUUGGUACAAAUUUUAUAUGGUUUGGAGUCUAUAUGAAGGAUAUAAAAGCGCUCAAAGUUAAGGUGUUGAUUUGGGAGCUACUGUCACUCUUUAUUGGCAUAACACACGUUUACAGAUAGCAACUGAGGAUCGGUGAUUACAACUAGAGAGAGUACUUUUUUGGCUACACUUUUUAUAUACUGCUUACUAGAUUCGAAGUUGAAAUGAAGGAGUUAUUGAAUUUUGAAGUUAGUGCAUGCAAUCUAAGGGUAGUAAGUGACUCGAUUUACUAGUGGUUGUGUCUUGAGCUAUAUCUUGAGCAAUUUGACAAGGUUUUGGCUCAAAAUUUCAAAGAAUGUGUAAUUUUGUAUUAAUAAACUUUAUAAAUAAGUUUUAUGACAUUUGAGUAUUGGAUUCUUGAGAUAUUAAGAAAAUAGUGCAAGAGUACUUGUAAAUUAGGGUUUAGAGCAUCUGCUAGGGUUUCUUAGAUAUCAAAAGAUCAGGAGUGAAUUUACAAUUGGUUUUCUUUGUGAUAAAAGCUAAGGGUGCAUUCUACCUAUUCUAUAAAUUCGAAACAAAUUAAAUAGCUACAUUAAGAGUUAUGAAUUUCUAAAGUUCAGAAAAAGAAAACCAUUUGCGGAAAAAAUAUGUUUUGAAGGGAUUUUGUUAUAUUUUGAGUUUUAUGCAAAAUAAAAUAUUUUUUGGAAGCUAAGACAAGAUUCACAUAAAGGUAUAAGCUAAACUCUCUGCAAUUAGAUACCCGAUAUAUUUCCAUAUAGCAAAUCAUGCCAUACGAUAGACUUGAUGAACGCGACGUAAGAAUUUCUAGGGUAGAGAGUUUUGAAGAAAUAUUUUUGGCUUUCUAUUAUGGAAGAGGGGCAAAGAAGUGGUAGUAGGAAUUACACUAAGGAAUCUCCAUUGAAACUUGAUCCUACUACAACUCAAAUAUUUCAAAUAUUUAUACUUUUCAUGCAACAACAGCAAGCAGUGGAACGCAAAGAAACAAUGGCUACUAAAGCCUUGCAAUUUGUUGUUGGUUUAUUAGAUCAAUUUGAUGGAAGAAAUAUUUUCAAGUAUCUUAAGUAUUAUUCUUAGGAGAUGGAGCUCAAUAAAGUGUCAGAGAAAGAUAUGAUCCUAACAUUUGAGCUUGUAAUUGUACCACGGCUUCGUGAGCAUAUAAAAAAAAUUAUUAAAACUCAUAGAGAGAAAUGGGAGGAUUUUAUGCUUCAACUAAAAGAAGAGUAUUUUUUGGAAGAUACAGAAAGGCGGACAAGAAAAUCGUUUAUGGAAUGGAUCAAUAAAUCCAACAAGGAGUUGGUUGCAACAGAGUUAUUCCGAGAAUUUGAAAGACAAUUUCUUCAAUUGUCUCAAGUGGAAAAGCUUACACUUGAAAAUAAUAAGGUAGAGUUAUUUCUUCAAUCAGUUGGCAAUGAUUUAUAAAGAGAAUUGGAAUUAUUAUUGGAGGAUAAUACAAAGGACAAUGGACUUACUAUUGAUUGAAAGAAAGUCUCUGAAGCUGUGGGCAUACUUGCUAAAAGAGAGUACGAGAGGAGUAAGGUGGUAGUAAGGCAAGAAACUAGACCUCUACUGACUAUAAUACCUCGUAGGUAAUUGCCAAAACCUGCUAUACCAAUAAGUACUAUUCCAAUUCCUAUGUCUAUACUUGUACCGAAGAAAGAUUUGAUUGAUGAGUUGGUAAAAGGAAUGAAAGACUUACAAAUCAAACCGACAAAGUUAAAGGAGAAAGAGGGAUUAUCUGAGAGUAAAUUUGUAUCAAAGCCAGGAUAUAUACAAAGAUGUAUUUGGUACGAUAGUAUGGAGCAUCCUCGAAGGGAGUAUGGAGAUUUUGUUGAUAUUCUAUGACAAAGAGUAAUUUUAUGGAAAGAUAGAAAAAUUGUAUUAUGAGAUACAUGUGAGUUUUUCAAAACCAAUUUUGGAAAGGGGGAGAUGAAGAAGGUUUUGGAAGAGCAUUUAUUUCAACCAGCUAUGGCAUGAAGAGAGGCUAUUACUUAUGGCAUUGAGGCUGUAAGGGAGAAGAAGGAUAUUUUUGACAAGCAUGUAAACACAGGGGAUCUAUAGAAUCAUGCUAUUAUCAGCAUGAAUAAAAAAAAACAACAAAAAGGCAUGAAUUACUUAAUACAACCAUAAUAAUUAGAAAUGCUACAAGAUGAGAUGACCCUGUAGAUACUAUGUCUGUAUAUGCUUAUUUUGCAAAGACCCAACAUGAAGCUCUAAUGGAGGUAAAAAAGAAAAGAAAUAAAAUAGAAGAAAAUUUUGAAGAGCCAACCAACAAGAGGAUAUCUCAAAGGCAUGUUUCGACUAUCAUUGGUACUCCAAUUAAAUAAUCUCUUUCAUUUUUCAUAGCUGUAACUAUUCCCCAUAGCUCCCGUUUCACCUGUGGAUAGUUUCUUUGUUGUUCACUUAAUACUUUAGCUCCAAAUCUAAUAGCAAACCUAUUACCUUCUUCACCAAUUUUUCCUAAAGCCCAACCAAUAGCUAUUGGAUUAGUAUCAACUAUAUAUAUCACCGAUUUGCCAUCCUCAUAACUUAUCCUUUGCAAUACAGGUGGAGAAGAUAAUAAUUGAUUUAGCUUUUGAAUUGUUUAUGUGUGCUUCUUUUCCCAUUUAAAUCUCUUCUCUUUUUGUAGCAAACUAUAAAGAAGAUCACCUACAUGUGCAUAAUGAGGAAUGUAUACACAAUAAAAUAUACAAGCUCCUAAAAUCCUCCGUACCUUUGUUUGUGAGCUACAAAUAUCCUUCAUUUGUUGUAUGGCAUCUAUCUUAUUAAGAUCAGGUUUGCAACCAAACCAUCCACACAAAUACCCCACAAUAACAACUUUUCGAACUCCAAAGGUAGAUUUAGCUCCUAAUAGUGUCAAAUGAACCUCCUCAAGUUGAGAUAAAAUUUUGUCACAGUUUAUAAUAUGAUUAGAUACAAAUUUACGCCACCCCUUUUGAUCCAUUGUUUCAAUUUUCUCUUCUUUCACACACCUUUUUAUUAGAAUAUCAUCCAAGAAGGACAUAAUCUUUUUUGGAAUGAAAUCACGAAGAACCUUAUUCAUCCCAUUCAUCAUGUGAGCUACUGAGUUUCUUGCUUCUUCUGGCAAUAUACACAUCUUAACCAACUCUAAAGGUGUCUUCAUAGUAUUAAUAUCUUUGCUUCCUUCAGCUAGUUGAAAUUGAUCAUAUUCAAGAAUUAUUUGAGACUUGCGAUGGAACUUGGACUCACGUCGAAACUAGGGAGUCAUGAUGAGACAAGGAAGAAAAAGAGGAAGUUCGGGACUCGCGAUGGGACUGGAACUCGCGCUGGGACUAGAUAGAAGGGGAGGAGGUCCGAGACUCGUGACAGGACUGAGACUCACGCCUGGACUAGAAAGAGGGGGAGGAUAUCCGGGACUCACGAUGGAAUUGGGACUCGCGCCAAGACUAGGAAGUGGGAGAGGAGGUCCGGGACUCGCGACAGGACUGGAACUCGUGUCGGGGUUAGGAAGUGGGAGAGGAGGUCUGCGACUCGCGACAGGACUGGGACUCGCGUUGGGACUAAGAAGAAGGAGAGGAGGUCCAGACCUCACGACGAGACUAGAACUUGCGUUGGGACUAAGAAGUGGGGGAGGAGGUCCAGAACUCGCGACGGGACAGGAACUCGCGCUGGGAUUAGGAAGAGGGGGAAGAGGUCCAGGACUUGCGACGGGACUGAGAGUUGUGCCGGGACUAGGGAAGAGAAGGACGAGGAGGAAGGCCGAGAUUGGGACUCGCAGCGGGAGUAAGUAGUGGAAGAGGAGGUCCAAGACUCACAGCGGGACAAGGAGGAAGUCGAGGAGGAGGGCCGGGAUCAGGAAUUACAAAGGGGAUAGCAAGCAAGACAAGGAAGGUAGGUGGUCUUCCACAAAAAAAAGUGUAUCUCAGAACUUUCUUAGUAUAGUAGGAUGGGGGAGUUUGCCGAAUCCCAUAGAAAAUACUAUAUGAGGGAAGGGUUCCUCUGAAGCGUCUCGAAAAAAAUUGUGAGGGGGUGACGGUUGCUCGAUGCCUACAAGUCCCGACUGCUCGCUGCCUUUUUUGAGCCCAGUACCGACGUUCGCAGGGGGGAUACCUAGAUACUACUGGAAUUACCUAGAUACUUCUGGCGUGUUACCUGGAUCAGUGAGGAGUGGGGGUUAGUUUCCCGGAGACGCGACCCUCUGAGGAGGUCCUACGGAGGGUUGUCGAGUAUUAUAUGAUGAACUGGUUGUCAAGGGUUGUGAGUCCCGCUGCCAAAAUUUUUUUUGGUGUGCGGAUGAUUAGAAAAAGAGAGUUGGUCUUGUGUCGAUACGUGUAAUGUUGCAGCGAGUUCCAAGAGCUAGUAACCAUUUUUGGCGGAGGGCGAUGGCCUCGGUAUUGUCAAGCCAUUCUCUCAUUCAUUUGGGAGGGUGGGGAGAAGUUUUUGCCGAGGCCAUUCAUACUCCGCAUGGUCAACCACCACUGUGAUAGCCACCACGCUCAAUCUCUAUUGCAAGCUCAAAUGAAAUUCCUGAUAAACUUGGAGGGGGUGUAGGACGCGUUCGUAGUGUGGGCCGAGGAGUCAUAACAACCUAGGUCGGAAUGUGAAAAUGGAACUUUGAAACCAGUGAGAGUUCUCUUGUCUGCUUAGAGGUUUCACAAAAGUAACAUUUCUAUAAAUUUCUAUCCGACCCCUCCAUUAAUUUGGAGGGGUGAUGGGCCCCCAAGAUUGGACAUACUUCUUGCUGAUUUGUCUUUUGAAGAAAAUCCUUCACUGUGAUGAUUACUUUUUUAUUUUUUAAUGUGUAUAUCGGCCUCAUCGGUUUCUCUCUUUCUUGGUCACAUUCCCAAAAAAGGCCGCAGCACCUAUGAUUCUCUUCUGGAGGGGCCUAACUCUCUGACGAGAAUCAAAAAUAAUUCAAAUUCUAAAACUUAUAAUUCUUUAUUUUUGAUUCUCAAAUGCUUCUUUUAAAGUUGCCAAAAUCCUUAUUAUGAAUGCAGAUAGUCUAUUAAAAGCCUAUUAGGCAUGGCCUUAAAUCAAUAGAAAUGAAGACAUUCACUUCUUGCCUUCAUCUACCAAUACCUUUCUUUCAUCCCUCCAAAUAAUCUUUUUAGUGGUUUGGAUCGUCAUCUUUGAGCUCCUAUCUUCUCUAAAACUUUAUAUUUAAUAUCUAAAUCUUAUAUAAUUUAUAUGUUAUAAUAAAAAUAGAUAAAUCUCAAAUAGAUCAUAUUUGGAGUUUAUAUGAAGGAAUUAUAGAUUUUAUAGAUAGAGAUGCUAUAGUAGAAAUACAUUCAAGACGGACUUAUUUAGAGUUAGAAAAGAUAGUAGCAAAUAGUUAGCUUGCUACAAGCUAUGGGUUAAACAUAAGGCCAAAGUACAAACUAAAUAUAAAAUUAUAGAAAAAAAAGUAAAAUAUAUAGUUAUUCAAUUAUCAAUUGAAACUAUCAAAUAUAAUUAAGAAGGGACAUAAAGAGCCAAGUUUAAGAGAGAGUCAUAGAAUUAGACAUUAGUUUAUUUAAGAAUUAUUAGCUAAGCUAAAGAUUAGAAGGGAUAAUUUCUUAACAUCAAUGGAAGAAAAUAUGUUUUAAAAAAUACUUAUUAGACAUGAUUAGGCAUUUGUUUUAACUCCUAAUAAGAUUGGAUAUAUAAAACUUAGUAUUAUAGUACCUACGAUAAUCUUUGCAAUGCCACAAAUUUCAUAGAAUUUAAAGCAUAUACUUGUGCCUAGAGCUUUGCUUCCAAAGUUAAUAGAGUCAUUAAAGAAAAAGAUAAAGAUGGAUAUUUUAGAACCUUCAAUUACUUCCUAUUCUAAUAGAUGAUUCACACUACCUAAGAAGUCAAAGGCAUUAAGGUUUAUUUAGAAUAUAUAACUUGAAAAUAAAAUAACUAUUCAUAAUAUGGAAUCAGGUCUUGUAGUAGUGUCACGGACACAAAAUACAGACUUGAAAUCUAACAAGAAGUUCAAGAAGAAGUGGCAGAAUUAGAUUAAACAGAUGAGUACAAGAACAACACCAGAAAGGUGAGCUAGAACUCCAAGAGAUGUGUUGUCGAGACUGAAGAACUCUUCAGCCUCGAUCCCUAUAUAUACUCCUACUUAGGAAGUUUCUCGAGCUACUUCUAUUAACUAAGAAGCUUCUAGAAGGUUCCAGAGGCUUCCUUUCUAGAAGGUUCUAGAAACUUCUCGAGCUACUUUUAUUAACUAAGAAGCUUCUAGAAAGUUCUAGGGGAUUCCUUUCUAAAAGCUUCUAGAAACUUCUCUUCUAGAAGGUUCCAGAGACUUCCUUUCUAGAAGCUUCUAGAAACUUCUCUUCUAGAAGGUUCCAGAGACUUCUUUUCUAGAAGCUUCUAGAAACUUCUCUCUAAAAGGUUCCAGAGGCUUCUCUUCUAGAAGGUUCCAGAGGCUUGUUUUCCAGAAGGUUCUAGAAACCUCUCUCUAGAAAGUUCUAAGGAAUAUGUCCCUAACAUCAUCUCCUCCUUUAGCUUCGAGGUCUCUGAGAAGCAAUGUUGUUGAUCAGUAUCAACGCAAGAAAAUGAAGAUCUGUCGCAUAACUUCUGCUAUGAACUCCAAUUGUUGUUCACGAGGCAAGUGGUUCAUCGACCCUUGAAGCCAACGGUAGUGGCCCACGCCUUCGACUUCUGACCAAGCAUGAACUUCCGUGUCCUCAUUGUGAAAUUAUCCUGCAAACACGCCUUCUGGUUGACCAUCGUAAGUAGGCUCGAUCUCAAAUACGAUCACCAGUGAUCGGUUACUCGGUAUCCUCCGUCGUCGUCGUGGUACAUGUAGUUCUUCAUCUCGGGGUCGCCUUCGUGAGCUACUCGGUUGCAAUACUCUAACUGGCUUAGUAUCUAUCUCUUGGCUAUCCAUAUCAAAAGACCAAACUACGAUCUAUCUUGGAGAAAAUAACUACAUCAACUAUGAAUUUUGCUGGUGCUCUCCCCUUUUCUUAUAUUGUUGGGAGAACAAGCUUCAGAAAGAAGCUAUCAUCGAAUUGAUUUAGGUUUAUCGGGAUGUCGUUGAUGAAACUCCUGUACCUUUUAUGGCGCAUUCGCAAGAUUUUCAGCUGGCUUCCACGUUCGCUCAUUAAUGUCAUAGCCGCACCAAUGAACAAGAUAUUCUAACUUUCCCCACCUUCGCCGUGAAUCCAAUACCUUUUCAACCUCAUAUUCUUCGUGGUUCUCGAUUUCAAUACUAGGUGGCGGACAUUGCACUCUUCCAGAAAAAGAUGACUCUCGAUAAGGUUCCAACAGAGAAACAUGAAAGACUGGAUGUACCUUCAUAGAAGCCGAUAACUCCAGCCGGUAUGCCACUGGAUUAAUUUGCUUCUGGAUGAUAAAUGGUCCCAAUCUUCGAUAGUCCAACUUAUCACAUGGUCGCUUGGUCUUGAUAUUUCGUCGAAGAAGCCAGGCUUUGUCUCCAACUUUGAAAGUAGGUGCUAGAUUCUGAAAUCUAUCUGCAGACAUCUUAUAGGAUUCUUGAGCGGAUUGUAAUUGAAGCUUCAACAUAGUUUGAAGCUCUGAUAGUUGCUUCACAAAUCCUUCAGCUGCUGGAUUGAAAUUUGUUGACGAAAUCAAUAAAUCAAGCUUCGGAUGAUACCCAUAGUUGGAAAAGAAUGGUGUUUGUUGAAUCGACGCAUGGAGGGUGUUGUUAUAUGCAAACUCGGCUAGUGAUAGAUAUGCAGUCCAAUCGUCUUGCUGAUAGUUGAUGCUGCAUCAUAAGUACUGCUCCAAGACUUGGUUCACCCGUUCUGUUUGGCCAUCAGUUUGAGGAUGAAAAGCUCAAGAAAGCUUGAUAUCCACCUUCAAUAUCCCAAAGAGAGAUCUCCAAAACUUUGACACAAAUUGGGUACCUCGAUCUGAUAUGAUAUCAUCUGGUAGUCCAUGAUAUCGAUACACAUUAUCGAGAAAGAGUCUUGCUGUGACUUCACUAGACGAUGUCUUCUUACAAGGAACAAAGUGUGCCAUCUUCGUAAGCCGAUCUACCACGACAAAGAUGCUGUCAAAUGAGUUUGAUGAUAGCAAGUCCGUGAUGAAGUCCAUAGAAAUUGAAGACCAUGGUCGACGUGGAAUUGACAAUGGCUGUAGAAGUCCAUAAGGGCGAUGCCGAGGAUUCUUAAAUCUUGAACAGAUGUCACAAGAGAGGACAAAAUCUUUCACAUCCUUCCACAUUUGGGGCCACCAAAAAUCUCGGGAAAUAAGCUCCAAGGUCUUAUUGAAUCCAAAAUGUCCCGCAGUUGGAAAAUCAUGGCGAGAUUGAAGAACUCGGAGUCGUGCUAGUCCUUUUGGAAUGUACAAUCGCUCUUCAAAGUAUAAAAGAUCUCCCUCCACCUUGAACUUGUCGUCAUUGGUACGUUGCUUGAUAUCAAUGGCUACUGAAUCUUUAAUAGUCAUAGCACGUACCUGGUUUAGGAAGUCAGCAUCAAAUGAUACAAUAAUAGUACAAAGUUGAAAUCUCUCUGGCUUCAAUAACGUUGUACAUUGUUGAUCAAACGCUACUUCUCUAGCCUUUGGUGUAAGAUACGAUCUCCUUGAUAAAGCAUCGGAUAGUCCUUGCUGCCUUGUAGGUCGAUAAGUGAUAACAAAAUCGAAUCUAGAUAGCGACAUAUUCCACCGAGCUUGACGCCGAUUUAAAACUCGAGUCGUCAUGAAAUACUCCAAAUUCUUGUGAUCCGUAUAUACGGUUACUGGAUGUGCAGCUCCUUCAAGAAAGUAACGCCAUUCUUCGAAAGAAUCCACUAUAGCAAGAAGUUCCUUAUCGUGGAUCUCAUAAUUGAUUUCAGCAGAAGAGAACUUCCGAGAAUAGAAUGCAACUGGAUAGAGCUUCUUAUCUUCACUCAUUUGUGAAAGCACAGCUCCCAAAGUAAAAUCUGAAGCAUCAGUUUCUAAAUAGAAGGCCUUUGUAAAGUCUGGAUGUACCAAAAUUGGAGCUGUAGUAAAUGUUGUCUUCAAAUCUUGAAACGCCUUCUACGCCAAAGGUCCCCAUUCCAACUUAUCUUUGCAUGCUAACCGAGUGAGAGGAGCAGCAACUUGAGAAUAAUUCUUGAUGAAGAUCCGAUAGAAGUUAGCAAAACCAAGAAAGCAUUGUACGUCUCUAACCGUCUUCGGAACCUCCCAAGACAUGAUUGCUUCUACUUUCUUGGGGUCCAUCUUCAAACCUUCUGUAGUCGCAAUGAACCCCAAAAAUUCCAUCUCCGUCUGGUGAAAUAAACAAUUUUCUAAUUUGGCAUAUAGUCCUCGCUUGCGUAGUUUCUCCAAGACCAAACGAACAUGCUCCUCAUGCUCUUCCUCGUUCUUAGAGAAUAUUAGAAUAUCGUCCAAGUAGAUGACAACAAAAUCGUCGAGGUGUUCUCGAAAGAUGUCAUUCAUCAUAUGUUGGAAAACCGCUGGAGCAUUGGUAAGACCAAAAGGCAUGACAUUAUAUUCGAAAUGACCAUACCUUGUACGGAAUGCUGUCUUCCACUCAUCUCCUUCUUUGAUUCGUACGAGAUUAUAAGCUCCACUUAGAUCAAUUUUUGUAAAGAUCUUCGCACGUCCAAGUUGUUCUAAGAGACUAGAAAUCAAGGAUAAUGGGUAACGAUUUUUCUUUGUUACCUUGUUGAGGCCUCGAUAGUCCACACACAUCCGUAAUGAUCCAUCUUUCUUCUUCACAAAUAAGAUGGGUGCUCCAGCUGAUGAUUUUGAAUGACGAAUGAAGUUCUUGGCUAGAUUCUCAUCGAUGUACUUUCGUAACUCUGCCAACUCCAUUUGCGAUAGGUUGUAGAUUGGGCCAAAAGGUGGUUGUGCUCCUUCUUGCAAGUCUAUGGCACAAUCAUAUGGUCGGUGUUCCGGUAGUAUGUCGGCGUUCUUCUUUUGAAACACGUCUUCAAAAUCUUUAUAUCGCUCCGGUAUACUUACUGUUGAGAUCUUCUCCUCGGUAGUUGGAGCCGCAUAAAUGACAAAUGGAGUGCCUUCCUUAGAUGAUCUUAUAAACGCUCUUGCUCCAAUGAAUAAGGAUUUCUUUUUUCGAGGUUUUUUACUAGGUUUUUUCUUGGGUGGUUUUGUGGGAAAAGUCAUCUUCCGCAACCUCCAAUCUAUCAAUGGAUUAUAUUUUUCCAACCAAGAAAGACCAAGAAUAAUAGGAUUUGAUGGGGUUCUAAUAAUAUUAAAAAUAAUAUGACUACUAUGGUCUUUAAACGUUACUUCUAUAGGUUUUGAUUCAUGGGUGAUGCUACCAGACAAUAAAGGUCGCCCAUCUAUGACCUCAACAUGAACAGGUUUUGAUUUUUGUACUAAAGGGAUCUUAUGAUGCUUUGCAAAUUCUUCGUCUAAAAAACAAGCAGAUGCUCCUGAGUCUAGUAGUGCUAAGGUUCUUAGUUUUUGAGGGCCGAUAAACAGAUGGAUUGUAAAACAAAGGGCAGGUUGGGCAGAAAGAAAGGAACCUGAUUGUUGUUGGGAUAUUUCAUUGUCCAGCCGCACGAUUCCUACUGUGGCUGGGCAUCCUCGUUUUCCUGAACAAAUACUCCCCUAGUCUUGACUAUGCCUCGAUUUUGCUUUUUGGGGCAGUUUCCGACUUUGUGGCCUUCUCCACCACAAUACAAGCAUAAAUUUUCCUCCAUACGUCGCUUUUUUUCUUCUAUAGUAAGAGAUUUGAUAUGUACCGCAUCAAUUUGCAUGUCUUCCACCUCUGAAUGCGAAUUCACACUGCUUGCCGACAUAGUUGGAGCAUGGCGAAUUGUAUGUUGUCUUGAGCAUUGGUCUUGGCGACGUUGGAAUAGGCGAUUAUCGCACUUCACAGCUUGGCUAAUGGCUUCAUUGAGCGUUCGUGGAUCAGGAAGAGUUAACAGCAAAUUCUUCACAUCAUUUCUUAAACCCCAAUGAAAUUGACUCAUCAACGCUUCUUCAUCCCAAUUGAUGUCGCAUACUAAUUGCCUGAAAUCCGAAGCAUAGACUGAUGUAGAACGCAUCCCUUGUCGUAGCGACCGGAUCUUUGUUGUAGCCCAUCGAAUCUUAUCGUGUUCACCAAAUGCUUCCGCAAAUGCUUCCAAAAAGGUUUCAAAGUUGUUUAAUAUGGAUGAUCGUUUCUCAAACAAAGGAGCAAACCAUGAUAGAGCUUGACCCGUAAGUAAGGUUCCAACAAGCCCAACACGUGACUCCUCCGUUGGAUAUCGUUCGGGCUGUAAAACUGUUAUCAACCUGAUUUGAUUGACGAAUCCUCGAAACUUGGAACGUGUUCCAUCAAACUUAUCUGGAAGGCUAACUCGAGGCUCCUUAUAUUGUAGAACUAGUGGUUCUUGUCGAACCUGAGGUAAAGUUGUUUCUCUAAGUGUCGAAAUUUGAGGCUGGUGUAGUUUAGAUUGUGCUAUCCCAGAUACUCCAUCAUUAUGAAGCUUUGCCACCACUCCUUCAAUCUCUGCAGUUCUUUGUGAUAACGUAGCGAGGGCAUUCAUAAUAGCAUCUAACUUAGACUCCGAACUUUCUGUCAUACUAAUGUCUUGACCUCCGGCCAUUCUAAAAGAAGGACAAAAAUGACCCUAUAAGAGGCAAUAUUGGUUUAUAGGAGGGUAAUCCACAACCUAUAAAAUGCCUUAAGAAUUUCAAGAAGAGGGGUAAUCCACUCUCUCCAAGAAGAAUAAGACUCCAAUAUUGUAACAGAAGAAGUAUCAGUUUAGAGGAGGGUAAUCCGCAACCUCUAAAAAAUGCUAGUAUACCUUCAAGUAGAGGGGUAAUUCACACUCUACUAAGAAAGAACUAGCUCUGAUAUCUCAAGUUAGUGUAGUCUCGACAAACUGUCACGGAUACAAAAUACAGACUUGAAAUCUAACAAGAAGUUCAAGAAGAAGUGGCAGAACUAGAUUAAACAGAUGAGUACAAGAACAACACCAGAAAGGUGAACUAGAACUCCAAGAGAUGUAUUGUCGAGACUGAAGAACUCUUCAACCUUGAUCCCUAUAUAUACUCCUACUUAGGAAGCUUCUCGAGCUACUUCUAUUAACUAGGAAGCUUCUAGAAGGUUCCAGAGGCUUCCUUUCUAGAAGGUUCUAGAAACUUCUCGAGCUACUUUUAUUAAUUAUGAAGCUUCUAGAAAGUUCUAGGGGAUUCCUUUCUAGAAGCUUCUAGAAACUUCUCUUCUAGAAGGUUCCAGAGACUUCCUUUCUAGAAGCUUCUAGAAACUUCUCUCUAAAAGGUUCAAGAGGCUUCUCUUCUAGAAGGUUCCAGAGGCUUGUUUUCUAGAAGGUUCUAGAAACCUCUCUCUAGAAAGUUCUAAGGAAUAUGUCCCUAACAAGUAGAUGAAGUGGUUAAGUAAUUUACAGGUUAUGCCAUCUAUUCUAUUGGAGACUUGUAUUCUGCAUAUGAUCAAUUUCAAUUAGCUGAAGAAAAUAGAGAUUUAACUAUCAUGAAGAUUCUUUUGUGUUUAAUGAAGAUGUGUACCUUAUUUCAAGAUAUAAUCAACUCUAUGGUUCAUAUACAAAAUGCUAUAAAUCAAAUAUUGAAAGAAUUUUUGCUUGAAAAAAUUAUUCUAUUUUUUGAUGAUAAACUUAUGAAAGAAGUUAGAAAAAACAAACAAACAAACAAACAAACAAACAAACAAACAAAGAUGAGAUCAUGGAAGUUGAAGUUUGCAAAAACUUUGUCAAGAAGCAUAUUAAAGAUGUGGCUAGGAUAUUAAAGAGAUUGGAGUAAGAUAAUCUUGCAUUAUCUUUAGAGAAAUCAAGCUUUGAAAUUAAUGAGAUUCUAAUAGUGGGUUACAUAUAUAGUAGACAUAGUAGGAAAUCAAACAUUGAUAAAGUUGAUAUUACAUCUAGAAUAAAAGCUUAUAAAAGUAUUACAGAAGGCAAAAGGCUUUUAAAAGCAUUUAUAUUCUAUCACAUUUAGAUGUCAUACUUUGUCCAUAUCUUAGAGCCACUAUACAAGUUAUUGAAGAAGGAUAAAAAAAAAAUUGAGAAGAAUAAGAGAUAUUUAUAGAAAAUCCAAAAAAGAUGUUGGAUUUACUAUUUAUACUUUAAAAAGGGGAUUAUCAAUCUAAAAGAUGAGUGGUUGUAAUAGUGGAUAUUAGUUCUAUAGCAAUUAGAUGGACUAUUAGACAAGAUGACAUAGAAGAGAGAAGAUUUGUUAUAAGAUUUGGAGCUAGGAUUCUUACAGAGAGGCAAAAAACUUAUUUGCAAGUUAAAAGAGAACUAUGGAGAGUACUCACUACUCUAAAGGCUGAGAAAAAUUAUUUAAUUGGAAAAAAUAUGGUUUUGAAAAUAGAUUGUUAGUCAUUACUUGAAAUGAUAAUUAACUACUAUUCCAAACAUUGCCAUGAUAAGAUAGAUAGCCAACAUAAGAACAUUGAAUCCUAUCUUAGUAUAUAUUAUUAAUAAAAAAAACUUAGUGGUAAAUAUGUUAUUGGGAGCUAGAUAUAUCUUUAAAGAGGAGAUGAUGGCAUAUAAAAGAAGUGAAGAACAAGAAGAGAAGAGAUAUGGAAAUUCAUUUGAUAUUGGUAGAAUGGAUUUUAGUGAUGAGAUUCAAAAUUUCUAUAAAAAUUUGUAUAAAGACAAAUUGAAGGAUAUUAGAAUUUAUUUAAGAAAAAUAAAGAAACAAGAAGGACCAUAUGUAUUAAUUAUAGUCUAUGAUAAUACCACAUAUAUCUUACAUGAAUUAGAUAGAACUAUCAUUAGAAUUCGAGUAGUAGAAAAGAAGAUGAAGGCUUUUAAGAAAAGAGAUGGAAAGUUUAAAAUAAAAGACCUUAAAGAAUUUUUAUCUCAAUAUUUAGACUAAGAAUAUGAAGUAGAAGAACCUAUGAAUAAUUUAAAGAAAUCUCUAGAAGAUAAGGAACAAUAAUACAUAGCUCAUAUUGAAGGAUGUAUAAGUUUGAAAGAAGAAAAUGUCAUAUUAUAAUUAUUUAUAGUAUAUAAAAAUUAAUUAAAAUAUAUAAUAUAUUUAUAAGUCUUGAUAUGUAUUAGACUGAUUAAUAGGUUAAGUUAAAGAGAGUUGAUGUAAGAAAAUUUAUUUUGAGAUUUACUUAUUUUUAUUAUAAUAUUUAAAUUAUAUAAUAUUUAGAUAUUUAAUAUAAAAUUUUAAAAAAGAUAAGAUGUCAAAGAUGAAGAUUCAAACUACUAAAAAGCUUAUUUGGAAGGAUAAAAGUAAGAUAUAAAUAGAUGAAGACAAGGAGUGAAGGUCUUCAUCUCUAAUGGUUGAAGGCUAUGUCCAAUGGGCUUUCAAUAGGCUAUCCACAAACAUAACAAGGAUUUUGGCAACUUCAAAAGAAGCAUUUAAGAAUCAAAAGAAAGAGCAAUAAGAUUUAGGAUUUAGACUGUAAUUUUUGUAAAACAUUUAGAGGGUUUCGAAUUAGGAUGAAGAAAUUAUAGCUAUUUAAAGUUAAAAUAACUUUUAAGAUAUAAUAUUUCUCUUUUGAAGAUAUAAGAAGUUAUACAAUAGCUUUUGGAGAUUAAGAGAUGCAAUUGUAAGAUAAUUUUAAGACCUACAUCUUUUAGAAAAGAAUUGCUAAAUUUGAAAUUUUUAUGAACAAGUUGUAGGGUGUUGAAGACAACACAUGUAAUUCAUAGGCAAUAAGUAAGUCAUUUUGUUGAUAAUAAUGGUUGAAGCCAUAUCUUGAAUUUUCAGAUGAAUUUUUAGUUUAAAUUUUUUAAAAAUGUGUAUUAUUAGAUUAAAAAGCUAUAUAUCAAAAUUUUAUGGUAUUUAAAUAUUUAAAUUCUGAGAUAUAAAGAAAAUUACACAUAUGUGUAUGUAAGUAAGGAUUUGAAGCUAUUAUUAGGAUUUUGGUAAUAUUUUAAGAUCCAUAAUAAAUUUACAAUUAAAUUUUAUUUUGGUAGUUGUUAUAAAUAUAUCAAUACUUCAUGUAAAAUUUUAGUUUAUUUUAAAAAUUCAAUUGUGAGAUAUAAGGUGUUGAAAUUUGAAAAAAAUUCACUUUAAAGAUAUAUAAGGAUUUAGAAUUUUUUUUAUUACAUUUUGGAUGUUUUUUAGUACUUAGGACUUAUGUAUUGAUAUAAUUAUUCCUAUAAGAAUAAUUUUAUAUAUAAACUUAAUACUGGCUUAUCUUAAGACUUAAUUGAGCAAUUAGUAACAGCUAUAAGCUUAGUACUUUUUUGAAAAAAUUCUCUUUAUCCCGACAAUAUGUUGGCAUAAAAUACUUGAGGUUUUUAUAAUCCAUAUAUAUAGUGACUAGAUAAGAAGUGACUUCUAAUUAAUGAUGCUAUUUUUGAAAUGAAUCCAUAGUUGCAAGAAGCUCUUUGUUAUGAAUCUUAAAGUUGAUCUUAAUUGCUAAAACAUUUUGGGAAUGAAAAGCUACAAGGUGGAGCUUGUCAUCUACUCUCAUUUCUGACAAUACUAUAUCUAUAGCAAAAUCUAAUGCAUUUGUUUCUAUAAAAAAAUACUUUAAAAAAGUCAAUACAAUAUAAAAUUGAUACAAAAAUAAAUAUUGUGUUUAAGGCUUCAAAAGAUGUUUUGACUUUUUUGCUCCACUAAAUUUUUUCUUUAAAUGUAAAAUAUAUAAAAAUAAUUAUAAUUUGAAAAAAAAAUUAAUGAAGAUUUAGUAACAAUUAAGAAAUUCUAAAAAAUAUUAUAUUUUUUUAGUAUUUUUUUUAGUAUUUUUUUAAUCUUCUGAUCUAUAAUAGUUUAGAUUCUCUUAAGAUCCAAUAUAAAACUAUAGUUUGAAAUGAUGUAUACUAUGAAAUCAACUUGAAUAGUAUAAAAUACAUACUUUUUUUUAUCUUGGUAUAUAAUUGUACAUCUCUUAGUUUUUGUAAUAUAUGACAAACAUAAAGUUCAUAUUCUUUUAUAUUUUUAUAAUAAAAUAAAUAUCCUUUAGAUAAAAAAAUGAAAAAGUCAUCAAGAAACUCAUAAAAGAAAUCAUGCAUUAAAUGUUGAAAAGCAAUUGGUGCAUUCAUGAAUCCAAAAGACAUGAUAUUAUAUUCUAAAUGCCUAUACUUGCUUUAAAAUGUAAUUUUUUAUUUUUCACCUUUUUUAAUAUAUAUUAGAUUGUAUGCUCUUUGAAGAACUAUUUAUGUAAAAAUAGAUAUUAAUUUGAUUCAAUAAAUCAAAAAGUCUUCAAAUGAAAGAUAGAAGAUAUCUAUUUUUUCAUAGUGAUCUUGUUGAAUCCUUAAUAGUCUACAUACAUCUAUAGAGAUCCGUUAUUUUUCUUCACAAAUAAGAUAGAAGUCCUUCUUAGAGAUUUAAAAAAGCAUAUGAAGUUCUUAGUCAAGUUUUCAUCUAUGUAUUUCUUAAGUGUAGUCAAUUUAUUUUAUGAUAACCUAUAGAUUGGUCUAAAUCGAGGUUGAACUCUUUUUUGAAGAUUAAUGGAAAAGACAAAAGAAUGAUGUUCUAAAAGAAUACUUGCAUUCUUUUUUUCAAAAAAAUCUUUAUAAUCUUAAUAUUGGCUUAGAAUGUUACUUCAAAUCUGUUCUCUAUAAAAAAAAUAGAUGUAGCAUAUAUUGCAAAAGCUGAUCUUUCUUUUGCAGCAUGUAUGAAAGUUUUUGCACCUACUAAUAAAGAUUUGAAUGUAUUGGACUUAUGGAUUUCUACUUGACUAAUAAAACUUUUACUUAACUAUAAAAAAAUUAAAGUUAUAAGAAAUUUGAUCUAUUUGAGGAUUAUACUUUUUUAACCAUAAUAAUCCUAAAAUAAUUUGAUUCAAAAGAAAUCUAAUUAUAUUAAAUAUUACUAAAUUAUUGUGAUCUUUAGCUGCUACGUCUAAAGAAAUUAUAUCAUGGAUAUUGCCUCUAGAAGACAACAAACGACUAUCUAUGACUUCUACAUAUACAGAUUUAUUUUUCUUAAUUAAAAAUAUUUCUUAUUUUUUAAUAAAAGUUUUAUCUAUAAAAUAAGCUGAGGUUUUUGAAUUUAAUAAAGUAAAGAUUUUAUAAUUUUUUAGUCCUAAAUUUCUAUUAUAGAACAAAGUGAAGAAUAUAAAGAAAGAAUAAGAUCUUUAGUAGGUGUUAUGCAAGAUUUCAAUUGUAUGAUAUCUAUUAUAAUUAGAUAAAGUCAUUUUUUGACAUAUUGUCUUCUUUGGCAACUAUACUCUUUAUUUUGUGAUUACAUUGCUUCUUUGAAUAAUAUUGAGCAAUGUGCUUAGGUUUCCAUAAUAUAAGCAUAAUCUUUCUUAAUAAUAUCAAGUCUUUUUUUACUUAUUAAGAAUUUUGAAAUGUAUUGUGUUGAUUUGCAUAAGUUUUGGCCUUGAUGAAUAAGCUUCUAAUAACUUAAAAGUUAUUGCAAUUACUUGAUUUGUACAUCUUUAACCAAAAUUAUGUUCUUAAUGUCUUUCAAAGAAUUGAUUAUUCCAUGCAAUAGCUUCAACAAUAAAUUGCUCCAAUGAAUCUAUUCUCGACAUUGUCAACAACAAGUCUUUGAUAUUAUCUUUCAAUUUAUAUUAAAAUUGAUUGAUAAAGGCUUUGUCAUUCCAAUCUAUAUUGCAAGCAAUAUUUUAGAAUUUUAUAGCAUAGAUAGUGGUUGAACAUAAUCCUUGUUGUAAAGAUAGGUUUCUAAUCUCUAUUAUCCUUUCUCAAUCAUUUUUUUCAAAUGUAGCAAUAAAGACUUUUAAAAAUGAAUUCAGAUUAUAAAAUAAUUAUAAAUCUUUUUCCAUCAAAGUUGCAAACUAAAAAAUACCACUCUUAGAUAGAAAUAUACUUAUAAAUCCAACUUGAUCAAAUCCGUUAAGGUAUUGGAAAGAAUGCAAUCUUAAAAAGAGUUUCACUUACUGUAGAAAUCCUUGAAAAUUUGAUCUUAUUUCGUCAAACUUCUCCAACAUACUUAUCCUUGCUUCUCUCAUACUUAUAACAAAAAGGGCUUCUUACACUUAAUUCUAAAUUUAAUCUAUUUAUUUCUCUUAAUUACAAAACUUCUUUACAUAGAAUUUGAACCUCUUUGUUGGCUUCUUGUAUAGAUAUAGAAAUAGUGCUUCCAUGGUUCACAUUAGAAAGAUAUGAAAUUUCAAUUCUAAGAGUAUUGACAAGCUCAUGAAGAUCUAUAAUAGUUGCAAAUUUAUUCACUUUUGCCAUAAGUAGCAUCUAUAAUUUUUUCUUCUAUAAAUGACUCAAAUAAAUUCACAAGUCAAAUUAGAAGAUAGUAACUACAUCCUCUAAUACCAAAUAAAAAUUUCUACAAAAAAAGAUAGUUUAUUCUUUUUAAAGAAAAUAAUUAGUAUUUAAAUCACUAAAAUUUAAUUUAAAGGUAGGUAGUCUGUAACUUUCAAAGUACAAUAGUAGAAGUGAAAUAAUCUACUAAGUUUUAAAAUAAUAAAAAAAAAAACAAAAACAAAAACAACAACAACAAGUUAGUACUUUUGUCAAACUAUCAAGAAUAUCAGUUUUAAAGAAUUAAAAGAUCAAUAAACUCUGUGUCACUUAAGAAGUCUAAAAAUACACUCAAAGAUGGUAUAAUAUUAAAUUAUAAUAGCUAUUGCCAAAGAUAAGAAGACUAAAAAAUCUCAAAAUAAGACUAAGAACUAAAAGGUAUUAAUAAGAGUAAAAAAGACUUCACUCUUACUUCUAUAUAUACUAUAUAACUAAAAGCUACGUGGCAAUAUUUUAUAGGACCUCCAAUACAUGUAUAAUUUGCAAGAUACAUAUCUUAUUUUUACUUUGCAAGAUACAUGUCUUAUUUUUACUUUGCAAGAUACAUGUCUUAACUUGCAAAGUAAGUUUUUUAUGUGUGUAUCAUAUUAUUAGCUUGUACCACAAGCUAUCUAUACGUGUGAUACAUUGCUAAUUUUUUGGCCAAGUUUCUAACCUAUUAAUCAACUACAAACAUAUAUAAAGCCAAAUAUACAUUUAUAAAGCUUCUAAAAAGUUAUGCUACAAGAUAAUAUCAAAUCUACAUAUAUUUAUCUUCUACUUAACACUUCUUAUCUAAGUAAAUAUGUAUGUUUGUGACAAUAUUUUCUUUUUUAUUCUCUUUAUAUCAAGUUUCUUUAAAAUACAUUUAACAUGAUAUAAUGAUAUUCUUCUACUUAUUUUUUAAAAAAAAUAGUCAAUUUUUAUCAAGGUAUAUAUAUAUAUAUAUAUAUAGAUAUAUAUAGAUAUAAAAAUAAAUAAAUAACAAGUUGUUAAAGCUAUAUCCCAAUGUUAUUAAAGCCAUAUCUUCAAAUCUUGUAAUGAUUAAUUUUGAGAGACAAAGAAUAUGGGAUAGGAGAUAUGGGAUAUGAGAUGGAGAUGAAGGAUAGAUGAAAUCAAUCAUGAGAUAGUUAUGUAGGAUGUUAAGUGUAAUUUUAAAAACUCCAUCUAUAUAUAUAUAUAUAUAUAUAUAUAUAUAUUAUUAAAAUUUAAUAAAAUUAAUAAUAUAAGAAUAUAUUAAAAUAAAUAAAUUAAUUAUUAUUUUAAAUUAAUGUAUAAUAAUUUUUUAAAAAAUUACUAAUUAUUGAGGUUCUUUAAUAUUUUCAAAUAAAUAUUUUCAAAAGAAUUAAAAUUACAUAUUUUGUAUUUAUAAUCUAUUAUAAAAUAUAAUUUUAAAAUUACUAUGAUAUAAUAAAUAUAAAAAUACUUGUAAAAAUUAUAUAUAAAUAAAAAUAAUUAAAUAAUAUAAAAUAAUUUGAAUUUAAAUCAAAUUUAUUCUUAAAAAGAUUUGUUUUCAUUAAAGUUCUUCAUCUGCAAUUACCAGCUUUGUAUUUUUAUUUUAAAAAAGAAGAUGUAUUAUCUAAGGUACUAUAGUAACAUAAGUAUCAUUAUUUUAAAUUUUUUUCUCAUAUGUAUAUAAAUAUUUUAACAAUUUUUGUUAAAACUGUUUAAAACUAUUUCAAUUUAACACUCAAUGAAUCUAUUAACUGUGAAUCACUUAGAAAUCAAUAUAUUAUUAUCUUUUUAUUCUUAAAAAUGUCUUGUAAAGAUAUGAUGUAAAAAAUAUGUACUCAAUUAAAUUACAUUGACCAAUAUUUAUAUUAAAAUAAAUUGGUGAAAAUUCUCAUUCAUACAAAAAUAUUUAUAUAAUUUAUUGUUUGAAACAAAAUUUAAAUCAUGAUGUCAAAAAAUAUAAGUAUAAGGUUAAAUAUUUUUCGAAUAUUUUUUAUUUUUAAUAAAUAAAACAUAUAUAUAUAUAUAUAUAUAUAUAUGUAGAUAUACUUUAUAUUAAUUAAAAUUAUUUAUAUAUUUAUGUAUUGUAAUAAAACUUACAAUAUUUAUAGUUUUAGGUAGGCAAGUUAUAUAAUUUAUAUAAAUUCAGCAUCCAAGUCUUGUUGAAUAGAUAUAUAUAUAUAUAUAUAUAUAUAUGAUAUUCCAAAAAGUUCAAGGCAUCAAAAAAUACCUUAUAAUAUUUUCUAUUUGAUUUAUUUUAAAAUUAUUAUAAUAUUCAAAACCAUCAUUUUCAAAUUACACUAAUACAUGAAUAAAAAAUUUAUGUAAUUGAAUUUUAGAAAAUUCUAAUGCUAAAUAUAUGGUUUAAAUGAUACUUAAUGUAUAUUAAUCCACACUUUUAAGUAUUAUUAUAUAUAGAGAGAGAAAAAAAGAGAUAGAUAGAUCUAAUUUACAAUUCUAUUGUCCAAAUUAUAACCAAGUUAUUUAAAAAAAUAAACAAUAACUUAUUUUAAUCUUUUGUAAAGUAAAGAUCUACAAAGAUAGUUAAAUUAUUUGAUGCUUCACCAAUAACUAUUAUGAUGUACUUCUAUAUAGUUAUCUAAUGAAAAAUAAUUUAUUAAUUUUUAAAACAUAUAUGAUUUUAUUUUUAUUUUUUAUAUAGACAUGUUUACAUAGAUUAAUAUUAUCAAAUACAGUAACCAUAAAUAAUUAUCAAAAAAAUAAUAAUUUAAUGACCUAUUAGCUUUUGUAUAUGAGAAUAUUAAAUCUAUCCAAGUAAAUUUUAAAAUUGACCUACCUUUUAUCUUACUGUCUGGUCACCUUUUUCAUAUAUUCCUUACCAGUAUGAAGAUCAUCCUUUGAUCAUAAUAAAUUUGGCUUCAACGUCUACCAAAAUGAAUUUUAAAGCUAGCUUUGCAUUGGAGCAUUAGAGACAUUCCUGUCUAUUCCCACAAUCAAAUAAAAUAUCCACAAAGCCCUCAACUGCUUGUCAACUUUUGUAAAUGAGAAAACCCACUCAAGAGAUACAAAUCUAAGGGGUCACCAAGGAAGAACGACCUUCUCUGGAUUGGUGACAAAUAUUCAAUAUGAAACAUGACAAUUUUUGAUUUACCUUGGUUGAUUUAAUAUUCCCCUUUAUAUAUUAUCUAAGAGAAAAGCAAACAAUAAAAUUAAUUAUUUAAAUUUUAUUUUCAAAACGUAUUUAUUUCAAAAUUAUUAACAGGUUUUGUACAGAGCAGUCUUUGGCAAAUUUGGUAAAGACACUGUCCAGGCUCUGGUUCACAACACUGGAAGUAGGCUGACAACGUAACAACUUCAAUCCACCUCCAGUCAAGGUCCAACCCAUCAAAAAAAGGAAUAAAAAAAAUGGAUGGACAUAUGAUUGAAUGGAUGAGGGGGGAGAAAUGGGUGGAUGGAUAAAGUGCGAUAUGAGGGAUAAACGAAGACCAGGAAUGCUUGGCAAGAGAGAGCAGAGCAGGAUUGUGAGGCUCCACCACGACCUCCUUCCGAACCAGGAAGACGAGGACGAGGAGGAGUUGAAGGGAGUUGAGGAGAGUUCCUCCGGGCCUCUCAAAAGGAGAUUGGGUUUUAAAGGAAGGAUUGUGGGGAGGGUCCCACCUCAGAACCAGCCAAGCAGAGACUGACCCACACAGACACACAGUCUAGCCCAGUGGCAACGCCCCUGCCUACUAGCAGGGCUUCUUAUUCUGUGGGACGGCCUCCACACCGCCCCAAUUGUGUAUUUCCACUUAGCCACGAGCUCUCCACACGCUAUCCAGUCUUCCUUCCUCUCACUCUCUCUCUCCCUCGCCGUCUCCGCCUUUCAUUCUCCGUCAAUCGCCAUGGCCGCCGCAGCUAUGACCAGCAUUGUGCCUGUGGCAUCCAUUGCCCCCGUCUCCAAGGUCGCCAACGUGCGCCCCUCGUCGGUGUCCGUGGCGAAGGCUUUCGGUUUGAAGAGCAGGAGCAUGGGCCGCCUUACCUGCAUGGCCACCUACAAGGUCACCUUCCUGGACGGGGAGACUGGAGCGGAAAAUGUCGUCGAAUGCUCUGACGAGGAGUACGUGCUGGAUGCCGCUGAAAGGGCCGGAAUGGAC